rnacentral:lncRNA from 1 species
AAGCGAUUACAACACAGGCCAUUACGAUAUGAAACUUUAUUCCCAUACUUUUCAUUUCUUAAUCCAUCAUGCCCCUUAAGAACACUUGGGGCACUUACACAUACACAUAUAAGUGUAUAUAUAGAUCCAACCAUGCAUUAUAUAGUUUUAGUGACCGGGUUGAGUCUGAACAGCUUCUCCGGCAUAAGAACAACACCUUGAGCAGCCACGGUAACCUCUGUAGCAGCAACCGUGACGGCAAUAACCUCCUCCACGGCCUCCUCCGUUGUAUCCUCCUCCGCGGUGUCCUCCUCCGUUGUAACCUCCUCCUCCGUUGUAUCCUCCUCCGUUGUGUCCUCCUCCAUUGUAUCCUCCUCCUCCGUGGUGUCCUCCUCCGUUGUAACCUCCUCCUCCGUUGUAGCCACCACCAUAUCCAUCGGGUUUCACAUUUUCCUCACUUUCUGACUUCGCUGUAGCUGUCAAAAAUAAUACAUUUCAAAGAUAUUAUUAGCACGUUCAAAUUUGCAUUCCUCACCCAGAAUUUAGAACUAUUUUUCUAUUUGCAAAAAAUAUUAAGAGAUAUAAGUUUGCAUCUCUAGCUAGUUUGUUUCAAAACAUUUACAACAUAAGAUAUACGUUCUAAACAUUUUUGCUCUAAAUGUUUGAGAUGAUCCCGAUACAUAUAAUAAGAAUUCAACAUCAUACUUAAGUGUAUUUUGAUUUUCGUAAGUCUCCAGCCUUAUAACAAACUAAAUAGUUGAAUGAAUCUAUCACCCAAUGGAAGAAGUAGACAGAAACAUAAAAAAUAAUGUUACAUACCCGACUGCCUUUCGGAUGCCGCUGCCCUUUCUGAGACGACGAAAAGAAGUGCAAAGAGACCCAACAGAAUUAAAGCCCUCGAAGCCAUUUUCUUCAACUGUUCAACUCUUUGUUUUAGAACGUGUGAUGAAUAAAAAUGUCACCAUGUAUGCCUCUAUUUAAAGAAAACGAGGAGGAGGGAAUGAGAAGAGUAAAAAAAAACCUAAUCCCUAGUCCAAUAAAAAUAACUCAAAAGAAAAGUUAAGAAAUUUAAUAAUUUAUGACAAUAAAAAUAGUAAGAAGAAGAUAAGUAUCGAUUGCAUAGGGCCCAUUUAUGGUUGGUUGUUGGAAUCAUUGUAAAUAAUUUUGAAACUCCUUAAAUGGCAACUCUCCACUAGUCUUUUAGAUGUUUCUAUAAAACGUCUCAAACACAGCGCAUUCACACGUAUAUAGUCAUAGACAUAUUAAAAAAUAUUAUUGGAUUAUUUCGAGAAUAAUAUUCAUUAUUGGAGAGUUGGAGACUUGGACUAUUGUUUAUGAAUCGUCCUUUACAAUCUCAACCGACAGAUUUUACGCAGAAGGAUAUAGACAAAUCAUAUGGACUUAAAAUCAGUAAGUCAUAUAGGAGCGAUACGUAGUAGUUAAUAAGGACAGACGCAAAAUAUUAAGUCAUAUAGGAGCGUACGUAGUAGUUAAUAAGGGCAGACGCAAAAUAUUGCACGGCUAUAUUGUUGGGAUAUCAAUCCAAGUUUCACAUCUAAAAUUUAAACUAAUGUACUCAAAUAUAUAAGUAAAAUGUUUAAUAGUUUAGUAUAAAAUUUUUUGGAAGAAAUUUAAAAACAAAUCCGUGCAUGCUUUGUCAUUUGAAUCCAAAGUGGACAAUAUCAUACUAAUAGAGAAUUGGACAUGGAUUUGAAAAGUUCAACAAUUGGUAUCAGAACCAGGUUCUGGAAAAAAUGGAUCUGGACAAAUGGGUGUGGACUGUGUGUUCGGUGUGGGAGGGAGAGCCCUCAAAGUAACCUUGCGAUUAGGGUGCUGGUGCUUUGUAUCAAAAGUCUUCCGAUUGGGCUUUUCAAGCUCAUGUCCAACUCCCUAUUAGUAUGAUAUUGUCUGCUUUGGGCCCAAAUGACAAAGCCCGCACAGAUUUAUUUUUGGAUUCGGGUUUGAGUGGUCCUUAGCUAGAGGAGAGGAUUGUUGGGAUAUCAAUCCAAGUCCCACAUCCAAAGUUUAGACCAAUAUGGUCUAGUAUAUAAGCAAGAUGUCCAAUAGUUUAGUAUGAGACCUUUUGAGAAGGAAUCCAAAAACAAAUUCGUGCGGGCUUUGCCAUUUAGGCCAAAACGGACAAUAUCAUACUAAUAAGGAGUUGGACUGGGCUUGAAAAACCCAAUAUGAAGACUUUCGAUACAAGGCACCAGCACCCCAAUCGCAAGGUUACCUUGAGGGCUCUCCCUCCCACACCGAACACACAGUCCACACCCACUUCUCUAGUCUACCUUUUCCAGAACCUGACUCUGAUACCAAUUGUUAGAUUUUCAAGUCCUUGUCCAACUCUCUAUUAGUAUGAUAUUGUCUGCUUUGAGUCCAAGUAGAAAAGCCCGCACGUAUUUGUUUUUGAAUUCCUUUCCAAAAGGCCUCAUACUAAACUAUUGGAUAUCUUUAUGUACUAGACCAUGUUGGUCUUUACUUCGGAUGUGAGACUUGGAUUGAUAUCCCAACACUUUUUAACAGUUGCGAAAAGGUUAGGAGAAGAGUUUCGUUGGUGCGUACGGUGAUACAAGAUGGGUGCCAAGUUUCGCAGGAGGUUGGGAGGCCACGGGUUUGUGUGAUCCUUGGCUUAAGGGGAGAAUUAUUGGGAUAUCAAUCCAAACCUCAUAUCUGAAAUUUAGAGCAAUAUGGUCUAGAAUAUAAGCAAGAUGUCCAAUAGUUUAGUAUAGGGCAUUGUGGAUAAGAAUCCAAAACAAAUCCAUGCGGGGUUAGCCAUUUAGACUCAAAGCAGAUAAUAUCAUACUAAUAGAAAGUUAGACAUGGGCUUGAAAAGCCCAACAUAUAUUAAUCACAGCUAUUCUAAUGGAAAAUUUUUUUAAUGAAAUUAUCUAUUCAAGUCAUUUAAGCGUAAGGCUUGAUAUUCAGUAAAUGAGUUGAGAAUUAGUUAAUAAUAUUAAUAAAGGUCAUUGAGUGUGGACAUGUUAGUUACUUUCCUGCUACUUGCAUUUGACUUAAGAGUGAAAUUCAUAAGAUUGUACAAACAAAUUGUCUAACACAUGAGACUUGUGAUACCAAGAACAAUACAUGCACACAAUAAGCCAUGGUAGCUCAAUUAUUCGUUUGGAAUGUAAAACAUCACAUACAUGUCUAAUUCAAGUUUUACUUGAUAUAAAAAUUAAACGGAUGAUAUAAAGGAUCUAAGAACACCUCCAUUAGUGAGAUACAUCAAUAUAAUAUUAAUACUGCAUUUAAAAUAUACUUUAACUUUGCAAUUUUAAGUUUUCUAAAAAACAUUCAUGAAAAGAUAUAUGUUACAUUAGUCUCUCAUAUGGUUUACAAAUGAUAAUCCAUUCUCAUUCCCCAUUCUUUCUUUAAUAUGAGAAAUCCAGUGAAAUAUUCUCAAUAGAGAUGUUUUAAAGCCUCUAAUUAAUUAGCAUGAAUAUUUUACUUAUUAAAAAUGUAUAAUUUCAAGCUUGUGACUCAUCAAGGAGAACAUCCAAAACGACUUAAUCAUAAGUACGAGUUGGGAUUAAGCAAGAAUUGGGAACUGGACAGAGAGCAAAAAAUUAGAAAAUACGGAACACAAAUAGUAAUAGUUAAUGGUAAUAGUUAAAGGUAUCAACUUAAUCAUAAGGACGAGGGUGAUCUUUGUCUUACACAUAAUUCUUUUCCCCCUUAUUUCCUCUUAGUUUGGUUGUAAGGAUUAUCUAGAGGGUUGUAGCCUGUAGGAUAUAUGAUCUAGAGAUUGUGAAAGAUCUCUCGAAAAUUCUCAAGAAUUAGUCUACAAAAUAAAUUCCUAAGAAUCCUUCCCCAAUCCAAAGGAUCACGCUAGCAAUCCCCAAACCUCCGCUUUUGUCACUUAUCUUACCCUAGAUGGAUCUUCAAUACAGAUCGUUUUAUCCAUUUGAUCAAUACCAUACAAUUUAGGUGUCUUUGUAUAACAAGGCGUAGUAUAUCCCUUAUUUGGUAUUCACGCAACACAAUGAAACACAUGACUAUAUCUUUGUGUUUUUCCACUCAUUUUCGAAUUCUUUCUCUUUGUGUUAGAUUUAUUUUUGAGAGGCUGUCUCUUUUUUUUGGACAAAAGAAUAGAUACCUACAACUGUUUUAUAACAUAAACAAUAUCUUGCAGUCCGCCGCGUUGAAUGUAUGAAAUAGAGAAAGCUAAAACCUUCCUUACACAUGUUGAAUUCCUCCAUGCGGUAUAAACAUCAUCGUCACCAACUCGAAAUAGUCUGUAACAAAAGAUGUUGUCUUCUGAUAUUCGAUUAUACAGUGCAUGAUCCAAAUGAAUGCUUCUACUUCAACGUGCAAAGGAAAGAUUUUCUUGUAGACUUUUGCUCCCAUUAAUAUCAUUCAAUAUAUUCUUGGAAGCAAUGCCAUCCUAGUCUGGAAAAAUUGUCGGUUUAGUUUUCUUGUAAGAGCAGUCUAUGUAGCAUCAAAUAAUUUAACCAAAUUUCCUUGGGUCAACGAUCUAUUUUUUUAUGGGAAUUAUCUAUAGCAUGAGAUGUCUCCCGACCUAUAUAUGCCUUCUUUCUAUAUCUCCACGAAAUCGGGUUAAGACCUAUUUGAGAGAUUAAUAUUUUUAAGUUUGUUUUUGUGGGGAUAUACACAGAGAAAAUAAUUUAAUGUACGUUAACAUCUGAUGAUGGCUGAUGCUACAGUAAAAAUUCUAUAUAUUAAUAAUGUUGGAACUUUAAAAUUUUAUUAAUUUAGCAAAUUAUUAAUUUAUAAAGAAAUUAAUUUAACCAAAAUUUAAAUUUAAAACCAAAUAAUUAAUUGAGUUUAUUAAUUUAUCAAAUAUUAAUUUAUAGAAUUUCUGUUGUAUAUAUAUGAUAGUUCUCGUGAUUCUUUCUAUCCUUUCUAAGAAAGAGAAGUUAUCAAAUACAUUUAAUGGUGGAUACGUGGAGUCUCGGUCAGGAUUGUUGAUCACCACACGUGAUAGUGAAAUUGUAAUUUGGUAAUAAUAAGGGGAAAUGUUCAGCUAAAAAAAUUAAAUGAAACUCAGACCAUGCAAGUGUUGGAACCUUACUCAAUGAAUUGAUUGCUUGUUUCGAUCCAAAAUUCAAAAAGCAAUAACUAUAGCUGAUGCUGACUAUUGAGAAGAAAGUUCUAAAUUGGCAACUCAAACUAACCACAUGAUAGUAUGAUACAUAAUGACAUUCUUUCAAUUUUAUAGCCUUUUCUAUCAAAUUGAAAAUAUGGAAAACCAAAUUAUAUUUUUAAUAUUUAAAACAAGAUACUAGCUAUUCUAUAACUUUAGUAUACCCAGGUAAAGAAAAUAAGAUUUAGAUUCUAUAUUGAAUAAGAAUCAGUCUAAUUAUGACUCAUAUAGUUAGAUUUCAAUUAAAACUCUUAUUAGUUAUUCAGAAAUUAUGUUUUAUAAUUUGUAAGUAAGAAAAUUUAAAAUUAAUCUAUAUUAAUCAUAAAUAACCCUCUUAAAUAAAUAAGAGGUUAUAAGACAAUAAUUUACAUUUUUCAAUUUGUAGUUUCUAUUUAUUUCUGUAUUUUACUUUUUAUUUUAUUUUAUUAGUUUCUUUUUUUGAACCAAAAAUUAUUUUGUUUUAUAUUUAAUUUUUUAAUAUUUAAAUAUAAAUAACUAAAAUUUAAAAACUUAAAUUAUUAUAUUAACAUAUGUUACAAUCUAAACUAAUAAUGACACAUAUAAUAUCUGUAAAAAGUUAUAAUUAUUCUAUGUGUCAUGCUAACGUAGAUCUUACCAAGUAGGAUUGUAACACUAGAUAGAUUCAACUCUGCAUAAUACGUAAAAAAUAAUAAAAUAUUUAGAUGAUCUGGUCAUCGAUCUAGCAAACCACCACAAGGUGAUCUCAAUGCCCAUAGACGAUCCAACCGAGCCAUCCGAAGCUGAUUGGAGCCUUGUUGAAGCUGUAUCGGUGAAACCAAAUACCAAAUCAACUGAGGGAAGGCAUUUUUACCAACCAACCAACCCCAGUGAAGACUGAUCAAGCAAAAACACUUUUGACUCAAACCAGAACUGAAGAUAACCGAGACAUUCCACCUAAUAGCCAAGGAGCGGUUAUACCAUCACCAUCUUUGACCAAACCGGUGAUUCAUGAUCCAAGAACCAAUAUUCAUCGACCAACCGACCAUAAGGAGUAUUCUGUACGAGAUAUUUCAUGUCUUAACCAAGCUAGAAGUAAAGAUAACCGGAGCCUCACCAACCGGCUUGAUUACAAACCAGAUUUUACCCGAGAAGAGACUUGGGCUGAUUUCUUAGAGAUCAAACUCAAUCACCAAGAACUAAUAUCAAACCUGAUUUGCUCUGUGUUCUUGACCCAUUAAGGAAUCACGGUGAAUUGGAAUCAGUCCAACUUACCCGAUUGGAAAUAUGCACCUUAAUUGAAGCAUUCCGACCAAGCCGGGAGGAAUUAAGCUGCGAAAUGACUUGUUCUGGAAUCUGGGUUCAUCAAGGAAUCCGGGAUAGUUGGAAUCACACCAAGUCCGGUUUUCAUUUGGGAGAUACUCCAUUUCUAAACCGACCGAUGGUUUCCCAGCUUGCCUUAUUUGAAACCCUAUGGGUUUAGGAGACACUAGACGUAUCAGUGGCAUCCAGGAGACUGUGCUAUUUCCAGAAGUUCCCUAAAAUACUCUAGAGUGCACCCGUACGCCUUGGAUCAGGCGGAUCCAUCUGUACCUUCAAUUGAACUAACUAGGGCCGAUUAUAGAAACUACGAAGACCGACCAGUUCAAUUAUGAGCAAACCAAGAUAUCACGACCAGAAGAGAUUCUUAGACAAUUAAGGAGCUUAAAAACACCUUCCCAUGCACCAGAAACCACAGGAUCAGACGGAUCUUCUUGCAAGUCCACUUUCCUUAUGUAGCUGCGUUCACAUUAGGAGCCAUAACUUUCCAACGGCUCUUUGUCUUUAAGUGCUACGAUAUGGACAACUUUUUUGGAGAUAAGAAUGUUCCAGAAAUUCUCACUAAUCCUCUUAAACCUUACGGAUACAAAGGCGUCAUCACAAUUGCCUUAGUUGCCGAGACCCUCCAUUAAGAGCCAACAGCUAGUUUUUGAUAUAUUUUUGAUUUGUUCCUUUACUCUAGAUUUUUAGACCGUUUGUAAUUAAGCUUGUAGGAGCUCUAUACAAGCUCAGCUCAGGUAAUUUUUACAAUUCACCUUUAAAUCCAGAUUAAUACAAAGUAUUCCUUUUUCUUUCAAAGUUGUGUCUUUGCAAAGACUUGUUCUUUUCUUUAGAAUUAAGUGUGAGAUUCACUUAGCUCUAUAGAAGCUGCGAAAUUAGUUUGUUUAUGAGAUUCAAACAAACUAUUUCGUCGACAUAUUGAGAGAGUCAAUCAACCCCCAUCGAUUGAGAGUCAAUCACCCUAUCAUCAUCUUUAUCUCGACUUCAUUCCACCUUCCGCAGAAUAAGUUUGGAAUAUCUUCAUCAUUAAGUGAUCAUAAGUUGGAGUGAUUUCAAUCUUGUAUCAAUUAAUAAUGACACAUGUAAUGAUAUAGAAAGUUAUAAUUAUCCUACGUGUCAUGCUAGCGUAGAUCUUACCAAGUAGGGUUGUAACACUAGAUAGAUUCGGCUCUGCAUAAUAUGCAGAAAAAUAAUAAAAUAUUUAGGUUUUCAAUUUUUAUAAUCUGCAUAAUUAUGACUUGUACAGUUUGAUAUAUACUAUUAUUUGCGAGGUCAAAAAUCUGAUGUGUCAUCAUCACAGUGAUUGUCUUAUGUGUCAUUAAUAAAAAACAAUUAUGUGUUGUUUUAAUUUGUUUUGAUAGGUCAAUCAUUAGUCCUACGUGUACAUAUCCAUGACAUGGUUUUUUUUCUUAAUUAUGGGCCAAAGAUUUUGCUAAUGGGCCACCGAUCUUAAAGUUUGUCCUAGCCACCGAUGUAAAAGUCGGUACUAACCUAAACCCUAGCGUAUCCAUCGUGCUAGAUAUACCCAUUUCGGUUUUCAUAUUUUCUUACAUAUAAUAUCUGUCUACUAAAAAAAAAAUUGUUCACCUCUUUUUUUAAAAAAAAACUAUCAUAGCAUUUAAAAAAAACGUCCACCUCUUUUUUAAAAAAAGGAUCAUAUCAUUUUUUAUAUACUCCAUCUCUUUUUUUUAAACAAUCUCUAUGAUUAUUUAUGCGUAUUUCUAAUGAAAAUAACCUACUAUUUUUUGUAUAAUUGAUAUUUUGAUGGUUCUAUAGUUCAUCUCUCGCCUUACAAUGGAAUCGUCAGGUAAAUAUACAUUUUUGAUUUUAUCUUAGUUCGUGCUUUUAAUGUUUUUUCAGAUUCUAGAAGUUUUUCUUUUGUAAAUCCACGGCGUAAUAGUUAUUUGCUUCAAAACUUUUAUGAAUUUUCUGUAGCGAUUAGCAAUCGUCCCUUUCAUGAUCCUCAGAUUUUCUAUAUCAUCUGCCGCCAUCUCAAAUCGUUUUUCCACGAGAUGAAGAUUCUUCUGCCAGUGUUAACAAUGAUAAAUUUAUCGGUUGGUCGAAGUGUAAUCAGGACUAUCCAGAAUCCAGAUCGUUAUGUAUUCUGAAUUUCUGACACGUUGGAUUUGAGAUUGUUAAAAACAUCAUGGCAUCCCCGUCUCUGCGGAAUCUCCACACCGAGUAUUAUAUCCAAUUGUAACCCCAACACUGGUACUGCUUAAGGGUUUUAUUGCAUGUCGUUUGCAGUCCAUGUUCUUAUAUUGAUAUAAGAACAAAUAAAUGGUGUUGUCCACCCUACUUUCAAAGAUGCAUGUUAUGUUUUAGGUUAAAUUCACGAUGAUACUGAGAAUGUUUAAGCUUUCUAUAAGGCAAGUCAAUGAGGUUCCCGCUUCUCUCUCUUCAAAUGAGGUUCACUACUUUGUUACAUCCAGGUUCUAUGAUGAAUCACUUUUGUGUAUGGAGAUCCAUUCAAUGUUUUUUAGUAUAAGUUUUGUCAAUUUUUUGCAUUGUCUUUGAUUUUCUUUUCUUUCAUUAUAUUAUUUUAACAAUUUCUUAGAUUUUUUAUUCUGUUCUGCCCGGUUUCGGUUGAGAGGUUUACUAUUUGAGAUUUUUGUUGGACGUUGUUAGGUAUUUUUAUUGGACGUUGUUAGGUAUUUUUAUUGGAAGUUGUUAGUCUUGGUGCUCAUGCUUUAUAUAUAGAUGAUAUCCAGUAGCUAAAGAUUUGUGUACUUAGUGGUUCGUUUGUUCGGUUGGUAAUUUUUUGUUUGGGUUUUUGAAUUUGGUUUUGUAUUAUUUUUUCAGUCGGUUAGAUUGAUAUUUGGUGCGUGUUGGUUAUAUAUUUUGUGGUUUAAUGAUUACACUAUUAUAUAUAUAUAUACAUAUAUAUAUAGUUGUAGUGUGGUUUUUAGACAAAAUUCUCUUUUUUCAAUUUUUGCGAUAGUUUAUUUUUCAAGAAUGUCACAUAUUUAUUCAUUGAGCUUUUGUGGUGUUUAUGAUUUCUAAUAUGUCUACGGUUUUGUCAGAUAUGAUUGUAAUUAUUUACCUAAGCUCUUAAAAUUAUUAUUUAUUAUAUAAUCUAUACAUAUAUUGUGAUCAAAGUAAAGAAUGUAUAUCCUAGGGUUAUUUAACUAUGAUCUGAAAUUUAGUAUUUAUUAUAUAUAAUCUAAUAAGGAGAUGAAGACGACCAAUGAAGUCGGAAGGUGAAGAUGAUAAAAAUAUAGAAGACAAAGUAAAAUAAAAAAAUGAAAAAAAAGAAGUAGAAGAAGAGGAGAAAAAAAGAUAAAUCAAAAUAUAAAGAAGAAGCUGUAGUUGAUGAUAAAAACUAAAGAAAAAUAUGAACAUAAAUUUGAAUAAAACCAUAGAGAAAAAGAAGAAGAUGAGAACACAGAAUAGUGAAGAAGAAUAUUGAUAAGAAAAAAGAAAUUUGGCUUUGAAUAAGAAAACCAGAAGAAAUAAAUGAAAGAUGUAGAAACAAAGUAAAGACGAGGAAAUGGGAAAAUGAGUAGGUGUAGAUGAAAAAAAAAAGAUGAAAACACUAGAAGAAGAUAAAUUUGACAAAGACCAAAGAGGAAUAAGAAGUAAAGAAUAAAGAAGGCUAAUAAAAAUCAAAAAAGAAAGAAGAACAAGAAGAAAAAGAAGAAAAAGAAGAGCUGAGAAAUAUAACGAUGAUGAAGAAGAAGUCAAAACGAUGAUGAAGAUGAAAGAAAAUUAUGAAAAAUAAGAAAAUCGAAAGAUAUAUAAGACGAAGAAGAAAGUACAAGUCAAAGAUGAUGAAUAAGAAGGAAAAUAUGAAGAAGAAGAAGACUUUGGGACAGAAAAAAAAAACAAUGUCUUUAAAUUAUAUAUUAGAGAAUGAAGAAGAAAGACAUAUAAAAACCAAAAAAAUAAAAGAAUAAGGAAAAUACAAAGAAAAAAAAAACCAAAAGAUAAAAAGUAGAAAAAAGAGUAGAACAAAAUAGAAGAGCAAGAAGAAGGAGACAAGUCUGAAGUGGGAAUUGAAAUAGAAGUUGAAGACGAUGAAGAAGAGGAAAGAAAACAUAAGAAAUAAGAAAAUUGAAGUCAAUGAUAAAGAAGAAGUAAAAGACGAAGAAGAAGACUGAAAAAAAGAAAAAUAAAAAUCAUAAUAAGAAAAAUUAUGACAAGACGAAAUGUUGACAACUAAAAAUGGGAAGAGGAUGACGAAUUUAGAGAGAGAGAGAGAGAGAGAGAGAGAGAGAGAGAGAGAGAGAGAGAGAGAAAUUGUGGUAAUGCUUUCAGGGACAUGUAGAUGGAGAGAGAGAGACAGUGAGUGAGAGAAAUAGAGAGAGAGAGAGAGUAAGAGAAAUGAGAAAGAGAGAGUUAAACAUUUCAAGUACAUGACAUUAAAUCUAUGUUAGUUCGUCUUUUCUGUGUUUCUAUUUUUUUUUAUAUCUGAGACACUUCUUACUUUAAAUGUAGUUGUCUAAAUCGUAGAUAUAUACAACUUAAGACGAGGGAAGAAGAGAGAGAGAGUGAGAGAGAAAUACUGAAACAGAGGGAGGGUAAGAGAGAGAAUGAUAGGGAGGGACGCAUGGAGGGGGAGAGAAAGUUAAAGUUUUCAGGUAUAUGUAUUUGAUUAAUAUAAAAGACGAAGAAAAACAAGAAGAAUAUGAAGUCAGAGAGAUCAAAGAAGACGAAGGUGAUGAUGAAGAAGAAGAAUUCGAAGUAGAAGAGGAAGAAGUUGCGAAUAAGAUGUGGAAAACAUGAAGAAGAAGAAGACGUGAUUAAAAAAAAAAAACUAAAGAAUAAGAAGUAAGAAAAGACAUAUAGAAUGAAGAAGAAAUAAAAGAAAAUGAAAAGAAAGUAAGAAUAUGCGAGAGUAGAAUGAGAGAUAAAGGUGGAAAACUAUGAAUAAAGAUAAGGAAAAGACAAUAAAGAAGAAAAAUCAAAAGAUAAAUAAGAGGAAAAAAAUGAUGAAAAGCGAUUAUGUGGAGUGAUAACUAUGAGUUUUCAAGACUCUUUGUAGAGGUUAUCAAUCCCUUGUCUUGUAGUACAAGGGGUUUAUCAAUCCAAGAAUGUGGUGAUAGACACUAAGCUAUGUAAUCAGGUUCUUAAUUCAAGCAAACAAGAGUGGUUUGGUUAACUAGAGACAACUACAAACUUAAACAGGAUUAAAGACUAAUGAAAUGAUUAAACAAGAACUAAACAAUGAGAAAUGAUGAGAAUGUAUGAAUGAUGAUGAGAAAAGUCUUAGACAUGAUAGUGGAUUAGGGUGCCUUCAGUGAUAAACUAAUGAGCUAAUGAAUCAUAUGAUCAAGCAAACCAUUCAACAUAAACAUCUUUAAUUAAGUUAAUCCUCUCAUGAAGGUAUUAACUCCUAUGCUAAAACAGUUUCUAACCCAAUCAUCAUCAGUGAAACAUGAGUUAACAAGCAUUAAGAAUCAGUUUAAUCUGUCAUUUAAGCAUAUAGACAAUCAUUCCCAUGAUGAAUAACACUUAAACCUAUAACAACCUUGGUUCAAACAUUUCAUCAAACACUUUUGAUGCAUGAAAUGCCCAGAAUCUAGACCACAUAUGAUUUGUAUGGAUCUAGCAUAGAGAACAAGUUGUAGAGAAUGGAAUAUGCAUGAUCUAACCCCUAAGCUCACUAAUCUACCACUUAAACACCCUAAUCUACAUAUCUAAGACCUUAAUAUGGAGAUUACUCACUAAUCAUGAUCAACACACUAGAUCCUUUGCAAGAUGUGUUGUUAAUCAUGAUUAGAAGUGUAUAGAUGGAGAGAUAGAUGAUAGAUUUUAGAAGAAAGCAGCUUUAAACACAAAGAUCUCUUAAACUCUCUUGAUUAAACACUCAAUAAUCAAUAUUUCUCUUCUUAAUGGAGUCUUUUCACAAAAGAGGCAAGAGACAAAAGGAAUAAAGCUUAGUCUUCUAAAAACCCUACAAAGUAUUUAUAUCUCUCUAAAAAACGAACCGGGUCAGCCCGGAACAAACCGGAUCCUGACCCGGCUUUAAUGGAUAAAGUGGAAAUUCUGCGGGUUGGUCCAGUGUCUCCCAGGUAGCAUGCCCAAGUCGCAGUAGAUGAAGAACUUGUCUUGUGAGACUUAAAUCGCCUUGUCUUAGUCGCACGCCCAAGUAGGAGUGUUUUGCGAGUCUUGCUGCGGCUUAAUCUUCUUCUUCUUCAACUCGCAGGACCAAGGCGGUUUCUGGGGAAUGUACAAACCGUGCGGGUUGGUCUCCAUUACACUCAGGUCGCAGGCUCAAGUCGGAGUAGAUUGAGAGUGAUCGUGCGGCUUGGUUCCAGGCGCGGCCAACUCGCAUGCCUAAGUCGCACGAUUGUGGACUUAGCAAUUUUCUUGCUCGGGAGCCUCAGACCUCAUCCAUUGAUAGCUUACCCGCACUUCUCAACUCGCAGCAUCAAUUUCCAGGCAUUCGUCUUCAGGCCUGCGAGUUAACCAAGUCGCAAGGCUUUCUCGCAGCAUUCAGAGCAGCUUGGACCACUUCGCAUUCCGGAGAGUUUAACUUCUAAGAUACUUGUCCGAAUUGAGUGAUUCCGGUUGAAGAGGACAGAGGACUCAUAUAUCUCCAACUUUGGUGAAGGAAGCUUCGGUGCUUGGGAAGUGGAAGGCUUCCUGGAGAGCUCAUCUUUGCAGUGCAUUUACACGAUCAGAGAGAGGCGUCUAGACAUGUGUCAAUUCCGGAGACCGUAUCUUCCUGCUCAUAGCUCCGAAUUGAAUGAUCUUGGACGUUAUGGAUAGAGGACUCAAAUGUCUCUGAUUCGCAUGAAGGCUCAGGAAACUGAAUCGGCCUGAAAGUGCACUGUCCGUCGCAUUCUUCAGAGCUCAUCGGCUUGGUCCAGAACAGCAGCGAGACAGGGGUUCCUUCCGACGAGCUUAACUUUCUGCUCACGCGUCCGAAUUCCAUGAUUUCACUUGCUAUGGAACCAUGAUCCAAUCGUCUCCAACUUCGAUGAAGCACCCGACAACUGAAUCGGACCGGAAGGUUCCCCGGACAGGCGAUUUCGGAAACGUGUCUGCACCCGGAGAUUUUGGCCGAAAGAUUCAAUAGCCGGUACGCGUUUUGGCCGAUAAAGUCUACCCGCGGUACGCGUUUUGGCCGAGAAAAACCUUUCUGGUGCGCGAGAAUGGCCGAUAACCUCCAAAGACCCAAUUUCACCAUUUUUCAAGCCUUGAUCAUCAUUCCACCUCCUGGAUUCAUCUUUUCAGCUCCAAAUACACCUGAUAAGCACUCAAAACAUGCAAAGACUCAUUGGGACCUAAUGCAUCUCCUAAGUUCUAAAACAAACCCUAAGGACCUAAAAUGCAUGGAAUAAAACAUGAUUUGAAAUGAAUUAUGCAACCUAAAUGAUGCAAAUUAUGAACAUAUCAACUCCCCACACUUGUCCUUUGCUUGUCCUCAAGCAAACAAGAACAAAUGAGAGAGAGAGGUUGAAUGCAUGGGAGUUCACAUUUUCUUUUUGAGAGAAGUGAUCACAAUGAGAAUUCAAAUUCAUGCUCAAUUAUGCAAUGCAAAGCCAUACUCAGAUAUAUAUCAACUCAGCAAGGAAUUUCCACAAGUUCUUCUCUCUCUCAACUCUUACAUUCAUUAAGCUUUUAUCAGGUGAAUCUCAUGAUGCAAUGUUUAAACAAGCUGGCUUGGCUAGGGAGAGGCUAUGAGAUUAAAAUGAUCUCAUUAGUGUUCAAGUGGGUUUAAUGCAGCAAAGGGAUCUCUCUAUGAAUGAUCAAACUUUGGCAGAAUACUAAAGGUAAAAAGCAACCUAUGCAUACAAGGGCAAAGACUCAUCACACCCCACCCUCUACUCAAAGCUUUCUCACUUGCUCACUCUCUCAAGGACCUCACUUUUCACACUUAUUUUCCUCUCACUAGGGGACUUACUUUUCACUUUCACUCUCAAGUCUUGGAGUUCAAACUUUACACAGCUCUUUUUCUUUUGCAACCUCUAGCCUCCUUUUCUUCUUUCUUUUCAAAACAUUUGAGCUCUUUGGCUUCUUUUCUUUUCCUUUUACUUAGAGGCUAGACUCUUUCUUUUCAACACACCAGAGCUCACUUUCUUUAACUCAAAACUCCAAGACUGAUUUCUUUUUCUUUCAUUCCCCUAGCUAUUUCCACUUCCUCUUUUCCACUCAUCUCACCUUUUUCCACUCACCAACAAGUCUUUUCCCCCACACUUAUUCCUCGCCAAAACUCUCAGUUCCUUGAUGUUGGAACACAGCACUCAAUGAGACCUGCCCUUGUCGCUCUAAACCUAACACUUUCUGCUAAGUUUGAUCCAAGGUGGCCUUUCAAUUCACACACAAACAUUGGCUUGAAAGAAAGAUGGGUUCAAGGUGAGGGAACUGAUCCAUGAUGCGGAUUCAGCUACUUGAGCUAAGCAAAAAAGGGGGGGGGGUAAAAACAAUGGUUCUAGCUCAAGUAUGUAUAUCGGUAUCCACAAGCUUUUUCAAACAAUGCAUCACAAGAUAUUUUCAAGUCAAGUUCAAGGUUCCCACUUAAUUAGAGUUGAGUUCAAUUCAAACUUGCUUCUCAGAUUCAGAUCAUUUCAGACUUUGCAAGCACAGAAAAAGAUUCACAAGCAUAUUCAGUUCAAGUUCUCAAAGUGAUGUACUCUCUAGAAAAUCUAUCAUUACUCCCUGCAAGAUGCAACCUACAUGAACAUGCAAUCUAGACUCAAUCCUAAAAAUGAGAAUGCAACUACAUGAUCAUUUUUUUUGUGAAAAUUUUUCAGAUUUUUCAUUUUUUUUGGGUUUUUAUAUGCACUUAGAUGAGACUACAUGAAUAUGCAACUAGAAUGUGACUCAAGACUCAAAGUAUAAAAUAAGAACAGAGAAAACAUGGUUAGUAAAAGAUGAAACUCCUCCCCCACACUUAAAUAACACAGUCCCUUGUGUUAUAAAAGCAUGAGAAAGGAGUGAAAGCAAAGCAAACAAGUAAAAAUGCAAAGAAAAAGAAAAUCUACAUGCAUAUUUACAAGGUUUAGAGUGUUACCUAAGAGCUGUUGAAGUCAGACCCCAAUGAGUAAGAGGGGUUUGAAGUGUGACCGGAUGGUGUCUCCCAAGAAUGAUGGCUUGCUUCAUCAGACCCGUCGUCGAGAUCCACCCAAGUUGUGCCAUAUGUGACCAGGGCUAUGCAGUUCAUGGAACUCUCUCCAACUUCCUCUCUGUUCCUUGGUGAAACUGGUGCUGGAGACCCACCUUUGCAAGGGUUUUCAAGCUUAUUAAUCCUCUUCUUCAUCUCCUUGAUGCACUUGGCCAUCUUGUGGAUGGUUUUGUCUUGGUACUUGCACCAUUGUUGGAGAAUACCAAUCUUUUGUUGAGCUAUGAACCCUGAAGUGCCUGGUUCCUCCCAGUUGUAAUCAUCAAAAUGGUAUCUAUUUCCAACAAAACGUUUUUGAGGUGGAGGCAGAUCAGCAUCUUGAGCACCAGUAGCACUUGUGGUAGCAUCUUCAGCGGUUGCUCUCUUUCCCUUGGAGGCUUCUUCUCUGCAAGCUUGCUUGUAUGUGAGGAUUGGUGGAUCAGUUUGGACAUUGUACAGCUCUUCCUUCAGCAAGAAGAAGUGAAUGUUCCUCUUAACUUGGACUGUGGUGAUGGAGGGAUUGGGCAGGAGAGUUUGUGCUGGCUCACUGAUGAGAGUCUUGAAGUUGUAUACUACCUUGGUACCCACUCUUCCUUGGAGGAAGCCAAUCUUACACAAAUGUGCUUCAUUAAUUAGAUCAAACUUUGCCUUGUUCUCCUUGAAUCUGUACCCCUUGGCUUUCAAAAUCUUUGUUACCACCCAUCCAUGGGCCAGCUUUGCAUCUUGCUUUGUAGAACCCCAAAUGCACUUUUUUUAGAACAUCAAAGACCUUGCUAAUUGAGAGGCAAGGCAAAGUGGGUAUUCAUACUGUUCAUAGGGUUCCCCAUCUUCAUGAGUUGGCAUCAGCUGUUUCAGCCCCACACCAAGAAGCAUCAGAUCGCCUUUGUGAACUCUUCCAUCAUCGAUUUUGAAGUAGAAGCUGUGAGAGAGAAUCUUGUGAACAUAUCUCAGCACUGGAUUCCUUAUCCAAGAGGACUUAGCUGUUCCAGCUAUGUACUUCCCAGAAGCAAUUGAUCUCCAUAGAAGUUGGACCUCAUCUUUUCUGAGAUUGACCUGGUUGGAGAGAAGUUCAUUUCUAGGUGUUAACAACCCAAAAAUCUCAUUCAAUUCUCUGAAUGACACUGAAUAAUCCUUCCCUUUCAUAGUAAACUCCAAAUGUCCAAGCCCAUCUCCUUGAAUAAUUCUUGAAUCCCUUGGGUAGUAAAUGAAAGCUUCAAAAGAAGCCAAGAACUCCUGAGAUUCCUCUUCAUAAGCGAUCUCUCUCAUCUCCAAAAGUGACUCAACACCCAUGUUCCCAAGCAAGGUUUUGACAUCUUCAUAGAUGCCAAUAUUCUUCAAAAAGUCCACAUCAGGGAACCUCCCUUGCUGGAUCUCUAUCUGUUGAAACUUCGCCAGAUAAUCAAGUGUUUCUGGUUCAGUUUUCUUGAACCUUUUUGAUCCCUCUUCAAUGGUGCCUUGUGAACCACCAGCUGAGCUGCUUGAGUCACUUUCAGUCUGUUCACUCUCAGAUACGACAGCCAACUGUUUCCCCUUCUUCUUGGAACCAGAAGCAACCACCAAAGAUUUUCCUUCAUGCCUUGUCCUUUUUGGCGCUGGAUCACACUUCCCUUGCUUUGUGGUAUUCUUUGCUCCUUGACCUUUUUCUCUUGGCUGUGAAGACCCUGAGACCAAACCUUUGCCCUUUGAUGCAGUGCUCUUCUUCUUGGCCAGAGAGUUGGUUCUUUCAGUCAUCUGCCAAGACAUUCUCAAAAACAAUGUUAGUACAAGAACAAGCUUCACAAAAUUCUCCAAAAUUUUGAAAAAAAAAAAUUGUUGCAAGAAUCGAUUUUAAAACCACAUGAACAGGUUUCUCAAGCCAAGCAUCAAUCCAAUAAGUUCAUAGCAAUGCAAAAACAAGAGUGCAAAGCAAGGACUCAGCAAUGAAAAUAGAUCUUUUUAAAAAAAAAAAAAAAAUCGAUUUUUCUCAUGAAUUUCUUACAACAAUUUUCAAAACUCAAGAACAAGGAAUCACCAACAGCUGUUUUCUAAGACUAUCUAGCACCCUAGCAUUUAUAAAAAUAAUCCCAAGGUCUAAAACAAUCUAUCAAAAUCGAUUCCACACCUUGAAGUUCAAAAAUCACCAUUGAAGAACAUGGAAAAAGGUGAAUUUUAACUGAAUGAAAUACCUUGGGAUUAAGAUGCAACGAGCUCGAAAUGCAAUCAAGAUGAUGUUAAAAACUCAAAAACGAGUUCAGAGCACUUUGAAUCAACAAAUUUGGUGGAGAAAUGAGAGAGAUAUGAUGAAAACAAUGGAGAGAAAUGAGAGAAAGAGUUGCAAACUCGGGUUUUUGGUGAGGAAGAGAGAGUGUGGGACAGGUUAAAGACUUUGGACUGGUGGUCAAUAGAUCUAUUUUGACCAGUCAAGGCUUUGACCUGUCCUUUUCUCGUUGACCAGCCUCCUUUCUCUCCUUUGUGCGACCGGGAACCGUCGGGAUCGGGCCGCAUGACGGUCUCGGUGUAGAACCGGAAAUGUUUUUGUGCUACCUGGGAUCUUCUGUGCCUCCCCCGCAUGACCAAGUCGCAGUAAAAGUCCUUCAGCUCGGUUUUAUCUUUCCUCAUUGCUGCUGCCUGGAACCCUUGCUUUCCAGCUAGCACGCCCAACUCGGAGUAAUUUGCGAACAUGUGUGCGGGUUAGACUCCUUUGUUCCCAGGUAGCAUGACUAUCUCGCAGGGUUUGGGACUUAAAAACCUCGGGGUUCCUCUUCUGGUGCGGCCUGGCCUCCAUACUUCCCAGGUAGCACGCCCAACUCGGAGUAAUUUGCGAGUCUUCAUGCGGGUUAGCUUCUUUGUUCCCAGGUAGCAUGACUAGGUCACAGGUUUUUGGACUUAAACAAUUUGGCCUUUCUUUUCCUGCUGCGACCUGGUCUUCAUGCUUCCCAGCUAGCACGCCCAACUUGGAGUAAAAUGCGAUCAUACGUGCGGCCUAGCUUCUUUGUUCCCAGGUAGCAUGACUAGGUCGCAGGUAUUUGGACUUAAGAUGUCUCGGCCAUUCCUCUUUUGCUGCGACCUAGUCUCCUUGCUCCCAGCCAGCACGCCCACCUCGCACACCUUCACACUUAGGCGUUUGGCUCUUCUUGAUUUCGUGCAGCCUGGUCUCUAUGAUUCCCAGCUAGCACGCCCAACCCGGAGUGAUUUGCGAAUGGAUGUGCGGUUUAACUUCUCUUGUUUCCAGGCCGCAGCAACUACUCGCAGGUUUUUGCACUUAAACACCUCGGCCAUCCUUCUUUUGCUGCAACUUGGUCUUCAUUCUUCCCAGGUAGCACACCCAAUUCGGAGUAAAUUGCGAUCAUGUGUGCUACCUAACUCCUUUGUUCCCAGGCCACAGCUCCUACAUCGCAGAUCUUUGGACUAAAGAUACCUUGGACCUUUUCUUUUUGGUGCGGCCUGGUUUCUCUUUUCCCAGCCAGCACGCCUAACCCGGAGUGAUUUGCGAAUGGAUGUGCGGCCUAGCUUCCUCUCUUCUUACCCGCAGCACCAGCUAGCACAACCUCGGACUUAGACGUUUUGGACUUCUUCUUUUUGGUGCGGCCUGGUUUCUCUUUUCCCAGGUAGCACGCCCAGGCCGGAGUAAAUUGCGAGUCCUGCUGCGACCUGGGCUCUUCUUGCACCAAGCCGCACACCUAGGUAGCACUGAGGCGUUCUCCAAGUUUUUCAGGCCCUAAAUACUUCUCUCAGCCCUCUCACAUGCUCCAUUCCAUUCAUCACUGAGCUAUGUUCUCCAAAAAUCACCUAGAACCUGAGACCAACUCACAAAACCCAUCAAAAAGUUCUAAAACAUAAAAGAAAAGAGAAGAAAUCAAAAGAACUAUGUACAAAGAUAAGCUUGGGGUGUCUCCCAAGAGCACUUUGUUUAAAGUCUCUAAGUUUGACUAUGGAAACCUGUUUAGCAGGCUGGAGGUGGGUCAAGAAGGGGAACUGAUGUAGCUUCCUCCUUCCCUUGUGAAACUAAGUAAUGCUUGAUUCUUUGUCCGUUUACCACAAAUUCUUGACCAUUCUUCCCUUCUAAGACAAUAGCACCAUAUGGUCUCACUUCAAGAACUUUAAAAGGUCCAGACCAUCUAGACUUAAGUUUUCCUAGAAACAACUUAAGUCUAGAGUUGAACAGCAACACCAAAUCACCAUCCUUGAACUCCCUUUUCAGAAUCUUUUGGUCAUGCAGAACCUUGGUCUUCUCCUUAUAGAUCUUUGAGCUCUCAAAAGCCCCAAGCCUUAUCUCUUCAAGUUCAUGGAGUUGAAUGACCCUUUUCUCUUGAGCUGUCUUGAUAUCAAAGAUCAGCAACUUCACAGCCCACAAAGCCUUGUACUCUAACUCAACAGGAAGGUGGCAGCUCUUCCCAUAUAGCAGAUUGAAAGGUGAUGUCCCAAUAGGAGUUUUAAAGGCAGUCCUAUAAGCCCACAAUGCAUCAUCUAGCCUUUUGCUCCAAUCUUUUCUGCUUGAGCUCACAGUCCUCUCAAGAAUGGCCUUGAUCUGUCUAUUAGAUACUUCAACCUGGCCACUAGUUUGAGGAUGAUAAGGAGUAGCUACCUUGUGUUUCACUCCAUGCUUUCUCAGUAAACCCUCCAAAGUCUUGUUCACAAAAUGAGAUCCUCCAUCAGAGAUAACAACCCUUGGAACUCCAAAUCUUGGGAAGAUAAUGCUCUUGAACAGCUUCACUACAACCUUGGAAUCAUUGGUAGGGGAAGCAAUGGCCUCAACCCAUUUGGACACAUAGUCCACAUCAACAAGUAUAUACUGAUUCCCAUAGGAUGAAAUGAAAGGCCCCAUAAAGUCAAUCCCCCAGCAAUCAAAGAUCUCAACUUCUAGAAUUGGGUUUUAAGGCAUCUCACUCCUCUUUGAUAUGCUCCCAUGCCUCUGACAAGCAUCACAUGCUGAACCACUAACUGAGCAUCUUUGAACAUUGUGGGCCACCAAAACCCACUCUGAAGAACCUUUGCCACAGUCUUGAAUGCUCCCAUGUGACCCCCAAAAGCUGAACUAUGACACUCUUGCAACACAGGCUGCAUCUCCUCCUCAGCAAGACACCUUCUAUACAGCUGAUCUUUGUUCAGGACAUAGAGGUAGGGCUCAUCCCAAUGGUAUCUUUGAACUUCUCUGAAGAAUUUCUUCCUGUGGUAAGCAUCUAAUUCAGGUGGUUCCACUCCACAAGCAAGAUAGUUCACAAUGUCUGCAAACCAAGGCAUCCUCCUCUCUUGAAUGCUGUCCACUUCUUCAAACUCCAAAUAAGAAUGGAGCACCAUCAGUGAUUCCUCAGGAAGACUGUCAUUAAGAGGCAAUUCAGAGUCUAUUCUCAACCUAGAGAGAUGGUCUGCAGCUCCAUUCUCUAUACCCUUUUUGUCAUGUACUUCCAUAUCAAAAUCCUGAAGUAGAAGAACCCAUCUCAAUAGUCUUGGCUUAGCAUCUUUCUUGGUCAUCAGAUACCUGAGGGCUGCAUGAUCAGUAUAUACAAUUACUUUUGAUCCCACCAGGUAACUUCUGAAUUUAUCGAAGGCAAAGACUAUUGCCAACAUUUCCUUCUCAGUAGUAGCAUACUUCUCUUGUGCAGGGCCAAGUGUUCUACUAGCAUAGUAAAUGACAUGAAGCUUCUUAUCUUUCUUCUGGCCAAAUACAGCUCCAACUGCAAAAUCAGAUGCAUCAGUCAUAACCUCAAAAGGUAGGGACCAGUCUGGGGCUUGGACAAUUGGUGCACUGACUAAUGCAUCCUUGAUCAUCUUGAAGGCCUCUUCACAUUCAGCAUCAAAGAUGAAAUCCACUUCUUUACAAAACAGCCUUGUCAAGGGCCUGGCAAUUCUUGAGAAGUCUUUGAUAAAUCUUCUGUAAAACCCUGCAUGCCCAAGGAAACUCCUUAUCCCUUUAACUGAAGUGGGAGUUUGCAGAUUCACCAUCACUUCCACCUUUGCUCUGUCAACCUCAAUACCCUUCUCAGAUAUCUUGUGCCCAAGAACUAUUCCUUCCCGCACCAUGAAGUAGUAUUUCUCCCAGUUUAACACCAAGUUAUCCUGCUCAAAUCUCUCCAAGACCUGUUACAAAUUAGAGAGAAAAUCCGAGAAGGAGGAGCCAUAGACACUAAAGUCAUCCAUGCACACCUCCACCUUCUCUUCAAUAAUGUCAGAGAAUAUAUGCAUCAUGCAACGUUGAAAUGUGGCAGGGGCAUUACAGAGACCAAAAGGCAUUCGCCUGUAUGCAAAGGUGCCAUAAGGGCAUGUGAAUGUUGUUUUCUCUUGAUCUCGGGGAUCUAUGGGAAUUUGGAAGAACCCCGAGUACCCAUCGAGAAAACAAAAGAAGGGGUGUUUUGCAACGCCUCUCUAACAUCUGAUCAAUGAAAUGUAAGAAACUAUCCUUCCUNNNNNNNNNNNNNNNNNNNNNNNNNNNNNNNNNNNNNNNNNNNNNNNNNNNNNNNNNNNNNNNNNNNNNNNNNNNNNNNNNNNNNNNNNNNNNNNNNNNNNNNNNNNNNNNNNNNNNNNNNNNNNNNNNNNNNNNNNNNNNNNNNNNNNNNNNNNNNNNNNNNNNNNNNNNNNNNNNNNNNNNNNNNNNNNNNNNNNNNNNNNNNNNNNNNNNNUCGUAGUAGUUAAGUGUAUCCUAUGGCUCUCCUGAACUUUCUUAUCUCACUAAGCAAUGCACUCUCUUGAUCCUCUAAUAGGCUAUCAUUGAUGAUUACUGGAUAUGUUGAGUUUAAGCCCAAGAAGGCAUACAUGAGCCCUGUUGGUAGAGGCUUGAGCUCAACAGGGGGUGCAUCAGCCUCAUUCCAAUCCUGGUCCAAGCUGCUUUGGCUGGUGUCUGAUCCUUUGAUAGCAAAAACCUCAGAGCCACUUUGUUCCAGCUCCAAAAACCUUGUCUCAGGACCCAGCUCUCUAGCAUUGUCCAAAUACAACUUGUACCCUUCACUUGCUUCAGCUAAGAGCCCAUUGUCUCCUUGUUCUUGAGUUAGAGCAGCUUGAAGAGGAUCCUCAGUGUUCAGCUCCUCUAGCAACUCAUCAGCCAACUGAUCCAUUGUCUCCACAUAGAAACAUUGACCUUCAAUGGUGGGUUUCUUCAUCAUCUCAUUCACGUCAAACUUGAGCUUUUCAGACCCAAGUUGAAGCUCUAUUAUCCCACCUCUCACAUCAAUUUUGGCUCCUGCAGUUGCUAAGAAUGGCCUGCCCAAGAUAAGAGGAUCUACUGGUUCUUCAUCCAUCUCCAGCACAACAAAAUCAGUUGGAACCUCAAAACCACCUAUCUUGACAGGUAGAUCUUCCAACAUACCAACAGGCAAUCUAACUGAUCUAUCUGCAAGGAUAAGAGAAAUCCUUGCAGGCUUGAAGACUCUAAAGCCCAGCUUCUUUGCUAUGGAGAAUGGCAUCAAGCUGACUGAUGCUCCUAGAUCACAAAGACAUCCAGAGAAUAGAAGAGGUCCAAUGGCACAAGGGAGUGUGAAACUCCCUGGAUCAGUUAACUUUCUUGGUAUGGACUUCUUCUGAAUGAUAGCACUGCAUUCAUGACUUAGUACCACCAUGCCUUGAAGUUUUUUUGUCUUGUUCAGAAUGGCAUCCUUCAGGAACUUGCCCAUCUAUGGCAUCAUUAAGAAUGCAUCAAUAAGAGGCAUAGUGAGUGGUGUCUCAUUGAGUGCCUUCUCAAAUACAGCUUUUGCCUUGUCCACAAGCUGCUUCUUAAAUCUCCCUGGAAAUGGGAGCUUGGGUUGGUAUGGAGGUGGUGGCACAUAUACCUUUUCUGGUUCAGGUUCCUUUGCUACCUUUUUACUCUUUUGGACAGGUUUCUCAGCAACCUGAUCAUCUUUUAAGGCUGCCUCCCCCUCAGUUUGAUCAUUGUCCUCAAUGAUCACAUUGUUGUUCUCAAUACCAGGUAACUCCUUUCCACUCCUCAGUGUAAUGGCCUUAGCAUAUUCCUUGGGGUUGGGUUCUCCGGUCUGAUUCAGUUGUCGGGUGCUUCAUCGCAGUUGGAGAAGAUUGGAUCACGGUUCCAUAGCAAGUUGAAUCAUGGAAUUCCGACGCAUGAGCAGAAAGUUAAGCUCGUCGGAAGGAACCCCUGUCUCGCUGCUGUUCUGGACCAAGCCGAUGAGCUCUGAAGAAUGCGAAGUACGGUGCACUUUCAGGCCGAUUCAGUUUCCGGGGCCUUCAUGAGAAUCAGAGACAUUUGAGUCCGCUUUCCAGAACGUCCAAGAUCAUUCAAUUCGGAGCUAUGAGCAGGAAGAUACGGUCUCCGGAAUGGACACAUGUCUAGACGCCUCUCUCUGAUCGUGUAAAUGCACUGCAAAGAUGAGCCCUCCAGGAAGCCUUCCACUUCCCAAGCACCAAAGCUUCCUUCACCAAAGUUGGAGAUAUAUGAGUCCUCUGUCCUCUGCCCUCUGCUACCGGAAUCACUCAAUUCAGACAAGUAUCUUAGAAGUUACACUCUCCGGAAUGCGAAGUGGUCCAAGCUGCUCUGAAUGCUGCGAGAAAGCCUUGCGACUUGGUUAACUCGCAGGCCUGAAGACGAAUGCCUGGAAAUUGAUGCUCCAAGUUGAGAAGAGCGGGUAAGCUAUCAAUGGAUGAGGUCUGAGGCUCCCGAGAAAGAAAAUUGCUAAGUCCACAAUCGUGCGACUUAGGCAUGCUAGUUGGCCGCGCCUGGAACCAAGCCGCACGAUCACUCGCAAUCUACUCCGACUUGAGCCUGCGACCUGAGUGUAGUGGAGACCAACCCGCACGGUUUGUACAUUCCCCAGAAACCGCCUUGGUCCUGCGAGUUGAAGAAGAAGAAGAUUAAGCCGCAGCAAGACUCGCAAAUGGUGGUUGAAACUGUUGUUGAACAGGCGCUUGCUGUUGGAACUGUGGAGGACCAAACCCUGGUGGUGCCUUUUGCUGCUGUGUACUGAAACUAGGACCUUGAAAAGGUUGUUGUUGCUGACCAAAACCUUGAUUCUGAGCAAACUGAUUCUUUGGUUGAAAAGAUCCUUGAAAGUUGUUCUUGGGAACAAAGUUCUGUGGAGCUUGAGAAUUGGGAUACACCUGGUCUUGUGGGUUAGCUACAUUGGUGUUCCUGUAAGAAAGGUUUGGAUUGGCAUUACCAUACUGAUAUCUCUGGAACCUCUGAUUCCCAAUGUAGUUUAGCUCCUCCUGGGUAAGACCUUCUUCACUUAUGUUCUCAAAGAUUUGAGAAGGUUCCUCAUACUCUCCAACAAAAUGCAUUGGCUUCUGAGUGGUGGAAAGGGUGGGGUUGGUGGUGCACCUGUUGUCUUUGCUGUACAUUGGCCUGAUGCCUCUGUUGAUGAGCUUGAGCUUGUCCCUGGUGGACAUAAGCUUGUUGGUGCACCUGUUCCUGAUGAACAUUACCCUGAUUUAACCCUUGACCAGCUCCAUUACCAGCUCCAUUACCCUGAGCCUGUUGCUCCUGAACCGGUUGUUCUAUAUCCACUACGUGCUCUCUUUGUUCUUCCAUAUCAGCCUGAUCAAUCUGUCUUCCACGUCUGUCCCUUCUCCUCCUUGGUACCAAAAGAUUGAUGUUGUCGUUGAGAGGGAAAGGUGGACCACAGCUUCUUGAUCUAGACCUGGUGUUCAUACCCGGACAGGCGAUUUCAGAAACGUGUCUGCACCCGGAGAUUUUGGCUGAGGGAUUCAAUAGCCGGUACGCGUUUUGGCCGAUAAAGUCUACCCGCGGUACGCGUUUUGGCCGAGAAAAACCUUCCUGGUGCGCGAGAAUGGCCGAUAACCUCCAAAGAACCAAUUUCACCAUUUUUCAAGCCUUGAUCAUCAUUCCACCUCCUGGAUUCAUCUUUUCAGCUCCAAAUACACCUGAUAAGUACUCAAAACAUGCAAAGACUCAUUGGGACCUAAUGAAUCUUCUAAAUUCUAAAACAAACCCUAAGGACCUAAAAUGCAUGGAAUAAAACAUGAUUUGGAAUGAAUUAUGCAACCUAAAUGAUGCAAAUUAUGAACAUGGAGACGAAGAACUCGCUUUUUUCUUAGUUCAAUUGGUUUUGUGAAUUUCAUAAACUUAUUUGGUAAGCAUAUACGUCUUUAAUUUUGGAUAGUAUUUAUUUUUUCGAUUUUAUUUUAUUUUAUUAUGUAUGUCUUAAAUAGUUGUUUUAAGUAAAAAUUACUCAAACUAACCUUUAAGGUGACCUAAAUGACAAACCUAACCUAACAUAUUUUGAGUCUUACUAGAUUAACCUUACAAAGUUGGUCUAAUACCAUUUUAUCCAGAUGUUGAAUAUUAUUACGAAAAUGCCAUAUUGAUUUUUUUUUUUUUAAAAAAUUCGAUUUGUUUUUUAUUUUAUUUUUCUGAAAAAAAUAUUAAAAAAGUAGAUACAAAAAACAAAAAAACAAACCUAAUAUUAAAAAAAAUUAUCUCUCUCAUCUUCUCUCUCAUCUUCUCUCUCGCUUCUCUCUCGUUUCUCUCUAACCUAGAUCUUUUUUUUUCUGCUGCAUUUCUUGAUUCCGGCAGUUAGCGGCGGUGGACCACUCCUUUCUUGCCUCCGUCGAUCACAAGAAUCGUCCGAUGGCACCAGUGCACCUCUCACUUCCCUUUAGAUGGCAAUUUUGUCCUUAUCUUUGAGCAUUGUGCUUCCCUUGAGUCUCUAGAUCCUUCCGCCUUCUACCACUAGACCGAAGACCUUCCUCUAGUUCUCCUCCAUUACUAUGAAGUCGCAGCAAGGCUCAAUCGCUUGGAUCCCUUGACAGUGUCCUUCACCAAGGGUUACAAAUCGAGUGACGACACAGCUGUGAGACCACAACUCUUAAGCGGCAUUCUCGCCGCAUCGCACACAACCGCAGUGGAUAGACGUUGUUUCAGUGGAAUGGUGGUUUUGAGGAGGUUGUCGGCGGCGUAAUUUUUUUUGUAAAACCCGUAACCCUAAUUUUUGUUUUGUUUCAGGUAAGUUUGAUAAAUAUAUUUGAAAAAACGAUAUUGUAUUUUUUAGUUGUAAAGUUCAUAACGUGUGAUGGUAGAUUUAUUUGAAAAACGGUAUGUAGUUUGGUAGAUUAUUAGUUAUUUGAUGGUAGAUAUAUUUACAAAACGAUAUGUAGUUUGGUAUAUCUAUUAGUUAUUUGAUGGUAAAUUUAUUUAAAAAACAAUGUGGUUUGGUAUAUUUAUUAGUCAUCUGACGGUAGACUUAUUUGAAAAACAAUGUGAUUUGGUAGAUUUAUUAGUCAUUUGAUGGUAACUUAUUUGAAAAACGAUAUGUGGUUUGGUAGUUUUAUCAGUUAUUUGAUGGUAGAUUUAUCAGUUAUAUAUAUUUGAAUUUUAUAUUUGAAUGAUGGCAUUUGUUUGUUCUUCUCUGACAGGUUAUGGGAUUUGUGAUGGCGAACGAGUCUCUGAUGGGUUAUGUUCUACUAUGAAUAUUAGAUUUGCAUUUGGUAGAUUUGUUUUGAAAUGAUGGUAGAUUUAUUAUUGAAUUGAUGGUAUAUCUAUAUUUGAAUUUGUACAAAUGAUAAUUAGAUUUUAGAUGAUGAUAUCUUUGUUUUCAAAUUAUAUUUGGCGCAAAAGAUUGACUCAAACAUUUCAUCUUUUUACCACUUUUCUUUACUUUCACUAUGGUUUAUAUCCUAAGUUAAUGAAAUUUUAAACAAAACACAUGAUUAAAGUCAUUUCACAUUGUGAUGUUCAAAAGUUUAUGUAAAUAUAAUUAAAUAUAACAAAAUAUUCACAAAUAAAAAUUAAAAGAUCAUAAGUUAAGAGAUAGUCAUUACAGACAAAAACGAUAAGGACAUAAGAUAAAUGUUUAAGUGAACUAGUAGGACAUAUAUGUUCAAGGUUAAUAUGUGAUAACACCGUAUUUUGACCACUUUUAUGGAUCGUUUUGAAAUACUUUUUCUAUGUUUUUAAUUGCUUUUAAGUACUUUUAUCACGUUUUUCUAGUAUUUUUAGUUCCAAGACUCUUUUCAGGUAACUUAGGGAAAAACUUAACAAAAUGGAUAGAAAACCAGAUUUCAGCUCAAAGUCAAACCGUCAGAAGUUCACCCCUGAUUGAAGGCCUUCUCACCGUCUGUUCCAGCUCAAAUUUGGAGACCUUAAAGAUGGAAGUAUCAACUUUCCAGCACACUUUACAGCUUGACAAUCCAACGGUUCAAUCAAAAGAUACGCGAAGAGCAAGAUGUCCCGUAAACCAGCCAGCAAGCAACUCCACCCGUGGCCAAUAAGCCAUUUCCCGCGGUCAGAAGCAUCCCGACCGCGGCAAACCACUCAUUCCCCGCGGUCACAGCACUCCCAACCGCAGCAAGCCAACUCCGAGCCCAAAAGCCCAUUUUUGAAGCCCACAAUGAUUCCCUCAUUUGGAGAAACCCUAAGUGACGUCCAGAGCACUAUAAAUACAUGUUUUAGGAACCCUAAUCGAAAAAAAAAGAGACCACCGAAUUUUUACUUCAUAGUUUUAUUGUUUUUGCUUUAGCUUUUAGGGAGAGAGAGAUUUGUUCUCUUGAACCCUUGUUCUUUCUUUUUUAAUUUCGGUUUCUAUUCUACUUAUUAAUACUAUGUUUUUGAUUUCGUUCAUUAUGUCUGAGUAGUUUUAUUGUUGGGAUUAAGGGAUUUUAGAUGGGGAUUUAUAUGUUCGAUGAGGAUUCCAUGAGCUUUUGAGCCGAAUCUUAGAACUUAUUCUUCUGAAUUCGUUUUUACUGCAUGAGAGUAGCGUCAUGAACUACAAUCUGAUCCAGAUGCUUUGUGACACGAAAGUGUUCAUCAGGUAUCAGAUCUAGUUUGGGAGAGCAAAACAAACAUAGGAGUGGAAACCUACCUAUGGGCGAUUUGUCAAUGCUGACGAGUCUUAAACAUAAUGCAUCUCUUCUUUUCCAGGGCCAUAGUGGAAACCUACUGGUCAGGGUUGAGAGAGAUAGUUGUCUAUGAUCACGACAGUGGCGUAUUCAUAUGUCCGUGACUCCAGUUCGAAAAGUUUAAGCUAAGAUCUUAGCAAUUUUACUCUCUAGCAAUGUUUUGAAUCGUUCGUACCCCUGAGAAAACUUCCCUGAACCCCAACGCCUUCUUUCCUAUUGAUUUACACCGUUUUUAUUUCAAGCUUUAGUUCAAUAUUGUCUUUCCUUUUUAGUAGAUUUUCAUUUAAGCAAUUAGAAUAUCCGUUUUUCUCAUUUUUAUUCAUUUUCGUUAAGUUUAGUUAUUAGGUCAUUUAAUUCCCGUAUUUUCUUUUAAGAUUUCGUUUUUACAUUUUAAACACACCACCAAACCCCCACAAAACCGUUUUGGUUCUAGACUUCCUUACUUUAUACUUAUUUCAAAGGCUUUUUGCAGGAAAAGAUCCUCUUUCCCCGUGGAUUCGAUCCCAAAGUACUACAAUCGAUCAGCUGUGCACUUGCGGCUAUUGAUUUCAUUUAGGUUAAAACUUGACAACCCUCACGACAACACCACAUCAAGUUUUUGGCGCUGUUGCCGGGGAAAGCACGCGUUUUCUUUUCUGCAACCCCGAGAAAGGUUGGUAAAUCGACUCUAAAACCCCUUUUUCUGCAAUUUUCCAUUUUUCGGUUUUUUUGUUUCCAUUUCAGAAGAUAUGGAUCCUAUAAAUCGAAAUAUACACUAUGAGGAAGGUUUAUAUAACACUCCUCAAGCCACCAGACACAGAACGUUCCAGAAGGAGCCCUGCGCAUCUCCAAUGGCCAACCCUGAACAACCCGCUCGUCGUUUGCCUCACCAAGAUGAAAACGUCCAACUCAUUCACUGAUUGAAAACACUAGAAGUGGCGGUCUUGCACCUACUCGACGUUCAAGCGAGAUCUAGAUCCACAAUCCACGAGAAAAUUGACGACUUGUCAAUGCGCUUUAACAGAAAGCUUGAAGAUCUUUCAGCUCAAGUCAAGACCAUCGAAACUCAACUAAACAAGGGUGCUGAAACCAUUAAGGAGAGGAUAGAAGCAAUCGAAGGACGAGUUGGAGAAAACGAAGUUCGCAUUCGCAAAGCCAGUGGGAACAUCCGCACCUUAGAGAUCAAACUUGAUGAAGCAGAAGAGACUAUUAACGACCAUAACAACCAAACCUAUUCCUACAUGGAAGAGAUUUAGGAUGGAGUACACAAGGUUCAAGACAAAACAGAGGAAAUAGACUCAACCGUGGACAAAGUAGUCUAUGCCCUCGAUGAAAUCGAAGAGAAGGUUGAAAAGCUUAUGCAAGGAUGUGAAACAAACGGUUCGACGCUUCUCAUCGAAGAUCUUACCUUAAAAAAGGAGGAAACGGAGCUAGAAUGUGCAGAAAUCAGUUUAGAUGGCAAAAGAGCAGACGAAACAAAGGAAACAACUCGGAGCCUUCUUCUCGCGGUCAGAACUCUCGUGACCGCGGCCAACAAGCCUCCAGCCGCGGUCGUGAGCCUCCUGACCGCGGCAAAACCCUCCCCACCCGCGGUCGUGAAACCUCUACCCGCUGCAAAUGCUCCGUCAGAUACCUUUCAGCCCUUUUCCACUCCUACAGGUCAAUGCUUAUUUGAUACAUCUGCUAGGAUGGUCAAAGCCCCUCUACAUGAGCAAACGGUGUAUGCUAUCAGCUCCAAAACAUCUCAAGAAGAAAAUGAGGUACUCCCUUGCAACAUAGUUUUAGCAUAUGAGGAUGAAUAUGAAGGGCACUACCUCGAAGAUGAAGACUAUCGUCUGUUCAUAGAAGGAGGGAAUCCAGACAAAAUGGUGGAAUUAGGAGCACCAAUCUCCAGAGAAAGGCUCAUUGAAUUCAACAAGUUUGUGAAAUCGAUCCCUCUUUACACAGGUUUCGAUGAUAUAUGGCAUCUUGGUUGUUUGCAAGUUUUCUUUAGGUACAGCAAGGAGACAAAGGAGGAUAUCAGAACCUAUUUUGGGAGGGCUAGACGUCUGACUUUUCCCAGAACAUCACCUGAUGCUGCAAUCUAUUCAAUUCACCUCAAAAAGCCGGAAGACUGCAGCCACUACACCAACAAAAUCAGCAAGGAAAAGCUCGAUGAAUUCAAUGAUGUGGUUCGAAAUUUGCCUGAAGAAAUCACGUUUGCCAGAGCUUGCAAGGACUUUAUGAUAGGCCACUACUUCUGUGAGAGCAAAGAAUCAAUCCCUGAGAUAGAAGACUUGUUCAAUCAUGCCAGAAGAGGUAAACCUGUUCGAACACUUCAUAAAAUAGAAGGUGUAGGUCAGUUUCUUAUCUCUUGUUCUAUUAGAGGAGAAAUGUUUAAAAACGUGCUAUGUGAUUCUGGAGCUUGUGUUAACAUGAUGUCCAAGGCAAUUGAUUUGAGACUUGGUAUUAAACACCUGCGCAGGACUAGAGCAAAGAUUAGUCUAGCUGAUGAUUCCAAUGCAACACCUCAAGGAAUAGCUCAUGAAAUUCCUUUGAGAAUAGGAGAUUACAUAGUGCCUGUCGACUUCUACAUUGUCGAAACGAGAGAUGCAACAUAUCCAGUGAUUCUCGGAUGGUCUUUUCUAGCAACUUUCGGAGCUAUAAUGGACUGGCCAAACCGGAGGAUUUCAUUUGCUAAUAUCGACAAAGAUGUCUUCACAGAAGCUGUUCCAUACAACAGCAAAGCAGGAAAACGUUCUGCAACAGAAGAGUUUGAAGAAGAACUUUGGAGUGACGAAGAACCUGCUAGGCAAAGCAAGGAGAUGUCGAAAAAGACUUGUCUCAGGACAAGGUCUUCUUCAUUGGAAUAAGUCACGUCCAACACCAAAAGUCGAGCUAAACGACUUAAAACAGAAGCGCUUAAUGGGAGGCAACCCAUUUAGGUAUUGUUUUCUUUAGGAUUUUUCUUUCUUUUUCUUUUGAUCUUUUUCUUUUUCUUAAUUUCAGGUGUUUCUUAUAAAACAAAAAAACCAAAAAAUCAAAAAACCCGAAAAAAACCAAAAAGAAGGAUGGUACCUGACUGCUCGGCCCAGCAGGAACCAAGGAGAAGCAGGAAGAGGCCGCGAAAUAAGCCUCCGCGGUCGCAGACGUUCUGACCGCGGGAAACUACUCAUCGACCGCGGUCGCGUGAUCCUGACCGCGGCCAAACACUUGGUUGCCGCGGUCGCGCGACCCCUGUCCGCGGCACUUGGUCGUUGACAUCAAACCCAACCCCAAACCACCCACUUCACCCCAUUCCACCUCACCAAUCACCCUCCACCUCAUUCAUCACCCUCCACCACCUUCAUCACCCCCUAAUCACCUUCCCAAACCUCUUCGAAUGAAUCCGGUUCAUCUCCACCAGCAUCCCGGAUCCAGGUAAGUUCUCUUUGUCCUUACCAAUUCGAUUAUCUAUGCAUUUUUCUCAUCCAAUCUCGACUUGUUUCACACUGAGGACAGUGUGAUUUAAGUCUGGGGGAGGAUUUCAUCCUUUUCUAACCACUUUUCUUUCAUGAGUCUUGCAUUAUCUACACUUUUUGCAUUUUCCUUAAAGUUUUUCAAAAUCGGUUUUCAAAACAAAAUACGUUUUAAAGGGAAUGGUGAACAUAAAUCAAUGAUAGUUGACUGUGUGCUUUAGACUAUUCCUAGUGACAUGCUCAUUCAUGAUUUAGGACUAGACUAGGCGGUAGCUAAGCACAUUUGAAACGAAGUACCCCAGAGGAAUUUGAAUGAUUUCGAUUUAGAUGAAGGGAUACACUAGCUCUGUUUUAUUUGGACUUAAUUUGGACUCAAUUUUCUCAUUGAAGCUUUAGACCAGGGAAACGAAUCAUACAUUCAGGACUCCUUUAUCCUUUUACCACUCUCAGUUGAUCCUGAAUGGCUAGUUCAUCUUUAGCUAGUUCCCCACCUUAACCAAUCCUCUUUCAAACCACAUGCACUCUUGUUUUCUAUUGUCUUACAUGCAGAUAAGUGCAAAAACGUUGGAGAGAAAGAGGAACGACGCAGUUUUCAGUCACCAAGGAUAGAGACCUGCGAUUUGCCGGAAAAGUUUCCGGAAGGAUCCAACACAAGAGGAAGCUCAGUUUGCCUUAGAAAAAUCUCAAAUUUUGGUACAAUCUCGUCCUCUAGUCUCUCUCUCUUUAAAAGGCAUUUCCUAUUCUAAAAAAAAAAAAAAAAAAAAUCCAAAAAUAAGAAAAGAAAGGAAAUAAAAGCCUUAGAGAGUCUAGAGAGCUCGAAUUUUAAGUCCCAAGGCAACUGGAGUUUGAUUUUAUGGAGUUUUGGAGAUCGUUUUCUGAUUCCUGGAAAGAAUCUAAGUCUGGGGGAACAGCUGUUUACAACAAAGGAGGAAGGAUUAUGCAACAACAUUUGGCAAGAAGAAGUGACUGAAAAACUGUGGUCAUCAACAGGUCCUUAUCUCUCUUGCGGUUUUGCAUAUUAUCUUGCAUCCUCCAGAUCUUCAGGUAACCCGAAACACUUUAACUCCACCACUUAAACAGUCCUUUAAUGCCAAACGCCGUCUACCCUGGAUAAUGUCUUUAAUGAGAAAUCACUAUUGAACUUAAUGAAUGUAGAGAGCUAGUUGACUGGAAUCAAGAUUUAGAUUUUUUAAGUUUUGCAUGACGGAAAAAGUGGACUAGUAUCUUUUGUGUCUUGGUGAGAAUUUUCUAGACUAAGUUGUGGAUUGAUGCACUAUCUUUGGUUCUAGUUUAGGAGUUAAUGUCUCUGAGAAUUGUGAAUUUCCUAUUUUUGUUUUCACCUAACCAGUUUAGACUUUUGCUUUGCUUGAGGACAAACAAAGGUUUAAGUCUGGGGGAGUUGAUAACACCGUAUUUUGACCACUUUUAUGGAUCGUUUUGAAAUACUUUUUCUAUGUUUUUAAUUGCUUUUAAGUACUUUUAUCACGUUUUUCUAGUAUUUUUAGUUCCAAGACUCUUUUCAGGUAACUUAGGGAAAAACUUAACAAAAUGGAAAGAAAACCAGAUUUCAGCUCAGAGUCAAACCGUCAGAAGUUCACCCCUAAUUGAAGGCCUUCUCACCGUCUGAUCCAGCUCAAAUUUGGAGACCUUAAAGAUGGAAGUAUCAGCUUUCCAGCACACUUUACAGCUUAGCAAUCUAACCGUUCAAUCAAAAGAUACGCGAAGAGCAAAAUGUCCUGUAAACCAGCCGGCAAGCAACUCCACCUGCGGCCAACAGGCCAUUUCCCGCGGUCAGAAGCAUCCCGACUGCGGCAAACCACUCAUUCCCCGCGGUCACAGCACUCCCGACCGCGGCAAGCCAACUCCGAGCCCAAAAGCCCAUUUCUGAAGCCCACAAUGAUUUCCUCAUUUGGAGAAACCCUAAGUGACGUCCAGAGCACUAUAAAUACAUGUUUUAGGAACCCUACUCGAAAAAAUAGAGACUACCGAAUUUUUACUUCAUACUUUUAUUGUUUUUGCUUUAGCUUUUGGGAGAGAGAGAUUUGUUCUCUUACCCUUGUUCUUUCUUUUUCAAUUUCGGUUUCUAUUCUACUUAUUAAUACUAUGUUUUUGAUUUCGUUCAUUAUGUAUGAGUAGUUCAAUUGUUAGGAUUAAGGGAUUUUCGAUGGGGAUUUAUAUGUUCGAUGAGGAUUCCAUGAGCUUUUGAGCCGAAUCUUAGAACUUUUUCUUCUGAAUUCGUUUUUACUGCAUGAGAGUAGCGUCAUGAACUACAAUCUGAUCCAGAUGCUUGGUGACACAAAAGUGUUCAUCAGGUAUCAGAUCUAGUUUGGGAGAGCAAAACAAACAUAGGAGUGGAAACCUACCUAUGGGCGAUUUGUCAAUGCUGACGAGUCUUAAACAUAAUGCAUCUCUUCUUUUCCAGGGCCAGAGUGGAAACCUACUGGUCAGGGUUGAGAUAGUUGUCUAUGAUCACGACAGUGGCGUAUUCAUACGUCCGUGACUCCAGUUCGAAAAGUUUAAGCUAAGAUCUUAUCAAUUUUACUCUCUAGCAAUGUUUUGAAUCGUUCGUACCCCUGAGAAAACUUCCCUGAACCCCAACGCCUUCUUUCCUAUUGAUUUACACCGUUUUUAUUUCAAGCUUUAGUUCAAUAUUGUCUUUCCUUUUUAGUAGAUUUUCAUUUAAGCAUUUAGAAUAUCCGUUUUUCUCAUUUUUAUUCAUUUUCGUUAAGUUUAGUUAUUAAUUCAUUUAAUUCCCAUAUUUUCUUUUAAGAUUUCAUUUUUACAUUUUAAACACACCACCAAACCCCCACAAAACCGUUUUGGUUCUAGAUUUCCUUACUUUAUACUUAUUUCAAAGGCUUUUUGCAGGAAAAUAUCCUCCUUCCCUGUGGAUUCGAUCCCUAAGUACUACAAUCGAUCAGCUGUGCACUUGCGGCUAUUGAUUUCAUUUAGGGUAAAACUUGACAACCCUCAAGACAACACCACAUCAAGUUGUGAGAUAACACCGGAUUCUGACCAUUUUUAUGGAUCACUUUUAUAUCUUUUACAGGUGUUUUUACUCCAUUUUCAAAGGUUUUCAAAGGAUUUCUAUGUUUCCGGAUUUUAAAAGACUUUUCAGGUAAUUUGGGAUAAAGAGGCACAAAAUGGAACAAAAAGACUCUUUUGAAUAAAUGCAGAUCGUCAGAACUCUCAUGGAGAGACGAAGACCUUUUCACCGUCUGAUCACCCUCAAAAUUGGACAACUUAUAGGAGAAUCAACCAGCUUUCAAAUGUACUUGGUUUGGAGACAUUCCAACGGUUGGAUCUCAAGAUAUUCUAUUAGCCCCGGAGCCACUUGAAGUCGGCCAGCAAGUCACGCGACCGCGGUGAUCAACCUAUAUCCCGCGGUCAGAAGCUUCCCGACCGCGGCCAACCAGCCAAUCCCCGCGGUCACAACACUCCCGACCGCGGCAAUCAAUCUCCGAAUUAAAGCCCAUGUAUCUGAAGCCCAAAGUCAUUCUCAGCCUCAAUUCCGGAACCCUAGAGACCAUGGAGUAUUGGAGACUAUAAAUACAUGUCAUUUAGGUCGUUUUUAGGGAGAGCCAUUCAUACUUUACAGAAACCCUUUUUCUUUAGCCGUUUAUAUGAGAUUUUUGUAGAAGAUUGUUCAAGUCCGAGUUCUUCAAUAGAGAAGCUUUCUUUAUCUCUUUUCUUUACUGUUUUUCAUUACUUUUAUUAAAACCAAUGAUGAUGUCGACCUCAGCCAUGUCUGAGUAGAUCCCGAGUUGGGCUUAGGGUUCCCGGAAGGGGCUCUCAUAAUCGAUUAAGACAUCUAGGUUUAUAGAUCUGGGAUUUCGACCUGUUCUCUUUUUAUUCUUGUUCUUAUUGCAUGUAUGCUUGAUUGAUCACCUAGUAUCUGAUCUAGAUAGUUAGUGUUGCAAAAGUUUUCAUUAAGUAUCAGCCCUAAAAUGAAACAGGCGAUUUUUCCGUAGGACUGGAAACCUACCUGCGGCGAGAUCGUGAGUAUUGACGAGUCUUGUGCAGCUCUUGCGUUCUCUCCCUUCUAGGGCCAGAGUGGAAACCUACUGGUCAGGGUUGCGAGAAACAGUUGGUUAUGAUCACGACAGUGACGUAGUCAUACUGCCGUACUCUAGCUCUAGAACCCAUAUAUCGAUAUCCGUCAAUCCCAAUCUAUUUACCCUAGUGUUAAAACCGAUUAUGAUCCCUUAGAGUCCCUAAAAGCUCAGCGUUUUUAGCCAUAGUUUACAAUUCCAUCGAUUUUUAUUUGCUUAUUUAGGCCUGCAUUUCAAUUUCCUUAGUUUGUUAUUUACUUACUUUACUAGUAUUUCAUUCGAUAUUUUACUUGCCUUAUUAGUCUUUCAUUCGAUAUUUUACUUGUUCUAUUUGCCUUUCAUUCGAUUUUUUUACUUGCUUUUUAGGAUAGAUUUAUUUGCUUUCUUUUGUUUUAGUUUAAUACAUCAAACCAACCAACCUUUAAAAACCAAUCUAGUCUAGACAUAAAGUUAAAAACCGUAGAAGAAUACCAGGCACACAAAUCUCUGUGGAUUUGAUCCCUAAAUACUAUAACUGAUUAGCUGUGCACUUGCGGCUUUCAUUUGUUUUGUUAAGGGUAAAACUUGUUCCCUCACGCAGUUGACACGACAUCAAGUUUUUGGCGCCGUUGCCGGGGAUUUGUUUCGCUGCCUUUUGCUAUUUUUCUUGUUUUAACUUCUGUUAUAGACACUUGAUCUCUAGUUCUUUCUUAAAGUUUUGCUGAAUUAUCUUUCCCUUCUUUUGUUUUUCUCUGAAUUGCAUGAAUACCAGGCGCAUACCUGUAGAAAACAUUCCAAUUCUAGACGAGAUAGACAGACACGAAAGACAACUUCGAAGACUUAGACGAACACAAAGAAUGGCCAACGACAACCAGCCUGGAGAUCCUAUUAAUCGAACUUUAAAUAUGGACCAAGACGGGUCCGAACAUGGGGAAAAUGAAGAGAAUGAUCACAGUGGAGGUGAUCAUGCUCGACAAGAUGGAGAGGAAGAUGAGUUUCCUCCAAGAAACCACCAGAACCGAGAGAGAGAAGGACGUGAAGACCUUGAUCCACCCAUCAAUGCAGCCGAUGGUGACCACCCAGCAAUGCAGCCAAAUGAACGCAUUCACCGCCCCAUUCCGCCAGCAAAUCAACACCGAAGACAAGCCAGGAACCAUCGCAUAGCUGAUUUUGAUGGACCUACUCAAAAUUUUCAGAAUCGAUCUGCAAUUCAAGUACCAUUUCCAAACCGGAAUGAGUUUGAAGUCAAGCCUCAAAUCAUCUCAUUGGUGAAGCAAAACCAGUUCCAUGGAGUUCCUUCUGAACACCCAAUGGACCAUAUCGAGCUCUUUGAAGAAAUUUGCAGCAUGAUGAGAACAAAUCAAAUUCCACCAGACUAUUUAAAGUGUAAGUUGUUCCUUUUUUCAUUAGCAGAUAAAGCUCACCGUUGGUUGAAAUCUUUGCCUGCAGGAUCGAUUACCAAUUGGGAAGAAUGCAGAAAUGCUUUCCUAAACCACUUCUACACUAAGUCAAGGUCGAAUCAGUUGAGAACAAAGAUCUCAAACUUUCAACAAGGGCCAACUGAAUCUUUCUAUGAAGCCUGGGAGCGUUUUAAGGAGUAUGAACGUGAUUGCCCUCACCAUGGAUUUCAUGGAUCAAGCCUGCUGAGCACAUUUUACCGAGGUUUGCAACCAAAAUAUAAACUUUCACUUGAUACAGCUAGCAAUGGAGAUUUUGGACAAAAGAUGAUAACCCAAGGAAGAGCUCUCAUCGAAAAUUUGGCUCAAGCCAAUAGCAAUGACUGUCCUGAAUAUGAUCGAUCAAUGAAGCAAGCCGGAACAGACAACAAGGAGAUAACCGAGUUGAAGAACAUGGUGAGCCAGCUUCUGAAGAGUAACAAUCGCCCAAUCCAUGCUUGUGAGACCAACAAUGGCGCAGAAGAUGAAGGACCUAGUGAUAUCGAUCACAUUAAUCAAGCCUUUCAAGAGGAAGAUGUGAACUAUGUAGGAGCACUGGUGCCAUAUCAAAAUCGCUCCAAUAAUAGCUUCAACAACAACUUCCGGAAUGCAAAUUACAACAAUCUCUCUUACCGCAAUCCAAAUGUGGAGAAUCCUCAAGACCAGUACUACCCACCUCAGCAAAAAUCCUUUCAAAACAAGUUUCAAGGUGGAAACGUUGGAGGAAUAGUACCAUAUCAACCACGACAGCCAUUUAACUACCAAGGUACGGGUUUUAACAAUCAAUUUGUACGACAGCAGGGAGUCACGACGAACCAGCUAGCUUCACAAAUCGGUAGACUUGAACAGUCAAUCCAACAGCUCGUUAUGACGAACGAAAAAGCAUCUAAAGACGUGAACGUGAAAGUGUACUGCAUGUACAAUGAUCUGAAUGGUAAGUUUGAAUCUUUAUCUUCGCACGUAAAAAAGUUAGAUGUGCAAGUCGCCCAAACAGCCGACUCUAUGAAGAGGCAAAGUGGAGUACUUCCAGGAAGAGUUGAAGAUAACCCUAAGAAGUUUUGCAACGCCAUAACCACAUUGCCCGAAGAAGAGGCCGGAACCAAUGGAAAGAAAGAAGAAACCCCAAUCUUUGUACCACUGUACAAGGAUAUCAAUCCCAAGAAGCCACCGUUUAAGGUACCUGAACGAUCACCGUUUUAAAGGCUUACCAAAGCCGAUGAUCCAGGACGUUUUGUUUUCCAGUGUUUCAUUUCAGGAAUCAAGUUUACAGACUGCUUGUGUGAUUCCGGAGCCAAUGUCAACAUCAUGUCUAAGACGUUUGCCGAAAAAUUGGGCACUAAAACCUUAAAGACAUCGACGGUUAAGGUUAUUUUUGGAGAUUCAUCUCAAAAAGAUACCAAAGGGGCAAUUCAUGAUCUACAAGUUCUAGUGGGAGACAAAAUCGUUCCAGCAGAUUUCCAAGUCCUGGAAAUGGAUAAAGACAAGGAGAGGCCACUCAUUUUCGGGAGACCAUUCCUAGCUACAGUAGGAGCAGUAAUCGAUCACGCAAAACGACAUGUUGUUUUCCUCAAUGUGGAUCGAAAAAAGUACUAUCCGACUAUCUUAGACGAUUUUCCAAGCAAAGGAAACAUACCAAAAGAGAAAGAGAAGGAGAAGCCGAAAGCUUUUGCAAAGAUCAAGAUCAUCAUUCCACCAGAUGCAACAGAAACUAGUGAGGACUAAAUCCAGGAGCUGAUCGAAAACACAAAAAGGGUUUUAAACAAUAUUAAAGUUCGAAAGAAGAGUAAAGGAAAGAAGACGGCUCCUCAAGGAGAAGAAGUAAAACCUCCAGCGACCGGAAGUGAUAAAGGCACAUCAAGUGGAGUGCCAUUCAAAUCAGCCUGAUUCCUCAUGCUUACGUCGAGCUAAACGACUUAAAACAAAAGCGCUUAAUGGGAGGCAACCCAUUUAGGUACUCUUUCUUUUAGUUUUCUUUUCCUUUUUUUUUACAAUUUAUACUUUCUUUUUCUUUUUAAGUUUUAGGUAUUUUAUAAAACAAAAACACAAAAAAAAUCAGAAAAUUAAGAAAACCAAGAAGAAAAAGGUAGGUUUUUAGCUGCUCGGCCCGGCAAAGACGAGAAGGUUGGACAAAGGCCGCAUGAGGAAGAGCCGCGGUCGCGACUGACUGACCUGCGGCCAAGGGAGCAUCGACCGCGGCACCGUGAAUGUGACCGCGGCCGAGCACUCGACCACCGCGGUCGCGCGUCUCCUGACCGCGGCCGUUGGUCGUUGAGGUGAUUCCGCGGAUUUCUGCCGCUUUUCGGUGUUGCCUGGUGUUUGCCUGGUGAUUCCUGGUGUUGCCUGGUGUAUUCUCGGUGUUGCCUGGUGUUUGCCUGGUAAUUCCCGGUGUUGCCUGGUGUUUUCCUGGUGUUGCCUGGUGUUUACCUGGUGUUUACCUGGUGUUACCUGGUGAUUCCCGGUGAUUCCCGGUGAUUCCCGAAAUGUUCCCGGUAAAAUCCGAAAAGCUCCUCCGUAAGUUUUAAACUUUCCUAAUGUGCAAACAAGAAAGGUAAGUUCCCGUAAACUUAAAAAUUUCUAGAAAUUUUCCGUUUUUGCUACAAAAACGCUUUUUAAAGAAAAGAAACAAACUUUUUGGAUCAAAACUCCUUCUUCUCUUCUCUUCCAAAAGAUUUGGAGAUUUAGGAGAUAGAAUACAUUUUUCAAUUCUUAAGCUUUUUAAAAGAUUUUUGGCUCAAACCUCACUCUUUUUCAAAGCUGAUUCCAAUUCUGCAAUCAAAUCUCUCUUUCCAGCAAGGUAUGAACCUCAAACUCGCCAUUUUUAAUUGAUUUCAUAACUUAGGGUUUUUUUAAAAAUCCCAAAUCUCUGUUUAUUGAUGGUAGAAAUAGAUUAAGAAUGAUAGAUUAUCCAUUUAGGUUAUCUAAAAAUUGAUUUUAGCACCUAGCUUAAGAGGAAUUGAGAUUUUUGAAAUUUGGAUUCUACAUGCUUCAUAAAAAUCGAAUUUGGAACAGCAAAAUUGAUGAGUUUGAUUAAGUCUUGUGUGAUUAAUGAUUAGUAUUGUGUGAGCCAAAACUCAAACAACCAGAAAUUUGUUUAAGGAAAACUAAGGGAUCGGAAACUUCUAGGGUUUAUCGCCAAAAACAGUAAGAUCGAAAGAAAGUUUUUCUUGCUGUAAAAGUGUUUAGCUCUUAUUGCUUAGGGUUGCAAAAGUUACAGAAUGAAUUGUAUACAUCGUCUAUUUAUACUAACUCUCUGAACCGCCUAGCCGAGAAUCUCGGGAGAGAUUUUCGGAAUAUUUCCUUAUCGCCUCGUGCGGCUCACCGCCUUUGUAUUUCGCCUAGGAUUUUUAUGGGCUUCGUCUCCCAAGGCCACGGUUUGGCCCAUCAUUCUCCUUUGCCACGGCUCGGCCAUCUAAUUUCUUCACGGCUCGGCCCACUUGCCAUUUCGGUCGAGACAUGAUCUGGUCCACCUCACCGAGGCGCGGCUCGGCCCAAGCAUGUUGGAAUGGGGCUCGGCCCAUUUCUUACGAUACGGCUCUCCCUACUGGUCUAUCGUCACGGCUCUCCCACUUGGUGAUCGCGGCUCUCCCGCUUGUCUUGGUGAGAACGGCUCUCCCACUUGUCUUGGUGAGAACGGCUCUCCCACUUGUCUUGGUGAGAACGGCUCUCCCAUUUGGUGACCACGGCUCUCCCACUUAUCUUUCUUCCAUACUUAGUCAUUUUGAGAUGGUUUUAUCUGCGUGGGGUGAAAACCGACCCCAACAGUUAGCCCCACUGCUCGUCAGUUUCGGAGGCGAGAGUAACGAGGUCCAUUACUCCUGACCGUAGGAUAAACCAUCGAGUCAAGCUGUUAUGACAUAGGCCCAGAUGAGGUGUUUUGGGAAUGAAGACGCCGAGGUGUUUCCAAGGAGUGCCGAGGGUGCCGAGGUGUUUCGAAAGGGUACCGAAGAUGCCGAGGCAAGUUAAGGACGAGGCGACCUCGUUUGGUAAUAAUGGGCCGAUGCGAUUUCGUUUAGUAAUGAUGAGCCGUGACGAGGCGAUUUGAGAAGGUUAUACCGAGCCGAAUAAAUGGCGAGGCGUUUCGAGAGAAAGUUUGUGCCGAGCCGUUUCGUUAAUGACAAGGCGUUUCGAGAGAAAAUUCGUGCCGAGCCGUUUCGUUAACGACGAGGCGUUUUGAGAGAAAGUAAAUGCUGAGCCGUUUCGUUAACGACGAGGCAUUUCGAGAGAAAAUUCGUGCCGAGCCGUUUCGUUAACGACUAGGCGUUUCGAGAGAGAGUAAAUGCCGAGCCGUUUCGUUAACGACGAGGCGUUUCAAGAGAGAGUAAAUGCCGAGCCGUUUCGUUAACGACGAGGCGUUUCGAGAGAGAGUAAAUGCCGAGCCGUUUCGUUAACGACGAGGCGUUUCAAGAGAGAGUAAAUGCCGAGCUGUUUCGUUAACGACGAGGCGUUUACUUUGGUAAGAUAUCGGCUGAAAAAUUGGGCAUCACAACUGUUGGUCUUCCGAGAGAAAAUUCAUGAUCUGUUGGCGCGUGUGACCGACGCAGUUCGGUCUAGCCGUUCCACUGCGGAUCCCACGCGCUGUUUGGACGGUUUCCCGAGGUUUACGCGGAAUUCACGCGCUUCGGUUUUCCUAUAAAUGGGUGAGCUCCUUCAUUCUUCCUCAUUAUCUUCAGACUCACUUUUUUUACUAAAGGUAGCUCUCCCUUCUCUCUUCUUUCUCUCUCUAGUUUAUUUAUUUUCCCGCUAGGGUUUCCGAGGUCUCCGCCGUUCCAGAUCUUUUUCCGGCAGAGGCUCGCCGAGUCGUGCUGUAAUUCUUGUACAAGUCGUAAGUUAUGUCGAGCCACUCCGACGAUUCGUUGGAUUCACUCUUUCACUACGAGCCGAGCCGUGUAGAUGCCGAGGCGAGAGGUACAACAGAAUCCUCCGAGGCAUCCGUUUCGCCGAGCCCUUCCAAUCGUUCAUCUGACGAGGCGUCAAAUCAUGCAAAACCGUCAGAUGUCGACUCUACAGAUGAUGAGCCAUCGGUUUCGACGAGCCGUCCCCAGGAUCCCAUUCCUGAUGAAGGUAUCAACUGCGCCGCAGUCUAACCCGAGGAGGAGGCAUUUCCCUUUGACCUAUUCGAGGCGAAGCGUGAGUUGGAACGUCUCAUAGCGUCUCGAGGCGCUUCCACAUCUGGGCGAGGGCCACGAGUUAAAAGACAAAAGCCUGACCCGCCUGGCUCUACGCUUUGCUCCCUUGAGUCGCUCUAGGCGUUGAGGCAUCGCUUCAGGAUAUCCGAGGCGGUGGAGUUCAUCGUUCCAGAGAAGAGCGACCGAGCCGACAAGCCUCCAGAGAAUCACUUCACUCUGUACGAGGCGUUCUUCGAGCUUUGCUUUCUCUGGUUCCCAAUCCCCGGAGUGAUCCUUGAAUAUCUCUGGAAACACGGGAUCUCGAUUGGGCAAAUCAUGCCGAGGGGAUUACGGCGUAUGAUUGGCAUCUUAGUUCGUAGCUCCGAAUGCGGACUCGAUAUCGAGCUGAAUCACCUGCUGGACUUGCUGGAAAUCAGGAAAGCCCCGAAGGGAAAUAGAUUCUAUAUUUCCAACAAGGCGAAACGACGGAUCAUAGGCGGUUUUCCCAGCAAGGAUCAGUUUUGGACUGAACGCUUUUUCUACGUCUUGGUGAACGAGGCGUCGGUCGGCGAGGAUUACGUUCAAAGAACCAAGACCGCUUGGGGAUCACUUGGUAGCCGACCCGAAGCUCUGCCUCGGCUCGGAACUGCUUUUGGUAUCCUCUUCCUUUUCUGAAUUUUUUUCUUUUUUGCUUUGUUUUGCAGUUCGGUGCUUUCUUCCCCCGAUUCCCGACGACCUUUUUACUGUUCAAGACUCUCUUUCGGCGCGGAAGGUUAAUUGGAGAAAGAACUUCACCCUCGAAAGAGUAGAAAGAGCGCGAGCCAUCCUUGCCGGAGUCCCCGUCAGCUCUUCGUCCUCAAGUUCUUCAAGACAUACCCGGGAGAAGAUAGUAAUAAUCGCUCUCAGAGAAAGGAAGAGGCGCGAGGAAGAGGAGGCCGCUAGAUGAGCUGCCGAGGCGGCUCGCGCGCAUACCGAGGCAGUUCCAGCGCAAGCCGAGGCGGUUUCAGCGCAAGCCGAGACCAUCCCUCAACCCGACCCGCCGAGCCAGGAAGGGGAUGUAAUGGUCCAAGCCGCAGAAGGAGACACUGCCGAGGCGGCUGAUAAAGAUGCAGCGCCCGAGGUGGAACCGGGCGAAAUUAUCCCCGAGGUGUCCGGGGACGGCUCGGCGGCGCGGAGUAAGACUCCUUCGCACACCGCCAUCCUGGCCCUCCCGAAGUCGACGAGGCCACCGACUUCGGUUGUUCAGAAGCAUGACUCUAGCCGAAAACGUUCGGCUACUGACAAGGGGAAGGGCGUCGCCGUUCAGAAGGACGAGCCGUCCAAGAAGAGGCGGAAACCGACGCCCGGGGACCCGCCGCGCAUAAGUUGGUCGUUGACGACCCCAACGCCUCUGCCGUCAUGUUCUCGCGUGUAAAUAACGCGAACACGAGUCUUCCUCCUCUGGAGAAGCUGAGGAGGCCGAGGUCAUACGGCACGAUGGAACAGCACGGUACCAAGGUACGUUCUAUUUUCUUUCCUUUAUUUUUGCAAAUUUUACGAGGUGUUUAACGCACGUCUGUUCUCUGCAGUUUGUCGCGGCCAUUAACGACCUGAUGGCCGAGUAUGAGGCGGACCUGUCUAAGGUCGAAUGUCGUUUGGACGAGGCCCGAAAUGAAACCGUGGCGUCAAAGGUGAAGCUGGAAGAGGCGCAAAACGAAGCCGCGGCCGCGAAGGGGAAACUCACCGAGGCGAUGACCCGAGUGUCGAGGUUGGAAGAGGAGAAGAUAGUUCUCCGCGCUGACGUCGACAAAGUUUCCGCCUUGGUGAUUCGCCUGGAGGAAGCAAGGAGAGCUAAAAGCGCCGAGGUGGCGAUGCAAGAGGCGUAUCGAAGCCAAGGACGCUCUGUUUGAUGCCAAGGUCAAGCGGGCAAAAAAGGAGGCGAGGCGAGAGCUUACGGCUAAGUUUCAGGAACGCCUCGCCAAGGUAGAGGAAGAUUUGGUCAAGCUCGAGAAGGCCAAAAAUGAUGAGAACGAUCUGGGGCAGAUCAAGGGCAAUCUUGCGAUGAUUGCCGACCUGAAGAAGCCGGACACCCCGACGCUUGAUGACGAGGAGGCGAAGCUGAAAAGUUGGGAGAGUGAGUAUGCCAACGACGAGGCGUACGAGCGUAUUGCUUCCGAGAUUCAAGGCGAGCUGUUUUACUCUCCCGUAUCGCUGGACUCGGUAGACACCAGCAUUGGCAACGAGCCGCUUGAAGAGACAGCGGCCAACCUGGGUGUCGUUGAUCCGACCAGAUCGAACGCGGGGACACCAGCCCUCUCGAACCUCCUUGCCGAGCGCGAGACGCAAUCCGUGGCUUGAUACUCUCUGCUUUCCCUCACCCUUUAUUGCACAUGUUCUUCUUUUUGUUUUUGUACUUAAGUUUUUUCAUGAUUCACUUUUCGAACUCGUUAUGUAAUUGGUGCCUGGAUGGCUUUAUCCACUUGACUUUUAUUUUUGCUUUAUGGAUAUAUUUUAUUUUCCUUAGCCAUUUUCGGAUUUACUUGUCUAACAAUCCAUGAAAAUGUUUACGAAAACUGUUGGCUUAGAAAAAUUGUCAAGGAUGAAAACUGUGUGUCGAGAAUGAUUUGAUUGCUUCCUUAGCCGGGCUUUUCGAAAUUGAUAGAAAUACGGGCUAAGGGGUGAAUUGUGUUAAGGAUCUCGUUUGGAUUCUUAAUCCCGAGCUGGGAGUUUAGGUGAUAAUGUCGAGGCAAAUUUCCACUGGCAAUGCCGAGCCGUAUUUAACGACGAGGCGUUUUCGCUGUGUAAGGUGCCGAGCCGUGUAAACGGCGAGGCGUUUUCUCUAAGCGUGGUACCGAGCCGUGUACACGACGAGGCAUUUUUUCUGUGCAUGGUGCCGAGCCAUAAGAACGACGAGGCGUUUUCUCUUUGCGUGGUGCCGAACCGUAAGAACGACGAGGCGUUUCGUUUUUUGUUCAGCCAAGAAUGAUUUGGUAGUCUCAUUGAAUCUUACUAUGGACCGGCGUUUCCGAGAGGAUGAAUAUGUUUGUCCGGGUUUUAAGAGUUUACUUCGGUUUUAGAGAAAGCGAUGUAGUCUCGACUUACAUUCUCGUGUGCGAUAGUAAACCGUGGCGACCUGAUACGUUUUUGGUCUGAUAUUUGUAUAGCGCUUAAUUUUUAUCCGUAGAGGAUGUAACUUGCACCCUCGUCCUAGGAAAGGUGGUAAAGUUCGUUUAGAGAACUUUGUAUUUGUUGCCCCGUUAUGGCCAGCAACGAGACGAGGCGUUCGGAGGCUUAGUUUGCCGAUCUGAAACUGAGGACCGAUUAAGGUCUGAGGUAAUCAAGUCAUGAUAUCGUGCCGAAGUGGUAUGAUUACUCUCCGAAGUGAUGAGUGAUAAAAUUUUAAAAAUCCGAGCUUGUUAAAAUAAGUUGCUGAUUUAGAAAAAAUGAGAAACUAGCCGAAGCGAUAAUGAACGAACUAGAAAUCCAAGGUAAACGUGCAAUAAGUAGAUGAUUAAAAACGAACUGAGAAUGUGCCGAAGUGGCGAUGUUCCUAAGUGAGCAAGUUAAAAUUGUAGAGUUAAAGAAGGUAUGUGUAUAAGUACCCACUCCCCCCCCCUUUUUAGGAAGGGGGACAGCUGAACCCGUCCGAGGACGGGCUGCCUACGUACCCUUUGAAGGGAUCAAGCCGUCCCGUAGUUCAUGCUUGCCAUGCUGUACCUUUAAUGAUAAUACUUUUUUAGAUGCAUUGCGUUCCAUGAUCUUGGAAUCGCUUCGUCAGCUAGUGUCGCGAGUUCGUAGACUCCUGGACGAACCACUUUUGUGACCUUGUAAGGACCUUCCCAAUUUGCUCCGAGCUUUCCUGCGUUCUUCUCGGCAGUGUUUUGGAAGACCUUUCGGAGGACGAGCUCCCCUGCUUUGAAUCUUCGACUACGAACGUUUUUGUUGUAGUAUCGCGCCGUUGCUUGUUGAUAGUUCUGGAUCCGAAUUAAGGCUUGGUCGCGCUUUUCGUUGAUUAGGUCGAGCUCAUCUAGCAUCAUUAAGUGGUUCAAGCCCUCCUGUCCUGGUAGAAGUCUUCGUCGAAUACCUGGGAAAUCCACCUCGGGGGGAAUUACGCACUCCGAUCCGUAGACCAAAGCGAAUGGAGUUUCCCCGGUGGCUCGGCGCGGAGUUGUCCGAUGAGACCAAAGGACUCCUUCGAGUUCGUCUGCCCACCGUCCCUUCUUGGCGUCGAGCCUCUUUUUCAGACAGUCGAGGAUCAUCUUGUUGGCUGCUUCGGCUUGUCCAAUCCCUUGAGGGUAUCUUGGCGUAGAUUUGCUGAGGCGGAUUUUCCACUUCUCGCAGAAGGCUUCGAAGCGUGUUGAGAUGAACUGGGAUCCGUUGUCGGUGACUAUCUCGUAGGGGACCCCGUGUCGGCAGAUGAUAUUUUUCCAGACAAAGUGUUCGACUUGAACAUCCUUUAUGCUUGCGUAGGAAUCGGCUUCGACCCACUUGGAGAAGUAAUCCGUGAGGACGAGCAGAAAACGAUUCUGCUUUGAGCAAUGUAGAGGUCCGACGAUGUCCAUCCACCAUCUCAUGAACGGAUAGGGUGAUGAAAUUGACGCAACUCGGUAGGUUGAUGAAUUGUUGGAGCGUGCCGCUGACACUUCUCGCACUUCGCCUUAAAUUUCUCGUAGUCCUUGACCAUCGUGGGGCAGAAGUAGCCGUGCCGUUUUAUCUUGAUAGCGAGCGACCUUCUGCUGGAAUGGUUCCCGCACGCGCCGCUGUGCACCUUGUGCAUGAUCUUUCUUGCCUCCGGUCCUUCGACGCAUGUCAUGAAAGGCCCUGAAAAUCUCCAUUUAAACACCUCGCCACGACGAGGACAUACCGUGCGACCUGAGCUUUUAGUUUGCGGGCUUCCCAUUUGUCGGUUGGCACCUCUCCAUCGGCGAUAUACACUCGGAUAGCUCCGAGCUAUUCUUUGUCGCAGCCGUACUCCGGCUCGGUCGGUGAGGCGUCUUCAUCCAUAGGAAUGGCUUCGUCGUCCUCUGGUUCUUGUUCAGGAGGAUUUAUCAGCCGAACUCCUUCCACCUCUUUGAUGCUAGGACGUUCGAUGAAUUCGACUGGGAUCGUCCGUCGGAGGUCUGGGUCUGAGGUCGAAGCGAGUGCUGCCAAGGCGUCGGCCGAGGUGUUUUCCCCUCGGGGAAUGCGCGUGAGUUCGUACUCGUCAAACUUUUGCACCAACUCUCGGACCACCUUGAGGUAAGCUCCCAUUCGUCCAUCCUUCGCCUCGUAUUCUCCGUUGAACUGACAUGCUACGAGCUGUGAAUCGCAAAAGGUUCUUAUCUUUCGAACUCCGAUUCCCUACGCUAGUCGUAUGCCGGCGAUCAGUGCUUCGUAUUCCGCUUCGUUGUUCGAGGCGUGGAAGUUUAGGUGAAAAGACUGCUCCAAUAUCUCUCCGGUGGGAGAGGUGAGGCGAAUUCCUAUACCCGAGCCGUGUUUAGACGACGAGCCAUCGACGUGCAGCGUCCACACUUCGUCUAGAGUCGGCUCGUUUGUUUCUUCGGCGGGAAGUUCAAUGAGGAAAUCUGCGAGCACCUGUGACUUUGCAGACGACCUGUUCCGAUACUCGAUGUCGUAUUCGCUUAGCUCUAUGGCCCACUUGGCGAGCCGACCGGAUUGGCUAGGGCUGUGAAGGAUCGAGCGCAGCGGAAGCGUAGCGAGCACAACAAUCGAAUGUUAUUGAAAGUACGGGCGCAGUUUGCGAGCCGAGACUACGAUGGCUAGGGCGACCUUCUCGAUCUGGGGGUAGCGGGUCUCGGCGUCGGUUAGUGUCUAGCUGAUGUAGAAAAUGGGUUUUUGCUCGGAUCGUUCUUCUCUGAUAAGCACUCCGCUUACGGCUGUAGCAGACACUGCGACGUAGAGGAAGAGCGGCUCUCCUUCGACUGGUUUUGCUAAGAUUGGUGGGCUCGCCAGAUAAUUCUUCAGUUCCUGGAAAGCCGUCUCGCAUCGUUCGUCCCACUCAAAUUUCUUGUUUCCUCGGAGGGUGUCGUAGAAGGGCAGGCAUUUGUCUGUAGAACGGGAAAUAAACCUGUUUAGCGCGGCGACUCUACCUGUGAGCCUUUGCACUUCGCGCUUCGUUCUUGGAGAGGGCAUCUCAAUUAACGUCUUGAUCUGCUUGGGGGUUGCUUCUAUGCCUCGGUGAGUUACCAGAUAGCCGAGGAAUUCUCCCGAGGUGACCACAAACCUGCACUUUGCCGGGUUUAGUUUCAUGUUGUGCUUGUUCAAUUGUUCGAAGCAUUCCCAUAGAUGCGCGACGUGGUCUUCCUCCUUGAGUGAUUUGACUAACAUGUCGUCGAUGUAUACUUCCAUGGUUUUUCCGAGCUGAGCCGCGAACAUUUUAUUGACGAGCCGUUGAUACGUUACUCCUGCGUUCUUGAGCCCGAACGGCAUGACUUUGUAGCAGUAUAUCCCUCGAUCAGUUAUGAAUGCCUUUUUUUCUCGAUCAUCAGGAUGCAUCAGGAUCUGAUUGUAGCCGGAGAACGCGUCCAUAAAUGUUAACAGUCUAUUCCCUGCAGUGGCUUCGACGAGCCGGUCGAUGUGUGGCAAGGGAAAGCUGUCUUUUGGGCACGCCUUGUUGAGGUCGGUGAAAUCCACACAUACUCGCCACUUGCCGUUCUUCUUCUUCACGACCACCGGAUUUGCGAGCCAAUCCGGAUAUUUGGCCUCGGCGAUUGAUCCUACUUUGAGUAACCUUUCAACUUCGUCGUUAACUGCUUUAGCUCGUUCGGGGCCGAGCUUCCUUCUUUUCUGCUUGACUGGCUUAAAGGUCGGAUCCACAUUCAGCUCGUGACAGGUUACGUCAAUGCUUAUGCCUGGCAUAUCUUCUGCUGUCCAGGCAAAAGUGUUGAUGUUCUCCUUGAGGAGGGAAAGGAGUUCGCUUCUCAGAGGCUCUUCUAGUUUUAUUCCAAUUUCGAUGCAUCGCUCCGGACGCGCCUCGUCUAUGCACACCGAGUCCACUGCAUCGCAUACCGGCUCGGCGCGUGUUUCGCGGUUCUCCGUGAUCUGUAAUUGCUAUAAGAGUUUCGAGAGCUCGUUUGCGGGCUCUCGGUCUGUCUUCAUCUUUUUGCGGUCUAUAUCUGCUCGUGCGUCAGUGACGGGGUUCCUCAGCUUGUGCUCGGCUAAGCAGCACAUUCUUGACUCCUUCUGAUUCCCCCAUAUCGUUUUGACACCCGAUGGAGUUGGGAAUUUGAGACAGAGAUGAUAGGUGGAUGGUACCGCCCUCAUCCCGUUGAUCCAUGGAGUUCCCAUGAUCACAUUGUAGAUUGCUGGGUGAUCAGUGACGCAGAAUUCGACGAUCUUAGUGACUCCGCCAGCUACCACAGGAAGCCUGAUCGUUCCCAUAGUCAUCGUCGUUUCUCCUGAAAAUCUGGUUAGAGGUUGGGGAUUGCUUCCACCUCGGAGAGGUCGAUUCCCAUUUUUCUGAGUGUUUCUCUGAAGAUGACGUUCACUGAGCUUCUAGUAUCGAUGAGCACCCUUGCCACAUCAUGAUCCAUGAUCGUUAACUCGAUCACCAACGGAUCGUUGUGAGGUCGAUCAAUUCCUGCCGCUUCCUCCUCGGCGAAGGAGAUCACUGUGUUUGGGAUGUCGGUUGGUUUUAUCCAAUUCUCCUUUGCUUCGGCUCGGCGCUGAUAGGCUUUGAUGGAGGACACGGUAUCAUGGUAGUAUUGAGAUCCACCCAUGAUCAUAUUGAUCCUUUGCCUCGGCACGGGUCGCUCUUCGGGUUCACCUCUCCUGUCGCGCUUGGAGUUAUCGCCUCUUCGCGCUGCUCGGCUCGGCUCUCUCUUGUUGUUCGUUAGGGACGAGGUCUUUGAGGUUGACCGCGUUUUGGAGCUCUCCCGCUGCCAUCUUAGGCACGAGUUUUGCUCCUAGAGUUCGGCACUGUGCCGUUGAGUGCCCGUAGGUCUGGUGAUACUCACAGAAAGCCUUCUCGUCGUAGUUGGCGGAUUUCCUCACCCAAGUGUUGUUGCGCGGCUCUCCUCUUCCGCGUCCGGUGCCUACCUGGUAGUUAUGGGCACCUCCGCUUCUAGGUUCAUCCGAGCUCUGCGUUGUUGCGUUGUUUGAUGGGUUGCCCUUCCUCGCGGGGCGCGGCAAAAUUGAGCUUCGGAUUGCUGCUUUCGUCGCUUCGUACCGCUCGUCCAAGUUUUUCAUUUCCUCCUCGUUUACGACGAAGUCUGAUGAUCGGUGCAGAGCGUCUUGAAUUGUUUGCGGCGUGUUGAGAGCCAUCUCCCGUUGGAACUCGGAUUUGUACCACAAAGAUUGUUUCAGAGCCUCGAGCGCAGCCUUGUCGCUUAUCCCUUCUAUUUUGGAUACGAGUGCCUUGAAUCUUGCCAUGUAAUCCCGAAGCGGCUCGUUCAGUCCUUGGGAUAGUGUCCACAGAUCGGCAUCAGAUGUUCCUCUGUCCAUAAACAUCGAGUAUUGUUUCUGGAACAAGGCGGAGAGCUGUUGAAAAUUGCCGAUUGAAUUUCGUUCCUGCCUCGAAAACCACUCGAGUGCGGCUCCCUUGAGAUGCUCCACGAAGAGCAGGCAGUAUCCGGCAUCUACUUUGCGCUCGGUGAGUUUAGCGGCGUUCUUUGUGAAGGCUCGUCCCAUUGCUAUCCGAAACGCUGUGAUGUGUGCUUUCGGGUCGGUUGUUCCUUCGUAGAACGGGAUUCUCACCUUCCCCGGCUCGGGAAUCCUGGCCUCCGUGAUUCUUGCAGUGAAUGGAGUUCUCUGAGUUUCUUCAAGCAUUCGGUCGAUUUCGGGCGCUGCGCUUGUCACGUUGUGCACUUGGGAUUUCAUGGCGCGUAUUUCAGCUACUGUCCGAGCUAUCGAGGCUCGCAGCUCUUUGAGUUCGAGAGUUUGUGUGUGAAUCAUUCCCUUUGAUUGGGGGAGUCGCUCCCGCUCCUCUCUCCUCGGCUCGUCUUCGCGCUCUGCCUGUUCGAUCCAUUGGCGAUUUUCUUCCUCCUCGGUUGGAUUGUCGCUGCGGGUCGGGUCGGAAACUUCGUCAGUUCGGAUGCCGUUUAGUGCCGAGGCGAGGUCUUCUUGACUUAUUCGCCGAGCCGAGCCGGUUUGUUGCGGAUUCGUGGUUCAGUCGUUAUGCUGGGCGUCUACGUCGAUCGCAUGGUUUUCUUCUUCGCCGGCUCGCCGCCUUGAGUUUCGGCGGAGAGGGGGCGGCUCGGUCAUGUUGACUCUGGUUGCUGCGGGGGGUCUUUUCGUCGAGGAGACGAAACAUUGGAGGAGCCGAGGGGUUUCUUGCGCCACUCCCUGAGGCUUCUGCAGGUGUCGAGAAAUCGAAGCGUCUCCGGAUUCCAUCCAUCGGGUCGGGAAUUCCGGCUCUCCAAGUUUGGUGCAGUCGCUCAGCCGCCAUCGCGUCGAGCCUUUCCGUAAUCGCCUCGUUUCUUUUAUCCUGUUCGUCGAUUUUCUUCAUCAACGCAGCCAUCAUGUUUGCAUCUCCUCCUGGGUUUUGAUCGUUGCUGUCGUUGUGCCCGAUGCCGGAGCGUCCUUCUCCGUGCCGUUACCGGUGUUGUUGUUGUUGUUGUCGUCGGGGGUGUUGCUCGCCAUGUUCUUCGGAUCUUAAAGUCUUGUCGAUUUAGAGUAAGAAAGUUUCGAUUCCCCACAGACGGCGCCAAAUUGUGUGAGCCAAAACUCGCACAACCAGAAAUUUGUUUAAGGAAAACUAAGGGAUCGGAAACUUCUAGGGUUUCGCCAAAAACAGUAAGAUCGAAAGAAAGUUUUUCUUGCUGUAAAAGUGUUUAGCUCAUAUUGCUUAGGGUUGCAAAAGUUACAGAAUGAAUUGUAUACAUCGUCUAUUUUUACUAACUCUCUGAACCGCCUAGCCGAGAAUCUCGGGAGAGAUUUUCGGAAUAUUUCCUUAUCGCCUCGUGCGGCUCACCGCCUUUGUAUUUCGCCUAGGGUUUUUAUGGGCUUCGUCUCCCAAGGCCACGGUUCGGCCCAUCAUUCUCCUUUGCCACGGCUCGGCCCAUCUAACUUCUUCACGGCUCGGCCCACUUGCCAUUUCGGUCGAGACAUGAUCUGGUCCACCUCACCGAGGCGCGGCUCGACCCAAGCAUGUUGGAAUGGGGCUCGGCCCAAAUCUUACGAUACGGCUCUCCCUACUGGUCUAUCUUCACGGCUCUCCCACUUGGUGAUCGCGGCUCUCCCGCUUGUCUUGGUGAGAACGGCUCUCCCACUUGUCUUGGUGAGAACGGCUCUCCCACUUGUCUUGGUGAGAACGGCUCUCCCAUUUGGUGACCACGGCUCUCCCACUUAUCUUUCUUCCAUACUUAGUCAUUUUGAGAUGGUUUUAUCUGCAUGGGGUGAAAACCGACCCCAACAAGUAUUGGGUAAUCUUUAGAAUUUACAUGGAAAUUGCUUAUAAAAACCAAUUUUUAGAAGAUUUCUAUGUUGAGAACAUCAAAAAUCCGAAUCUGGUCAUGAACUACUUGAUUUCUCUGAUUUAUUAUCGAUUUUGUUUGCUCAUGGUUUUAAUUAAUCUCUUUAUGCUAGUAUUAGUAUAACAGAUCUUAAUGUGUUAAAAUCAGCAUCCAAAUUCACUCUUUUUCCAAGAACUAUUUCGUUUUGCAGAAAAAUGGACCAAAACAGAUCCCGAAGGAGCCGUCGCACUGGUGGCAGCUCCGAGGACAUUCCCGAUGAUGCUACUCUAGGAGAGUACAUGCUGAACCAAACCAGACCGAGAAGGAGAAACUAUGUGAUGAGAUUGCUCCAUCACUCAAGAGAAACACAAGCAGCUCCCGAGCCACCACAGAUUCUAUACAUUGGGAGGGAGACAAACCCGAGAGUGGACUAUGCAAGACGUUUCAAGAAGCUGAACAUCAAACCCACGCCUUGCAUAGAUUAUCAUACACUCGAGAUGCUUGGAAUCAGAGAAGAUGUGAUCUGGUACAUCAAUGCACUUAAGCUGAGACCCUACAUGGAGCUGAACCUUCCGACUUAUCCUGAGCUAGUCCGUGAAUUCUUAGCGACUAUUACACUACACCACACGAAGAGGAGGAACCCCAGAGCAUCAGAUGGCAUCUUGUCAUUCUCUAUCCGCGGACAGCCUUACUCUCUCACCAUUUCUGAGGUUUGUGAAGCUCUUAAGCUUCCAUACACUGAUGGCAUUUACCUUGAAGAUGAACCUGAUCUUAACCUGUGGAGAGAGAUGGGUCAUGGAGUCUAUGAUAGUGGGAGAUCGAAGUCAGCCCUUCUUACUCAUCCAGCAGUGAGAGUUGUGCACAAGCUAUUAGCACACACGAUCUUCUCUAGAGCAAACAUGGGAGGUGUUUUAAAGACUGAGCUCAUUACACAUCAGAUUCCGUUUAUGGACGACCCACGACUUGCUUGCUUUGCCUGGAUCAUAGCGCAGAAUACGGUAAACGUGAAGCAUGACUUACAUGGUUGCGAGGACGCUACUCCAGCUUUCAGGAGUGCUAUUACAGCGAUACUACAGGCUGUAGGAUUCGAUUUCUCAUCUGAUGAGCCACUUCCCGAUGUCUGGUAUGAUCUACUUUAUCUCUCUCGCGAUCACACUAUCUCUCGUGCCGCUUUCGAUCCAGACAGGUUUGGUUACAAGUAUUGCACUGGCACUGAGGAGCACCGAGUCAGUUUGCCUUCGGUAUCUAUCCCGAGAUUGUGUAACGGAGGACGUCCGCGAUGGACUCCGGAACCUGAUGAUUUUCUGCCUUCUGUACCUCGUCUACCAUUCACCAUUGGCCAAUACAUAGUGGCCAAGGUGAAGCGUGAUGCAGCUGCGGCCCGUGCCCAUUUUCAGCCAUCUGUUUUGACCGGCCACACCUCAUCAUCUACAUCAUCUCACACUCAUUCCGAUCUGGAGCGCAGAGUUGAGAGACAGGGACGACGCUUUGAGCGCGUUGUCACCUUCUUACAGGAGCAGCACCAGUUUGCAGACGACACAUCGGAGGAUGAGUGAUUGAUCAGCACUUCACUACCAUCACGGUUCUAUCAUCAAUUUCUUUUCUUUUAUCUUAUUUUAUUUCUCUUUUAUUCACCAUCUUCUCACCAACUUUUUCACACUGGGGACAGUGUGAUUUAAGUCUGCGGGAGGAUGUCUAUCCGUACUAAUCAUUUUCUUGCUUUUCUUUUUAAAUUCCAAGUACUUUUUAAAUUUUAAUAUGUAACCUAUUCGACAUUAAGUAUUUUUCAGGAAUGUUUGACGCAAAACUAUGAUGAUUUAGACCUGCACGCUUCUACACUAUGCAUGAUUGCUCAUUUGUGGUUAGCACUAGACUAGGCGGUAGCUAGAGUACUUGCACUACGAACUCCCACCAGAGGACUUCUAUUCAUGGAGAUUCUUUCUGACAGGAUAUACUAGCUCAUUUUAUUUGGACUUAAUAUUGAUAUCUAAUUUUUUCAUCAUUGAUUUUAGGCAGGCAUCGACAUACACAUCUAGGACGUCUUCUACCCUCACUUUUACCACUCUUUGUCGUCCUAGAUGACCUGUUUAUCUUUAUCUGGUACCAUACCCUAAACCCAAAACCCUUGUUUUCAAUCCUCAUGCAUUCUUUCUUUAGUUUAUAUCAGCAGAUAUGUGCAAAAACGUCGGAGAGAAGAGGAGCGACACAGUUUUCAGUCACUCACAAAGGAGACUGAAUGGAAUUGGGAAGGAAGAGUAUCAGAAAAAUCAUGAAGCUUUACAAGACAGAUAUUGACUGGUAAUUUCGUGCUCUCUAAGACUCUAUAUCUAAAGGUGUUCCCUUUCUCCCACAAAAAAAAAAAAAAAAAAAAAAAACGUGAAAAAAGAAAGGGAAACAAAAAGCCUAAUGAGUCUUAGAUUGUCAAAAAUUUGUGGAGCAAUAAGCAACCACUAAUCGUUUAAUUUUGAAAGAUUUACAUAAAUCUAAGUCUGGGGGAGUUAGGAGAGAACCUGAGGAAGAAGACCAGGAAUCUAUGGCACGAAGAAAGUGACUGAAAACUGUGGAUACCAACAGCUUAACUCUCUCUUGCGGUUUUGCAUAAUAUCAUGCAUCCUCCAGAUUUUCAAGUAACCCGUAAACACUUUAAACCUUACCCCUAGAAUAACCUUUUUAACACCUAGCCUAGAUUGCCUUGCCUAGACUUUCUUUGAUGAGAACCACCGAGAUUUUUAAUGAAUGUUAAGAGCUAGUUGACUGGAAGUUAGAUCCUAGUGCAUAGAUUUUCGCAUGAUGGAUUAACGGACUAGUUAUGCCUGUAUUGCUAGUGAGUAUUUUCUAGGCUAUUCCCGAUUGAUGCAUACUGAUUGAUAUUGGUCUAGAAGUUUGGUCUCUGAGAUUUUGUUUAGUUCCUGCGUUUUCAAACCUCUCACCGAGAUUUAGCCUUUGUUUUGUUUGAGGACAAACAAAAGACUAAGUCUGGGGGAGUUGAUAACACCGGAUUUUGACCAUUUUUAUGGAUCACUUUCAUAUCUUUUACCGGUGUUUUUACUCCAUUUUCAAAGAUUUUCAAAGGAUUUCUAUGUUUCCGGAUUUGAAAAGACUUUUCAGGUAAUUUGGGAUAAAGAGGCACAAAAUGAAACAAAAACUCUUUUGAAUAAAUGCAGACCGUCAGAACUCUCAUGGAGAGACGACGACCUUCUCACCGUCUGAUCACCUUCAAAACUGGACAACUUAUAGAAGAAUCAACCAGCUUUCAAAUGCACUUGGUUUGGAGACAUUCUAACGGUUGGAUCUCAAGAUAUUCCAUUAGCCCCGGAGCCACUCGAACUCGGCCAGAAAGUCACGCGACCGCGGUGAUCAACCUAUUUCCCGCGGUCAGAAGCUUCCCGACCGCGGCCAACCAGCCAAUCCCCGCGGUCACAACACUCCCGACCACGGCAAUCAAUCUCCGAAUUAAAGCCCAUGUAUCUGAAGCCCAAAGUCAUUCUCAGCCUCAAUUCCGGAACCCUAGAGACCAUGGAGUAUUGGAGACUAUAAAUACAUGUCAUUUAGGUCGUUUUUAGGGAGAGUCAUUCAUACUUUACAGAAACCCUUUUCCUUUAGCCGUUUUUAUGAGAUUUUUGUAGAAGAUUGUUCAAGUCCGAGUUCUUCAAUAGAGAAGCUUUCUUUAUCUCUUUUUUUUACUGUUUUUCAUUACUUUUAUUAAAACCAAUGAUGAUGUCGACCUCCGCCAUGUCUGAGUAGAUCCCGAGUUGGGCUUAGGGUUCCCGAAAGGGGCUCUCAUAAUCGAUUAAGACAUCUAGGUUUAUAGAUCUGGGAUUUCGACAUGUUCUCUGUUUAUUCUUGUUCUUAUUGCAUGUAUGCUUGAUUGAUCACCUAGUAUCUGAUCUAGAUAGUUAGUGUUGCGAAAGUUUUCAUUAAGUAUCAGCCCUAGAAUGAAACAGGCAAUUUUUUCGUAGGAGUGGAAACCUACCUGCGGCGAGAUCGUGAGUAUUGACGAGUCUUGUGCAGCUCUUGCGUUCUCUCCCUUCCAGGGCUAGAGUGGAAACCUACUGGUCUGGGUUGCGAGAAACAGUUGGUUAUGAUCACGACAAUGACGUAGUCAUACCGCCGUACUCUAGCUCUAGAACCCAUAUAUCGAUAUCCGUCAAUCCCAAUCUAUUUACCCUAGUGUUAAAACCGAUUAUGAUCCCUUAGAGUCCCCAAAAGCUCAGCGUUUUUAGCCAUAGUUUACAAUUCCAUCGAUUUUUAUUUGCUUAUUUAGGCCUGCAUUUCAAUUUCCUUAGUUUGUUAUUUACUUACUUUACUAGUAUUUCAUUCGAUAGUUUACUUGCCUUAUUAGUCUUUCAUUCGAUAUUUUACUUGUUCUAUUUGCCUUUCAUUCGAUUUCUUUACUUGCUUUUUAGGAUAGAUUUAUUUGCUUUCUUUUGUUUUAGUUUAAUACAUCAAACCAACCAACCUUUAAAAACCAAUCUAGUGUAGACAUAAAGUUAAAAACCGUAGAAGAAUACUAGGCACACAAAUCUAUGUGGAUUCGAUCCCUAAAUACUACAACUGAUUAGCUGUGCACUUGCGGCUUUCAUUUGUUUUGUUAAGGGUAAAACUUGAGAGAAAAGGUAUAUCAUCGAAAAAAAAUUCAUGCAAGAAAAUUUUGACCAUUAUUUGUGGUGUCUAUACCAUAAAAACCAAUAAUCAUCUAUGAUCGGAUCAGAAUUUACCGGCGUAAUCUCAGCAAACCCAUGCAAAAAAACGUCAAUAGUAACAAAACCAACUCAAAUAUAACCAUGAAACAAGUCUACCAUACAUAUGGAAUCUGUUUAACAUACAACACCCCAAAACAAGUCUACCACACCUUUGGUUUUUUUGUAGAUUGCUGAAUACCUUUAGGACAAAUAAGUAAUUUCAAUUGAAUAAGUCAAAUGUCUACCGAAAACAAUGUAACUAAGUCUACCACAAGCAAUGUAAAUAACUCUACCAUAAGAAAAACUCUACCUUCAAGCAUCAAAUAUGUCUACCAGAUUGAGGUUAUCUGAGUAAACACCAAAGUUAUUUAAUCUACCACAUGAAGCUCAAUAGAAGUCUACCAUACGUGCAAUAACUUUACCAAUUGAUUGAAAAUCUACUACAAUAACAAAAAAAAUCUACCACCAUUUUAUAAGUCUACCUCAUGUAACAAUAAAUUUACUACUCAACGGAAUGAAAUCACCAAAUUUUUACUUGAUUUAAAUCUUCCACAUUACUUAUAAAUCUACCACAAGAGCGAUAAAUCUACUCACAUGAUAUAACUCUACCAAUUUCAUAACUAAUCUACCUCAAUAGGGAUAAAUCUACCACCACGUUAUCUUAAAUUUUGGUGAAUAAAUCUGCCACCAAAAGAAAUAAGUCUACCAAUUCGAGUAUUAAAUCUACCCCCAUUGUCAACAAAUCUACCAACAAAAUCAACUAUGCGAGAGAGUCAACGAAUUCCUUAACAAGUCUACCAACACUUUAACAAGUGUGGCAUACAUGACAACAAAUCUACCGAAACUUAACAAAUCUAUCGUGUCAUUGUCAAAACUCUACCAAAAAAAGUAUAUCAACAUUUUACAAAUCUACCAAUUCUCGAAUAAAUCUACCAUCGUCCUAACAAAUAUGCCAUCUAAAAAAUUGUGUUGACCAACAUCUGAUAAGUCUACCAUCAAAGACCGGUAGGCUUAUCAUUUUUCAAGCGCAUCUUUUUGCCUACAUGGCACAAAAAAGUAAUGGCAUUUUUUUAAUUAGGUUUUUUUCAUCAAAGGCGAAAAUGAUGUUUUCGGUAUGCUAUGUUAUUUUUGUAAUAAAAAUAAAAGUAUGUCAAGCAAACAAUAAACAUACAUUUAAAGGUUUGUAUAGUAAUCCUUCCUUGUUUUAAUUCUUUUGAAAAACAGUUUAUAACAUCAAAAUAUGUUGUACAUUUUUAAAACCCUUAUGUCCGCGCAAAGCGCGGACCAACACCUAGUUAUAAUUUAAAAUCCAGCUAAGUUAUCUACAUACUAUAAUUCAUAAUUCACUAUUAAAAAAAUCAAAAUUCAUCCAUAUUAACCAUAAAUCUUACAAUUUUUAAACACACGAUAACAAAUUGGUAUUUUAUAAUUCUAUAAAUUAAGAAUCUUGUAUAGAUUUUAUUCAUAAUUCAUUUUUUAUAUACUUUUUUUUUGUCAUCAGCCUAAGUACCUAAAACGGUUCGGCUAUCCAAACCGGUGGUACCGAGUUUACAUAAAUGACGUCUUGAGGGUAGACACGAGCACUUCUUGCUAGGUUGUCCGCCUUCGAGUUUUUUGCGCGUGGGAUAUGUGAUAUAAGGAAGAAACUGAACUUGUCCUUCAUUUUCCUAAUCUCCUCCAAAUGUAGAUCAAAAGCUGGCCAUUCUUUGGGUGUAGACACCAUCUUCACCAACUCCAAACAGUCUGUUGCAAAAGCUACUUCCAUCUUCUGGUUUUCGAGCAUACAGUGCAUAGCCCAUAUGAGGGCUUCUAUUUCUGCAUGCAGAGGUGUAAGACUUUGUCUUACAUUUUGUGCUCCCAUUAUUCUUUCCGUAGCAUCUUCUUUAAAGAAGUACCAUCCUAAUCCCGUUAAAAGAUAUGUAUCUUUCCAAGAGCCAUCAGUAUAACACCACCAGCCUUCGUAGGCCAUAGGUGUUUACAAGUUCAGAGAAGUGCAAAGAUCGGUAGGAAUUGAAUCCUGUUCAGACCUUUGAGCCUCUUCCCACAAUGUUGCUUCUUUUUCCGCUAUUUUCAAUGUAAUCUGUGGAUCUAUAUCAUUAUUCGAAUACACUUUCUCAUUCCGUGCCUUCCAAAUAUACCAUGCGAUCCAUGGGAAUUUUGUGUUAUUCAACUCUUUUGGAAGUCGCCAAAAGAGAUGAUCAAAAUUCGAAUAAACCGAUGGUCCUGGGAAAAUCCCAAGAGGUGUUGGUAUCCGGGAUAAUGCCGAAGUUUGCAAAGCAGGAGGACAUUCAAAGAGCACAUGGUUAAUUGUUUUUUCAUCUGCUCCACACCGUGUACAUUGUGUGUCACAUUGUAUUCCACGGGUGCUUAAUCUAGCCGACACUGGAUGGCACCAAGAUAUUGCUUGCCAGAUAAAAUGUCUUAACUUCGACACACUUUUCAAUUUCCAAGCAUAUGCUUGUAAAGCCUUUAUGUCUGGGCCAAAGAUCUCCUCUGUUAUUUCUUUAGAUAAAUAACGCUCAGUUUUGUACCCUGAUUUUACAGUAUAUCGUCCGGAUUCUGUGAAAUGCCAUCCCAUUGGGUCUGGCCUAUAGGUUCUACUAAUGGGAAGUCCACGAAUAAUUUCCACAUCCGCUGGGUCAAUAAUUGCUGUUAUCAAACCCAUGUUUCACGAGUUUGUCACUGGGUCAAUCAGGUGAUUAACCAUAAGAUUCGGAUAAUAAUUGAAACCCUUACAAGUGGCUGAUCUCGGGCGAGUAGAAGGUAUCCACGGAUCAUUCCAGACAGAAAUGGAGCAUCCUGAACCUACCCUUUUAAUUAGCCCUUUAUUAACCAGAGAUCUAGCCGAUAUUAUACUUCGCCAUCCAUAAGACGGUGAGUAGGAUCUCACUGGGUCCAAAGGACUUGGAUUCCGAAAGUAUCGUCCUUUAAAGACCUGCGCAAAUAAGGAAUUUGGUCUAUCAAUCUGCGAAAGUAUCUUCAUUUUUUAUAUACUUUGUAUUUACUAAUCUUUUCUUUUAAUUUUUUCUAUUUUUUGAAUUUACAUUUAAAAAGGUAUAAUUAUUUUUCUAUUCUUAUUUGAAAUAAAUAAUUAAAAUAAGAAAUUUUAUCUCAUUUCAUUGACACAUGAGUCAAUCAUAAAUAACUGUGAUAUAUGACACAAUAUAGUGAGUUAUAAAAAUAUAAUGUCUUAUACAUAUAGAAUUUUAUUUUUGGUUUACUUUUGUUAUUUCUAUUUUGUAGUUUCUAUUUUCAUCUACUUUAGUUUUUUCUAAUUUAGUAAUUUACAUUUAAAAAUGUAGAAUUCCUUUUGUUUAGAAAAAAAAUAUAAUUUAACAUAUAAGAUUUUAUAUUAUUUUAUUGACAUAUGUUACGAUCAUAGUUAAGCGUGAUACAUGACACAAUAUGGUGAAUUAUAAAAAUCCUAUGUGCCAGUGUCACGUUGAGAGCACUGAACUUUCUUUUUUUUUUUUCACUGAAUAUUACGUAUAUUAAUAAUCGAUGAGCUUACAAGCAGACAAUACAAAACAUGAUCAAAAGCAAUCAAACACUCAUAUAGAACAUGAGUAUUACAACAAGGUAAUACUACUUUCAGAAACAAAAAUCUCUUCUAACCACUGAGGAUAGCCCGAGGCUAUAUAUGAUUGUCGACGAUCAUCUUUAGUCACACUUCUAGCAAUGAGGAAAGCACCUUGAUUUGUAACUCUUUCCUCAAGCGUAAGCUUCCAAUCCAAAAAAAUUUCCAAACCAUUCAAGAUCUCAGACGAAUAGAAUUUGAAAGAAGGCCAGGCUGGUGGCCGAUGAACCGCUCCUAUUAAAUCUGAAUCUUCCGAAGCAAAGACCAUUUUGGUGAUACCUAAGCUAUUCAAACUUUCAAUUGCCCAGAUCCAACUUUUGAAACUAGCAUCAAUGUGGCUGGAUACAGAACAGAAAGAUCUUCUACUGUGUAAAAGGACUGAUCCAAAAGAGUUCCUAAGAACCCAUGCAGCACCACCACAUCCUUUCUUUUUAUCCCAGGAAGAACCGAUAUUACAUUUCAACCAAGGUCUAGAGGGAGGAAGCCAAACCUUCGGGGGUUGAAUCACCUCCAUCUUUUUUUUAAUAGCUUCCUUUUCAUCCAACUCUUGAGCGUGAAACCAUUGGUUCACAUCUUCUUUAAUCUUGCCCAUAGUAUCAGAAACUCGGAAGCUCAUUCCUUCAAAAAUGAAGAUGUUGAGAUUCUUCCAGAGUAUCCAUAAGAUCCACGGGAUUGAUCUUCUGAUUUCCAAAGGCACUGAUAACUUUUUACCCACCAUCAAUAAAUGGAACAUGUUCUGAUAGAUGGAGUUUGAUUCAUAUCCAUUUUCAGGACUGGGUACAUUCGAAGAGGCCCAAACCUGUCUAGCAAUUGUACAUUUGAAUAGCACAUGAUUUAUGGAUUCACCUUCAAGCCCACAGAUUUGACAUCUCGAAUCAAUCUUCAUACCUCUCGAUGCAAUUUUGUCUGCAACAGGAAUGGCACCACUAAUUGCUUUCCAAAGAAAGUUUUUGAUUUUAGUGGUUGUAUUGAGCGCCCAGAUUUGGAGUUUGAUUGCAUUCAAAGACGGUUGCAUCAGAGCUUCCUUGAGGGCUUCAGAUGGAUUACUUUGAGAAGCAAACCAAUACCCUGAUUUAACAGAAUAUUCGCCACUUUUGGUAUGUUCCCAGCAGAAAAAAAUCCAAUGAAGAAACCACCGGGUUAGUUCUUAAGAUUAGACCAACGUCUCUUUGGAAGAAAUGCUCAUCGAGUUUAUCCCUAUCCCAGCUUUUGGAUAUCGGAUCAAUGAGGUCAAUAACUCUCAAAUCCAAAUUAAAGAUGAUGUUCUUUAUGAAGGGAGCUCUCAUAACCCCAUCACAAAGCCAUCGAUUAGUCCAUACACUAAGCGAAGCUCCAUUGCCAACCAUCUGUCUAAGACCUUUUUCUAAAAGAGAUCUUCCAUGAAGAAUGCUUCUCCAAGCAAAAGAGGGUCUAACUCCAGUAUCUGCGAGAAGGAAGGAGGAAGAAACAAAGUAUCGGCUCUUUAAGAACAAAGCAAGGAGACAAUCCUUAUCUUGUAGAAUUCUCCAAGCUUGUUUGGCUAAAAGAGCUUGGUUGAAGAUUUGAAUGUCUUUAAAACCGAUCCCUCCUUGAGCUUUAGGAAUGCACAAUUUAUCCCAUCCAAUCCAAUGCAUUUUCCUUUUGUUCUCGACAGUGUCCCACCAGAAAUCAGCCAUCGCAGAAGAUAACUUAUUACAGAUAGUUACUGGCAAUUUAAAACAGGUCAUGGAGAAAACUGGCAUCGCCAUCGCAACAGAGUUGAGUAACACUUCUUUUCCACCUUGAUAUAGAAGCUUUGAAUACCAUCCAGACAUUCUUCCUUUCAUUUUGUCGUGGAUGUAAGACAACAUAUCCACUUUAGAUCCACUAAAACAUUCUGGAAGACCCAAAUAAGUGCCCGCUCCACCUUCAUUGAUAAUACCCAAUUUGGUUUGAAUGAUUUCCUUCAUAUCCAUAUUCACGUUAGCACCAAAAGUGAUGGAGGAUUUAUCAAGGUUGAUGAUCUGACCAGUAACUCUUCCAUAAAGAGAAGAAUGGAUUGGAGGGUUGUGCACUGUUCUUCAUCCGCUUUAAUCAUAAAAAGACUGUCAUCUGCGAAUAACAAAUGGUGAAUGGCUGGACCAUCGGGAGAGAAUUGAAUCCCAUUAAUCAAGCCAGAUCGUUCAGCACAGUUGAGCAGAUAUGUCAAUCCUUCAGUACACAAAACAAAAAGGAAAGGUGAUAAGGGAUCACCUUGCCUUAUUCCUCUCUCAGGAAUGAUCAAACCAAAAGGCUGUCCAUUAAUCAGAACUGUAUAAGAAACCGAGGAGACACAGAACAUAAUCAUCUGGACCCAUUUUUGAUGAAAACCGAGAGCCAAAAGGAGCGCUUGAAGAUAGGACCACUCAACACGGUCGUAAGCUUUUGACAUGUCGGUCUUCACCGCCAUGAACUCCGUCGAAAUCCUAUCAUGAGUUCUCAAACCAUGGAUAGCUUCAUGAGCUAUUAUAAUGUUAUCUGAGAUAAGUCUUUCUUCAACAAAGGCAGAUUGAUUAGGAGAGACAAUCUCAGACAGAAAGGGUUUCAUUCAGGACACCAUGAUUUUGGAAAUCACUUUGUAGAGAACAGAACAGAGACUAAUUGGCCGUAGGUCACUCAUGUGAGGAGAGUUGACCUUUUUUUGGGAUAAGACAAAGAUUAGUGAAGUUCCAUUCUUUAGGGAAAACACCCGAUUCAAAGAACUUGAGAACUUCCAUCGUGACAAGAUCACCAACAAUAUCCCAAUAGUUCUGAAAGAAAAGACCAGUCAUACCGUCUGGGCCAGGAGCACUAGAGGCUUUGAUCGAGAAAACAGCUCUUUUCACUUCUUCUUUAGAAACCAUACUGAUAAGACUGUCGUUCAUUCUAGAGUUGACUCUCGGCAUGAAAUCGGAGAAGAAUUCUAUCUGAUUUGAAGGAGCAGAUGAUGAGAAAAGAGUCUGGAAAUAGCUAGUCGCCACUUCACCCUUUGAAGCUUCAGAUCGAUGCAUGAUUCCAUUUAUAUCCAUAAGCUUAUCAAUACAAUUCCUUGACCUAUCAGACUUGACAGAAGCAUGGAAAAACUUGGAGUUUUUGUCACCAAGAUUCAGCCAUUUAUCUCUACUUUUCUGUUGCCAAAAACUUUCUUCUUCCUUGUAAGCCUCCACCAGACUUUUUUGAGAUUGAAGAGACGACAUGAAGAAGGAGAUGACGAGGAUUGUUCAAACUCCAGAUCAUCUUCAAUAGUUUUUAUUUUGAUCUGAGAAUUAGCAUCGUUGACUUUCUUCCAUUGACUGAGAGCUUUCCUGCAACUUCUUAAUCUCGAAGAGACACUAAGAUUAUGAGAGGAUGAGGGACCAAACCAAGCCGACUUUAUGGCUUCUUUGACAAAAGGUUUGUGGAGUAAUCUUUUUUCAAAUCUAAACGAACCCCGAUAAGACUCUUGAGAAGAGAAGAGAUGAACCAGGACCGGACGAUGAUCGGAUCCUCUUUUAGCCAAAAAAGCUUGAUUAGAAGCAGGGAAGAAAGAAGACCAGACUUUGUUGCCGAAACAUCUGUCAAGCUUACACUGAAUCCACAAGGUGCGUCUUCUGCCACCCCAGGUAAAGCUAUUCCCUGUACUUGGAAGUUCUCUCAUAUCACAAUCUUUCAACAUGUUGGAAAAAGUAAGGAAAGAAGAAUCACUCCUUCUUGGACCACCAUUUUUUUCCUCAUUGUUGAGAAUUUCAUUAAAGUCUCCAAGCAUACACCAUCCAGUUUUUCUUUGAAUCCCAAUACGAGUCAGCCUUUCCCACACUAGGUGUCUCAAACUCGCAUUUGGGUUUCCAUACACACACGUAACAAAGAAACUGCUUGAACCAAACUGUACAUACAUGUCCAGCACAUUCUUAUCUACAUACUUGAGAUCGAUAUCAACACCUUUUUUCCAGAAAAGAGCCAAACCCACCGGAUCAACCGUAUAUACAUGCUCAUAACCCAACCAAACUUGAAUAUCUACAAUGAUAUUUUUACAGUUUAUCGUUUCCAUAAGGAACAAGAUCUCAGGGAAGUGUUUUUUACGCAUCUCCAUGAGUCUGGGAAUCGUCAGAUCUUGAGGCCGCCCCAAUCCCUGGCAAUUCCAGCUUGAUAUGCUCAUAAAUCAGUGGACAGUUCCUCAUUUGGGACCAUCUCAUGUGUUUUUGACCUUGCGGCUUUGGAAACACUCUCCAGUUCACUAUCAGCUUUCCUUUUCUCCACUGAACCCUCUAAAGAACCCUUCUUUUUCUCCACAUCUUCGGCAAAAGAAUUCUCCAAUUUUCCUUUUAACUUCCUUCGAGAUUUUGGAGGCCUCUUUCUUGGUUUUGGUUUUUUCAUAGCAGUCCCGGAAGGACCAGCAACAGAGUGCCCGAUCCUAUAACCCGUUGAACUGUUGUGAAAAGGGACCGACUCAUCACCAAAAUCUGGGGAAGUAGAAUCGGUUUGAAGAGGAUUGGAGCCAUAAUUUCUCCUAGAGCUAGCAUCCGCUUGAAUUGCAGCAGACAUAAGCUUUUGACCUCGAGGCAUGAUCACUUCAGUUUUUGUAGUCGAGUCCUCAGAAUCAUAGCCAAAGACUGGACCUUUCCCUUUGUUGAGAUCACGAGUGAUAAUUGGAACAGGUUCUAGACGAAGCACCAUUUUCUGCGUGAUUAAAUUCUUUUCUGCCUCACAAACAGAAUUCUUCACACGAUCUUCUCUAACCUUACGAUCAUCACCAUUAGCAAUUAACAAAUAUUGUCUCAUGCCUUCUAGAACCUCAGCUGCAAUUCUUGGACGACCUGUUAAGGGAUUCAAGCCAACCUGGUUCUCACCAAGAACGCCAAAAAGAGGGUCAGAUUCCAACAGGACAGGCUUGGGGAUCUGUUUUUGGGGAGCAUGUCCAAGUCUUCUUUCAGCCGCCAAAGCUUGACGUUUCAUGAUCAAAAUAGGGCACACCUCACGCGCGUGAGUUAACCUUUGACAAGAAUAGCAUCUCUUCUGAAUUCUUUCAUAGAACUAGUGAACUGUGGUUGAGCCUCCCUUAGGCAGAUUGAUCACUUUCGACUGUCUAAGAGGUUUAGACACAUCAAAUUUAACUUUCACUCUCACAAACUCUUUGUUCUGCGCUUUAGUAGGAUCAAAUGCAAUUUCAGUAACAAGACCAACAAGAUCUCCUAAAGCAGUAAUCGCCUCCUCAGUGUAAUGAUUAAUAGGAAUGUUUCUGAUUUGCACCCAGAUCGGAACAAACUGCAGAGAUUCACUUGAAGGCUGCUCUUCCCAACGCUCUGUAGCAAGAGCCCAUUCAUUGAAAGUAUGGACACCUUUGUCCAAGAUUUCAUUUAGGUCAUGUUCAUACUUGAAGAAAAACUGGAAACGCUCUCUUGAUAGAGCCACACCUCUGACUCUAUCAUACUUUUGCCAUUUUCUAGGCAAAUCCAAAAUCAGGUUAGCCAUCUUUUGACAUUCUGGAUUAAGAAGACGACCUAUCAGGCUGAACUCAUUUUUAUCACUUGAACAGUAAGCUGGGGUAUCAGGAAGAUCGAAUGGAACUUCUUCUUCCUCUAGAGACAUGGCCAUCAGCGCCUUAUCCAUAGCAGAAGACAUGGUAACCGAAAAUAACUCUGAACCACAACCACAGGUAGAAAAUCUGAACGGCCCAAAGAAGAUAGACCACCCAAAGCAAGGAAACCACGAGAUGAAAACUUAAGCAGGAGAUGAGACGAAAUUUUUCUAGACCCAGCAAAUGAAGAACACGGAUGAACCCUAUAUUUCUUUAUAGAUCUGAAAAAAAGUGUUUGAAAAGGUGAAAAGCGGGAUGAAUAGUCAAAAGGGAAAGAAGUUUUUCCACACAAAAGCUCUAUUCUCGAAGAGAUGAGAUACUCUUACACAGAAAGAGAGUCCUAAGCCCAAAAAAGGGAAACAGAUAUUUUUUCUACUAUCUUCAUCUUCUAUCUGCACCACUUGAGAGCACUGAACUUUCUAUAAUAAGAUUCUAUUUUAAAAAAACUAUUAAAUGUGUAGAAGAAAACACCACCAAAUGAGAAGUUUUGACGAUGGGACUUGGGAGGUAAGAAAAGCAUAUAAGAGUCUCCAAGUGUCUGGUUAUACUUUUUUUUGCGAUCCAGUUUAUUCUUUUGUCCAACCUCAAGGGUAGAUGUUAAUUUGAUUUAAUUUUGUAUUGGGUCAGUUCAAUUAAUUUGUAUUUAAUAAAAUUCUAACUGAAUUUAAAUGAAGUUAAUUCGUGGUUUUUCUUCAGUUUGAUCUAUUUUUGGUUAAAAAUAAUAAAAAAGUCAAUAUGAAAAUAAGUCAUAACAAAAUAAAAGAGAAAAAAGAAAAAUUUUUUGGCACUUAUUUUAAAUUAUUGCGAUUUAAUAGAUACGACACAUUUAGUUAAGACAUAUAUGUCUAGGACACAAAAGAAAUAUUGAAAUGUUGUAGUGACUUCAUAACACUACUACAAAUAGAUAAAAUACUGGGAUGGUGUAUUGACUUGGCAAUACUGUUACAAAUCUCAGAUAUAUUCUAAAAGAUAUAGUGGAAUGGUGUGGUGACUUCAUAACACUACUACAGAUAAAUAAAAUACUGGGAUGGUGUACUGACUUGAAAACACUGUUACAAAUCUUAGAUAAAUUCUAAAAGAUAUAGUGGGAUGAUAUAUCAAUUUGUGACACUACUGUGUACAUCCUACCCAAGAUCCAGAAAUUCAUUGGGUUGACUCGGUUUAUUCCAGGUUGAUCUAGUUUGCCUCCUUUUCCUAUUUCAGCGUUUUAAACCUAAUUUUUUAAGUUAAGUUUAGUACUAACUUUGUCUCUCUUUCUUUUUUAAGGUUUUACUUAAAAGUUUGAUGCUAUCAUAACUUAAACACAGAGAGAUUAUAUACACACUUUAUUCUCAUAGUUUCACUUCUUUUUAUCAUUCCCCUUUAAUACAGUAAAGGCACUUAAAUCAAUAUAAAUUAAAGACACUAUUGUACUAUGUAAUCACUCAUUUUAUUUCACUCAUAAAAAGAAUUACAAAAUUAAUACAUCUUAGGAACUGAUGAUGAUCGACCUAUCAAAACCCAAUUGUAAAGAAAAUAUCUAUCUAGCAACUAAUGAGCAGACUAUUAAAUUCAUCAACUAAAUAAGAAAAGUAAAAUAACUAUUAAUCUUCUCUCUUCUAACAGCUUUCUCUGAUUAUGCAGUCUACGUCAGCAGUGAUCACUCCCUGGUAGCAGUUAAUUGGUCUUCAUCUUCCAGCUCAUGAUCUUCUUCUUAGGCACAUAGCUCUUGAGGUAUUAUAAAUACCCACAUCGAAAACAAGAAGCUUUUCUUCAAUCUUAAGUGUGAAAAUUGCUUGAUCAUAGGUGCAGCUCUCUCCCAUGUCCUCUCAUUAUCUAGAAGACCUGUCCAACUAAUUGAUGUUUCCAAAUGAUUAGCAAGAUCAGAGUGAGUAACUAAAACUGAUACCGGUUCAAUAAUGAGUUCAUCAUCAACUGAGAAGGACUGUGGAAGUGCAGAAACAUGAUGAUCUGUUCCUAAGACUUUUUCACUAUCAAGUAGACCGCCGAUGCAAAAGUUAAAUACCAUGAUAUAACCUUUAAAAAUUUUAGUACCACAAUAAUCACUUUUUGUUGAAACCUUACAAUGCAAAAUCAUAAAGUGACAAAUAGGUACUUGAACCUUUUUUUUUUCAUCCAAUACCAAACUUGUUUUUUCAUCAUGAUUCACCUUCUCUAACAUGUACAAAUAAGAAUACAACACCUUAAAACUUUAUUUUUUAGUACAACGCACUUCAUUAACAUCUUUUUUUCCUCUCAAUGUGGUAGAUUAAGAAUGCUGAUCUAGUAACUAAAUAAGAAUGCCCUGUCAACUAAAUCUUGCCAUGCCUGCUUAGUUCGAAAUUUUUGACAUAAUUCUCAUGCAUCACGUGGAAGUUCAACAUAUCCAGGCAUACACAAGAUAACCAGACUGUUAUCUACACCAUUAUCCACACUAUUAUCCACAUUGUCACGUGAUAUAUUUGUAACACAUCUAUCAACAACAUUCUUGAUCAAUUCAUGAUGUUGUUCUGUUGUUUUGUCAUCUUCUUAAAGAGUAACAAAACCAUCAUUAACUCUAGAAUUAUUUCUUCCACCUGAAAACAGAUCGCCAAAAUUCACACCAAAUAAAAUUUCUCAUUCUACUCUUAGAAGUUGCUUGCCCAACUUAAUGUUUUCCAAAUCUUUGGUGACCUCUACAUGCAAAACACUUCUACAUAGUUCCUUAUUCAUGGAGAUAAACAUAAACGUCCUCAUUAUUGAAAAUAUAUUAUUGUCUGUGAGGUUUCACUACCAAUGGAAUUAAAGUCACUUUCAGCUUUGUCUAAGAUAUAUAUAUGAUGUCGUAAAUGAUAUACUAUACAUGUGAUCUUCUAUUGAAAUCCAUCAAUUCUAUGAUCUUUGAAUAAUAUCCUUCAUAAUCAAAUAUAUGUUUGUGAAACUAUAGCUUAUUGUCUUAGGAAGAAUAGAAACUACUUUAGCACGUGUUAUCUUGAAUCAAUAAUAUUAUUUGUACCAAUUAUAACACUUCUCUAAGUAAUAUCAACUGUUACAGUUGUUUUUCUGCAAAUUAGGUGACUUCGGGCCACUGAUAUGUUCAUAAUUUGCAUCAUUUAGGUUGCACAAAUCAUUCCAAAUCAUGUUUUAUUUCAUGUAUUUUAGGUCCCUAGGGUUUGUUUUAGAACUUAGGAGAUGCAUUAGGUCCCAAUGAGUCUUUGCAUGUUUUGAGUGUCUAUCAGGUGAUUAUGGAGCUGAAAAGAUGAAUCCAGGAGGUGGAAUGGUGAGCAGAGCUUGAAAAAGUGGAAAACUUGAGUCUAUGGAGGUUAUCGGCCAUUCUCGCUGGCCAGGAAGGUUUUACCGGCCAUUUUCAUGUACUGCGGGAAGCUUUACCGGCCAUUUUCACGUACCGCGAAUUAAGUAUAUCGGCCAAAAUCUCCGGGUGCGAACGAGUCUCAGAAAUCACCUGUCCGGGGAGCCUUCCGGUCCGAUUCAGAUGGCGGGUCCUUCAUAGAAGUUGGAGAGCAUUGAAGCACGGUCUCAUAGCAAUUGGAAUCGUAGAAUUCGGACGCGUGAGCAGAGAGAUAAGCUCGUCGGAAGAAACCCCUGUCUCGCAGGUAUUCCGGACCGAGCAGAUCAGUUCUGAAGGAUGCGAAGGACGGUGCACUUCCAGGCCGAUUCAGCUUCCGGGUCCUUCAUGAGAAUCAGAGACAUUUGAGUUUUCUUUCCAGAACGUCCAAGAGCAUUCAAUUCGGAUCUAUGAGAAGGAAGAUACGGCCUCCGGAAUGGACACAUGUCUAGACGCCUCUCUCUGGUCGUAUACAUGCACUGCAAAGAUGUGCCCUCCAGGAAGCCUUCCACCUCCCAAGCACUGAAACUUCCUUCACAAAAGUUGGAGAUAAAUGAGUCCUCUGUCUUCUGCAACCGAAAUCAUUCAAUUCGGACAAGUAUCACAGGAGUUACACUCUCCGGAAUGCGAAGUGAUCUAAGCUGCUCUGGAUGCUGCGAGAUGGUCUUGCGACUUGGUUAACCCGCAGGCCUGAAGAUGAACACCUGAAUGCUGAUGCUGCGAGUUGAAAUGUGCGGGUAAACUAUCACUGGAAGAGGUCUGGAGCUCCCGAGCAAGAGAAAUGCUAAGUCCACAAUCGUGCGACUUAGGCAUGCGAGUCAUCCGCGCCUGGAUCUAUGCCGCACGAUCACUCGGAAUUCACUCCGACUCGAGCCUGCGACCUAAGUGCAAUAGAGACCAACCCGCACAGUUUCUACAUCCCCCAGAAACCGGCUCAGCCCUGCGAGUUGGAGAGGAAGGAGACCAUGCCGCAGAAACACUCGCAAUUUACUCCUAGAUAGGCGUGCGGCUCCGACAAGGUGAUUCAAGCCUCACAAGACAAGUCUUCAUCUACUGCGACUUAGGUGUGCGGCCUGGGACAUACUGAACCGACCCGCAGCUUUUCCCACUUUAUCCAUUAAAGCCGGGUCAGGACCCGGUUUGUUCCGGGCUGACCCGGUUCGUUUUUAAGAAGGUAUAAAUACUUUUUAGGGUUUUUUGGGGGAGAACUAAGUUUUAUUCCCUUUGUCUCUUGCCUUUUUGGUGAAAAGACUCCAUUAAGAAGAGAAAUAUCUUUAUUUGAGUGUUUAAUCAAGAGAGUUUAAGGAGAUCUGGGUGUUUAAAGCUGUUUUCUUUUGAAUCUAUCAUCUCCAUCUCCAUUUCUCAUCAUUAAUCAUGCUAAUCUACUCAACUUGCAAAAGUUUAAGAGAGAUUAGUAUGAUUAGUGAGUAGUCACCUUAAUGAGGUUCUAGAUGUGUAGGUUAGGGUGCUAAAGUGUUAGAUUAGGAGUGCUUAGGGCUAGAUUCAUUGAUUCAUCUCUCUAAACAGCUGUUCUCUAUGCUAAAUCCUUGAUAAUCACUUGAGAUCUAGAUUCUGGGAAUUUCAUGCACCAAAAGUGUUUGAUGAAAUUCCUGAAAGAGUUGUGUUAGAGGUUUAAGUAAUUUUUCAUCAUGGGAAUGAUUUGUUAAAUGCUUGAAUGAUCAUUAAGAGCUGUUUGUUAAUGCAUAUUGAUUCAUGUUUCACAAAUGGGAAUUUGGUUUGAAAAUGGAUUAGUAUAGGGGUUAAUACCUUCAUGAGAGGAUUAACCUAGAUUAGAGUUCUUAAUCAUUUGAAUCAUGUCUCAUCAUUGUCAUUAGCAUUUCUAGUUUAACACCAAGGCACCCUAACCAACUAUCAUGUCUAGAAUCUCAUGCCUCCAUCAUAUCAUAUUCACAUCAUUUGUCAUUGUCAUUUGUCUUUAAACCUGUUUAUGUUUAUAGUUGUCUCUAGAUUAAUCAAAACCUAUUCUUGUUUGCUUGAAUUAAGAACUUGAUCAUAUAGCUUAGUGUCUAACACCACAUCUGGAUUGAUAAACCUCUUUGUACUACAUUGACAAGGGGAUUGAUAGCCCUGAGACCCUUAAAAGUCAUAUCUAUCAAUUGGCGCCGUUGCCAAAUUGUGGUUUGAUUAGCAUUAAGCUCUGAUCUGUUCUUGAGAUCAAGUGCUUACUUUCUUGUUUUUACUGAUUCCUUUCAAGUUCUGUUUGUGAUUUCAGGUGUAUGAACACCAGGUCCAGAUCAAGAAGCUGCGGUCCUCCUUUUCCUCUAAACGACAACAUCAACCUUCUGGUACCAAGGAGGAGAAGAGACAGACGUGGUAGACAACUUGAUCAGACUGAGAUGGCCGACCAAGGAGAUCACGGGGUAGAUAUAGAACAACCAGUUCAGGAGCAACAGGCUCAAGGUCAGGGAGCUGGUAUUGGAAUUGGUCAGGGGUUUCACCAAGGCAAUGUUCAGCAGGAACAGGUGCACCACCAACAAGCCUAUGUCCACCAGGGACAAGCUCAGGCUCAUCAACAGAGGCAUCAGGCCAAUGUUCAACAAAGACACCAGGUGCACCACCAACCCCACCCUUUCCAACCACAACAAAGAAGAUAUGAGCAACCCCAAAUAUAUGUUGGCGAGAAUGACAGGGCCAAUGCUCAUCAGUAUGGGGCUGGUAUUCAGGCACCACCUGUGCAGAACAACAACUUUGAAGUGAAAGCAUCAUUGCUGAAUAUGGUCCAGAACUCAAAGUUCCAUGGGUUAGCAAUGGAAGAUCCCUUGGAACACUUGGACCAGUUUGAUAAGGUGUGUGAUCUGACCAAGAUUAAUGGAGUUUCAGAAGACAGCUUUAAGCUAAGACUAUUCCCAUUCAGUCUUGGUGACAAAGCUCAUCAAUGGGAGAAGAAUCUUCCAAGAGGCUCCAUUCAAACCUGGGAGCAAUGCAAGCAAGCCUUCUUAUCUAAGUUCUUCUCCACCUCAAGAACUGCAAAACUGAGAAACCAAAUCUCUAGCUUCACUCAGCACAGCAAUGAAAGUUUUGGUGAAGCAUAUGAGAGAUUCAGGAGCUACACAAACCAAUGCCCACACCAUGGGUUUAGUGAGGCUUCUCUUCUCAGCACACUGUAUAGGGGAGCUCUUCCCAAGAUUAGAAACCAGCUGGAUACUGCUUCCAAUGGGAACUUUCUGGGUAAAGAGAUUCAUGCUGCUUUAGAGCUAGUGGAGAACUUAGCAUUGAGCAAUGAUACUUAUGGUGAAGACUAUGACAGAUCAAAUAGGUAUGAAGGUUCAAGCUCAGAACAGAGGCUCACCAGAGAAGUUAAGGAGUUGAGGAGUGAAUUGGACAAGCUGAAAUUCACCACUCAGAAGCCAAUGCAUUUUGUUGGAGAGUAUGAGGAACCUUCUCAAAUUUUUGAGAACAUAAGUGAAGAAGGUCUUACCCAAGAGGAGCUCAACUACAUUGGGAAUCAGAGGUUCCAAAGAUAUCAGUAUGGUAAUGCCAAUCCAAACCUCUCUUACAGGAACACCAAUGUAGCUAACCCACAAGACCAGGUCUAUCCCAAUUCUCAAGCUCCAAAGAACUUUGUUCCCAAGCACAACUUUCAAGGGUCAUUCCAACCCAAGAAUCAAUUUGGUCAGAAUCAGAGUUUUGGUCAGCAACAGCAACCAUUUCAGGGCACUGGUUACACUUCACAGCAGCCAAAGGCACCACCAGGGUUUGGUCCACCACAGUUCCAACAGCAGGCGCCGGUUCAACAACAGUUUCAGCCACCAAUGGUUCAACAGCAGCCACAGAUGGGUACAGAUAUGGUUGGUAUUCUGCAACAACUACUUCAGGGUCAACAGACUAUGCAGCAGGAAAUCAAGGAACUGAAGCAAAACCAGGCAUCAAGCUCAAGGAACCAAGGUCACCUACCUGGAAAACCAGAACCCAACCCCAAGGAAUAUGCCAAGGCCAUAACACUGAGGAGUGGCAAGGAGUUACCUGGUAUUGAGAACAACAAUGUGAUCAUUGAGGACAAUGAUCAACCUGAGGGGGAGGCAGCCUUAAAGGAUGAUCAAGUUGCUGAGAAACCAAGGUCAGAAAAGGGUAAAGAGGUAGCAAAGGAACCAGAACCAGAGAAGAAGUAUGUGCCACCACCUCCAUACCAACCCAAGCUCCCAUUUCCAGGGAGAUUUAAGAAGCAACUAGUGGACAAGGCAAGAGCUGUAUUUGAGAAGGCACUCAAAGAGACACCACUCACAAUGCCUCUCAUUGAUGCAUUCUUAAUGAUGCCAAAGAUGGGGAAGUUUUUGAAGGAUGCUAUUCUGAACAAGACAAAAGAGCUUCAAGGCAUGGUAGUACUAAGUCAUGAAUGCAGUGCUAUCAUUCAAAGGAAGUCCAUUCCAAGGAAGUUAACUGAUCCAGGGAGCUUCACACUCCCCUGUGCCAUUGGACCUCUUCUAUUCUCUGGAUGUCUUUGUGAUUUAGGAGCAUCAGUCAGCUUGAUGCCAUUCUCCAUAGCACAGAAGCUGGGCUUUAGAGUUUUCAAACCUUCAAAGAUUUCUCUUAUCCUUGCAGAUAGAUCAGUUAGAUUGCCUGUUGGUAUGUUGGAAGAUCUACCUGUCAAGAUAGGUGGUUUUGAGGUUCCAACAGAUUUUGUUGUGCUGGAGAUGGAUGAAGAGCCAGUAGAUCCUCUUAUCUUGGGCAGACCAUUCUUAGCCACUGCAGGAGCUAUUAUUGAUGUGAGAGGUGGGAUAAUAGAGCUUCAACUUGGGUCUGAAAAGCUCAAGUUUGAUGUGAAUGAGAUGAUGAAGAAGCCCACCAUUGAAGGUCAAUGUUUCUAUGUAGAGACAAUGGAUCAGUUGGCUGAUGAGUUGCUUGAGGAGCUGAACACAGAGGAUCCUCUUCAAGCUACUCUGACUCAAGAACAAGGAGACAAUGGGCUCUUGGCUGAAGCAAGUGAAGGGUAUAAGCUGUAUCUGGACAAUGCAAGAGAGCUGGGUCCUGAAACAAGGUUUGUGGAGCUGGAACAGAAUGGCACUGAGGUUUUUGCAAUCCAAGAAUCAGUCACCAGCCAAAGCAGCUUGGACCAGGACUGGAAUGAGGCUGAUGCACCCUCUGUUGAGCUCAAACCUCUACCAACAGGGCUCAGGUAUGCUUUCUUAGGACUAAACUCCACAUAUCCUGUCAUCAUCAAUGAUAGCCUAUUAGAGGACCAAGAGAGUGCAUUGCUGAAUGAAAUAAGAAAGUUCAGGAGAGCCAUAGGGUAUUCUUUGGCUGAUAUUAGAGGGAUCUCUCCUGACAUCUGCACCCAUAGGAUCCACCUAGAGGACCAAUCUAUGUCCUCUAUUGAGCACCAACGUAGACUUAACCCCAACCUUAGGGAAGUGGUUAAGAAGGAGAUACUAAAGCUUCUUGAGGCAGGGAUAAUUUACCCAAUCUCUGACUCAAGAUGGGUAUCUCCUGUUCAUGUUGUGCCCAAGAAAGGUGGGAUCACGGUGGUGAAAAACGAUAAGGAUGAACUCAUAGCUCAAAGAACCAUAACUGGCCACCGCAUGUGCAUUGACUAUAGGAAAUUGAAUUCUGCUUCUAGAAAAGAUCAUUUUCCUUUACCAUUCAUUGAUCAAAUGCUUGAGAGGUUAGCUAAUCAUCCUUAUUUUUGUUUUCUCGAUGGGUACUCUGGAUUUUUCCAAAUUCCCAUAGAUCCAAGAGAUCAAGAGAAAACAACAUUCACAUGCCCUUAUGGCACUUAUGCUUAUAGGAGAAUGCCUUUCGGUUUAUGUAAUGCACCGGCUACUUUUCAAAGGUGUAUGAUGCACAUUUUCUCUGACAUUAUUGAAGAGAAAGUUGAGGUGUUCAUGGAUGACUUUAGUGUCUAUGGCUCCUCCUUCUCGGAUUGUCUCUCUAAUUUGACACAGGUGUUGGAGAGAUGUGAGCAACACAGCUUGGUGCUGAACUGGGAGAAGUGUCAUUUCAUGGUGCAAGAAGGGAUAGUUCUUGGGCACAAGAUCUCUGAAAAGGGCAUUGAGGUUGAUAAGGCAAAGGUGGAGGUUAUGGUGAAUCUGCAAACCCCCACUUCAGUUAAAGGGAUAAGGAGCUUCCUGGGUCAUGCAGGGUUUUAUAGAAGAUUCAUAAAGGACUUCUCAAGGAUUGCCAGGCCCUUAACAAGACUGUUGUGCAAGGAGGUGGAUUUCAUCUUUGAUGUUGAAUGUGAAGAAGCCUUUAAGUUGAUCAAGGAGGCAUUGGUUAGUGCACCAAUAGUUCAGGCACCAGACUGGUCCCUACCUUUUGAGGUCAUGACAGAUGCUUCUGACUUUGCUGUUGGAGCAGUACUUGGACAAAAGAAAGACAAGAAGUUGCAUGUGAUCUACUAUGCCAGUAGAACACUUGACUCUGCCCAAGAGAAGUAUGCUACAACUGAAAAGGAAAUGCUGGCAAUAGUUUUUGCCUUUGAUAAGUUCAGAAGCUACCUGGUGGGAUCAAAGGUCAUUGUGUAUACUGAUCAUGCAGCCCUCAGGUACUUGAUGACCAAGAAAGAUGCCAAACCAAGGCUGUUGAGAUGGGUUCUAUUGCUCCAAGAGUUUGAUAUGGAGGUGCUUGAUAAAAAGGGGAUUGAGAAUGGUGCUGCAGACCAUCUCUCAAGGCUGAGGAUUGAAGAAAAAGUCCCCAUAGAUGAUGCUUUGCCUGAAGAGUCUCUGAUGGUGCUCCAUUCAUACUUGGAGUUUGAGGAAGUAGAGAGCAUUCAAGAAAGGAGGAUGCCUUGGUUUGCAGAUAUAGUGAACUAUCUUGCAUGUGGGGUGGAGCCCCCUGAAUUGGAUGCUUACAAGAGAAAAAAAUUCUUCAGAGAUGUCCAGAGAUACUAUUGGGAUGAGCCCUACCUCUAUGUUCUGAACAAGGAUCAGUUAUACAGAAGAUGUCUUGCUGAAGAGGAGAUGCAACCUGUGUUGCAGGAAUGUCAUGGUUCUGCUUUUGGAGGUCACAUGGGGGCAUUCAAAACUGUAGCAAAGGUUCUUCAAAGUGGGUUCUGGUGGCCUACAAUGUUCAAAGAUGCCCAAUUGGUGGUUUCAGCUUGUGAUGCCUGUCAGAGGCAUGGAAAUAUAUCUAAAAGAAGUGAGAUGCCUCAGAACCCCAUUCUAGAAGUGGAGAUCUUUGAUUGUUGGGGGAUUGACUUUAUGGGACCUUUUAUUUCAUCCUUUGGAAAUCAAUACAUACUUGUUGCUGUGGACUAUGUGUCCAAAUGGGUUGAGGCCAUUGCUUCCCCUACCAAUGACUCCAAGGUUGUAGUCAAGCUGUUUAAGAGCAUCAUAUUUCCAAGGUUUGGAGUUCCAAGGGUUGUCAUUUCUGAUGGAGGAUCCCACUUUUUGAACAAGACUCUGGAAGGUUUAUUGAGAAAGCAUGGAGUUAAACACAAGAUAGCUACUCCAUAUCAUCCCCAAACUAGUGGCCAAGUGGAGGUAUCUAAUAGACAAAUCAAGGCCAUUCUGGAAAGGACUGUCAGCUCAACCAGAAAAGAUUGGAGCAAAAGGCUGGAUGAUGCAUUAUGGGCUUACAGGACUGCCUUUAAAACUCCAAUUGGAACAUCACCAUUCAGUCUGCUAUAUGGGAAGAGCUGCCACCUUCCUGUGGAGUUGGAGUACAAAGCUAUGUGGGCUGUGAAGUUUCUAAACUUUGAUAUCAAAACAGCUCAGGAGAAAAGAAUCAUGCAACUCCAUGAGCUUGAGGAGAUUAGGCUUGAGGCUUUUGAAAGCUCAAAGAUCUAUAAGGAGAAGACCAAAGUCCUGCAUGACCAAAAGAUUUUAAAGAGAGAGUUCAAGUGUGGUGAUUUGGUCUUGCUUUUCAACUCCAGACUUAAGUUGUUUCCAGGAAAGCUUAAGUCUAGGUGGUCUGGACCUUUCAAAGUUCUUGAAGUGAGGCCUUAUGGUGCCAUUGUCUUGGAAGGAAAAAAUGGUCAGGAAUUUGUGGUGAAUGGACAGAGAGUCAAGCAUUACUUAGUUUCACAAGGGAAAGAGGAAGCUACAUCAGUUCCUCUCUGAUCACCAGCUGUUAACCAGUUCUCAAAGUCAAACUUAGAGACUUUAAACAAAGUGCUCUUGGGGAGACACCCCAAGCUUAUCUUUNNNNNNNNNNNNNNNNNNNNNNNNNNNNNNNNNNNNNNNNNNNNNNNNNNNNNNNNNNNNNNNNNNNNNNNNNNNNNNNNNNNNNNNNNNNNNNNNNNNNCGAGUUUGCAACUAUCUCUCACUUUUCUCUCCAUGUUUUCACCAUAUCUCUCUCAUUCUCCACCAAAAUUGUUGAUUCAAAGUGCUCUGAGCUCGUUUUGAGUUGCUAACAUCAUCCUGAUUGCAUUUCGAACUUGUUGCAUCUUAAUCCCAAGGUAUUUCGCCCUGUUGAAACUCAUCUCUUUCCAUGUUCUUCAAUGGUGAUUUUUUUUUUUUUUUUGAACUUUAAAGUGUGGAAUCGAUUUUGAUAGGUUGUUUUAGACCUUGGGAUUAUUUUUAUAAAUGCUAGGGUGCUAGAUAGUCUUGGAAAACAGAGCACUUUGUUUGUAAUUACCUGUUCUUGAAUUUUGAAAAUUGUUGCAACAAUUUUUUUCAAAAUUUUGAGACUUUUGUGAGGUUCAUCCUUGUACUAACAAUAUUUUUGAGAAUCUCUUGGCAGAUGACUGAAAGAACCAACUCUUUGGCCAAGAAGAAGGGCCCUGCAUCAAAAGGCAAAGGUUUGGUCUCAGGAACUUCAAAGCCAAGAAACAAAGGUCAGGGUGCAAAGAAUACUACAAAGCAAGGAAAGUGUGAUCCAGCGCCAAAAAGGACAAGGCCUGAAGGAAGAGCUUUGGUGGUUGCUUCUGGUUCCAAGAAAAAGGGGAAACAGUUGGCUGUGGUAUCUGAGAGUGAACAGACUGAAAGUGACUCCGGCAGCUCAGCUGGUGGUUCCCAAGGCACCAAUGAAGAGGGAUCAAAGAAGUUCAAGAAAACUGAACCAGAAACACCUGAUUAUCUGGCUAAGUUUCAGCAGAUAGAGAUCCAGCAAGGGAGAUUCCCUGAUUUGGACUUUCUGAAGAAGAUUGGCCUCUAUGAAGAUGUCAAGACUUUGCUUGGGAACAUGGGUGUUGAGUCACUUUUGGAGAUGAGAGAAAUCGCUUAUGAGCAAGAGUCCCAAGAGUUCUUGGCCUCCUUUGAAGCUUUCAUUUACUACCCAAGGGAUUCAAGAAUCAUUCAAGGAGAUGGGCUUGGACAUGUGGAGUUUACUGUGAAAGGGAAGGAAUAUUCAGUGUCAUUCAGAGAAUUGAGUAAGAUCUUUGAGUUUUCAACACCUAGAAAUGAAUUUCUCUCCAACUCGGUCAAUCUCAGAAAAGAUGAGAUCCAACUUCUAUGGAGAUCAAUUGCUUCUGGGAAGUACACAGCUGGAACAGCUAAGGCCUCUUGGAUAAGGAAUCCAGUUCUGAGAUAUGUACACAAGGUUCUCUCUCACAGCUUCUACUUCAAGAUUGAUGUUGGAAGAGUUCACAAAGGAGAUCUGCUGCUUCUGGGUGUAGGGCUGAGGCCGCUGAUGCCAACACAUGAAGAUGGGGAACCCUAUGUAGGGUAUGAAUACCCACUUUGCCUUGCAUCUCAAUUAGCAAGGUCUUUGAUGUUCUACAAAAAGUGCAUGUGGGAUUCUACAAACAAAGAUGCAAAGCUGACCCAUGGAUGGGUGGUAACAAAGAUCUUGAAAGCCAUGGGGUAUAGAUUCAAGGAGAACAAGGCAAAGUUUGAUCUGAUUAAUGAAGCACAUUUGUGUAGGAUUGGCUUUCUCCAAGGAAGAGUGGGUACCAAGGCAGUCUACAACUUCAAGACACUCAUCAGUGAGCCAGCCCAAGUUCUCCUACCCAAUCCCUCCAUCACCACAGUCCAAGUUAAAAGGAACAUUCACUUCUUCUUGCUGAAGGAAGAGCUGUACAAUGUCCAAACUGAUCCACCAAUCCUCACAUACAGGCAAGCUUGCAGAGAAGAAGCCUCCAAGGGAAAGAAAGCAACCGCUGAAGAUGCUACCACAAGUGCAGCUGGUGCUCACGAUGCUGAUCUGCCUCCACCUCAAAAACGUUUUGGUGGAAACAGAUAUCACUUUGAUGAUUACAACUGGGAGGAACCAGGCACUUCAGGGUUCAGAGCUCAACAGAAGAUUGGUAUUCUCCAACAAUGGUGCAAGUACCAAGACAAAACCAUCCACAAGAUGGCCAAGUGCAUCAAGGAGAUGAAGAAGAGGAUCAAGAAGCUUGAAAACCCUUGCAAAGGUGGGGCUCCAGCACCAGUUUCACCAAGAAACAGAGAGGAAGUUGGGGAGAGUUCCAUGAACUGCACAGCCUUGGUCGCAUAUGGAACCACUUGGGUAGAUCUUGACGACGGGAGUGAUGAAGCCAGCCACCAUUCUUGGGAAACACCGUCAGGCCACACAUCGAACCCCUCCUACUCAUUGGGGUCUGAUUUCAACAGCCACUAGGUAACACUCAAAACCUUGUAAAUAGCAUGUAGACUUUUUUUUUUCCUUUUGCAUUUUGCUUGUUUGCUUUGGUUUCACUUCUUUCUCAUACUUUUAUAACACAAGGGACUGUGUUAUUUAAGUGUGGGGGAGGAGUUUCAUCCUUUACUAACCAUGUUUUCUAUUUUCUCAUUUUACACUUUGAGUCUUGAGUCACAUUCUAGUUGCAUAGUCAUCUAAGUGCAUAUAAAAACCAAAAAAAAAAAAAUGGAAAAAUCUGAAAAAUUUUCACAAAAAAAUGAUCAUGUAGUUGCAUUCUCAUUUUUAAGAUUGAGUCUAGAUUGCAUUUGCAUAUAGGUUGCAUCUUGCAAGGAGUAAUGAUAGGUUUUCUAGAGAGUACAUCACUUUGAGAACUUGAAUUGAAUAUGCUUGUGAAUCUUUUUCUAUGCUUGCAAAGUCUGAAAUGAUUUGAAUCUGAGAAGCAAGUUUGAAUUGAACUCAACUCUAAUUAAGUGGAAACCUUGAACUUGACCUGAAAAUAUCUUGUGAUGCAUUGUUUGAAAAAGCUUGUGGAUACCAAUAUACAUACUUGAGCUAGAACCACUGUUUUUACCACUCUUUUCCUUAGCUCAAGUAGCUGAAUCCACAUCAUGGAUCAGUUCCCACACCUUGAACCCAUCCUUCUUUUAAGCCAAUGUUUGUGUGUGAAUUGAAAGGCCACCUUGGAUCAAACUUAGCAGAAAGUGUUAGGUUUAGAGCGACAAGGGCAGGUCUCAUUGAGUGCUGUGUUCCAACAUCAAGGAACUGAGAGUUUUGGCGAGGAAUAAGUGUGGGGGAAAAGACUUUUUGGUGAGUGGAAAAAGGUGAGAUGAGUGGAAAGAGAGAGUGAAAAUAACUAGGGGAAUGAAAGAAAAAGAAGUCAGUCUUGGUGUUUUGAGAAAGUGAGCUCUGGUUUGUUGAAAAGAAAAAUCUAGCCUCUAAGUGAAAAAGAAAGAAAAGAAGCCAAAAGCUCAAAUGUUUUGAUAAGAAAGAAAGAAGAGGCUAGAAGUUGUAAAAGAAAAAGAGCUGUGUAAAGUUUGAGUUCCAAGACUUGAGAGUGAAAGUGAAGAACAAAUCCCCUAGUGAGAGAAAAAUGAGUGUGAAAAGUGAGGUCUUUGAGCAAGAGAGGAAGCUUUGAGUAGAGGGUGGGGAGUGAUGAGUCUUUGCCCUUGUAUGCAUAGGUUGCUUUUUACCUUUAGCAUUCUGCCAAAGUUUGAUCAUUCAUAGAGAGAUCCCUUUGCUGCAUUUAACCCACUUGAACACUGAUGAGAUCAUUUUAAUCUCAUAGCCUCUCCCUAGCCAAGCCAGCUUGUUUAAACCUUGCAUCAUGAGAUCCACCUGAUAAAAGCUUAAUGAAUGUGAAAGAGUUGAGAGAGAGAAGAACUUGUGGAGAUUCCUUGCUGAGUUGACAUAUAUCUGAGUAUGGCUUUGCAUUGCAUAAUUGAGCAUGAACUUGAAUUCUCAUUGUGAUCACUUCUCUCAAAAAGAAAAUGUGAACUCCCAUUGCAUACAACCUCUUUCUCUCAUUUGCUCUUUUUGCUUGAGGACAAGCAAAGGACAAGUGUGGGGGAGUUGAUAUGUUCAUAAUUUGCAUCAUUUAGGUUGCAUAAAUCAUUCCAAAUCAUGUUUUAUUUCAUGUAUUUUAGGUCCCUAGGGUUUGUUUUAGAACUUAGGAGAUGCAUUAGGUCCCAAUGAGUCUUUGCAUGUUUUGAGUGUCUAUCAGGUGAUUAUGGAGCUGAAAAGAUGAAUCCAGGAGGUGGAAUGGUGAGCAGAGCUUGAAAAAGUGGAAAACUUGAGUCUAUGGAGGUUAUCGGCCAUUCUCGCUGGCCAGGAAGGUUUUACCGGCCAUUUUCAUGUACUGCGGGAAGCUUUACCGGCCAUUUUCACGUACCGCGAAUUAAGUAUAUCGGCCAAAAUCUCCGGGUGCGAACGAGUCUCAGAAAUCACCUGUCCGGGGAGCCUUCCGGUCCGAUUCAGAUGGCGGGUCCUUCAUAGAAGUUGGAGAGCAUUGAAGCACGGUCUCAUAGCAAUUGGAAUCGUAGAAUUCGGACGCGUGAGCAGAGAGAUAAGCUCGUCGGAAGAAACCCCUGUCUCGCAGGUAUUCCGGACCGAGCAGAUCAGUUCUGAAGGAUGCGAAGGACGGUGCACUUCCAGGCCGAUUCAGCUUCCGGGUCCUUCAUGAGAAUCAGAGACAUUUGAGUUUUCUUUCCAGAACGUCCAAGAGCAUUCAAUUCGGAUCUAUGAGCAGGAAGAUACGGCCUCCGGAAUGGACACAUGUCUAGACGCCUCUCUCUGGUCGUAUACAUGCACUGCAAAGAUGUGCCCUCCAGGAAGCCUUCCACCUCCCAAGCACUGAAACUUCCUUCACAAAAGUUGGAGAUAAAUGAGUCCUCUGUCUUCUGCAACCGAAAUCAUUCAAUUCGGACAAGUAUCACAGGAGUUACACUCUCCGGAAUGCGAAGUGAUCUAAGCUGCUCUGGAUGCUGCGAGAUGGUCUUGCGACUUGGUUAACCCGCAGGCCUGAAGAUGAACACCUGAAUGCUGAUGCUGCGAGUUGAAAUGUGCGGGUAAACUAUCACUGGAAGAGGUCUGGAGCUCCCGAGCAAGAGAAAUGCUAAGUCCACAAUCGUGCGACUUAGGCAUGCGAGUCAUCCGCGCCUGGAUCUAUGCCGCACGAUCACUCGGAAUUCACUCCGACUUGAGCCUGCGACCUAAGUGCAAUAGAGACCAACCCGCACAGUUUCUACAUCCCCCAGAAACCGGCUCAGCCCUGCGAGUUGGAGAGGAAGGAGACCAUGCCGCAGAAACACUCGCAAUUUACUCCUAGAUAGGCGUGCGGCUCCGACAAGGUGAUUCAAGCCUCACAAGACAAGUCUUCAUCUACUGCGACUUAGGUGUGCGGCCUGGGACAUACUGAACCGACCCGCAGCUUUUCCCACUUUAUCCAUUAAAGCCGGGUCAGGACCCGGUUUGUUCCGGGCUGACCCGGUUCGUUUUUAAGAAGGUAUAAAUACUUUUUAGGGUUUUUUGGGGGAGAACUAAGUUUUAUUCCCUUUGUCUCUUGCCUUUUUGGUGAAAAGACUCCAUUAAGAAGAGAAAUAUCUUUAUUUGAGUGUUUAAUCAAGAGAGUUUAAGGAGAUCUGGGUGUUUAAAGCUGUUUUCUUUUGAAUCUAUCAUCUCCAUCUCCAUUUCUCAUCAUUAAUCAUGCUAAUCUACUCAACUUGCAAAAGUUUAAGAGAGAUUAGUAUGAUUAGUGAGUAGUCACCUUAAUGAGGUUCUAGAUGUGUAGGUUAGGGUGCUAAAGUGUUAGAUUAGGAGUGCUUAGGGCUAGAUUCAUUGAUUCAUCUCUCUAAACAGCUGUUCUCUAUGCUAAAUCCUUGAUAAUCACUUGAGAUCUAGAUUCUGGGAAUUUCAUGCACCAAAAGUGUUUGAUGAAAUUCCUGAAAGAGUUGUGUUAGAGGUUUAAGUAAUUUUUCAUCAUGGGAAUGAUUUGUUAAAUGCUUGAAUGAUCAUUAAGAGCUGUUUGUUAAUGCAUAUUGAUUCAUGUUUCACAAAUGGGAAUUUGGUUUGAAAAUGGAUUAGUAUAGGGGUUAAUACCUUCAUGAGAGGAUUAACCUAGAUUAGAGUUCUUAAUCAUUUGAAUCAUGUCUCAUCAUUGUCAUUAGCAUUUCUAGUUUAACACCAAGGCACCCUAACCAACUAUCAUGUCUAGAAUCUCAUGCCUCCAUCAUAUCAUAUUCACAUCAUUUGUCAUUGUCAUUUGUCUUUAAACCUGUUUAUGUUUAUAGUUGUCUCUAGAUUAAUCAAAACCUAUUCUUGUUUGCUUGAAUUAAGAACUUGAUCAUAUAGCUUAGUGUCUAACACCACAUCUGGAUUGAUAAACCUCUUUGUACUACAUUGACAAGGGGAUUGAUAGCCCUGAGACCCUUAAAAGUCUUAUCUAUCAUCCAUCUAACAUUUUACUUUCGUUUUAUGAAUAAGUUCUCUUUCCCUUAGCUGUUUUAGGAUUUGAUGUACUUAAUCGAUCAAGAAAACAUGGUCACCAUUCCAAUGUUCAUUAAUUACCAACAUCAAAAGAAUAAUAUUGCAAAUCUAAUUGAAAUCUUCAAAAUGUGAAUACAAAAUGGUUUCUACAUAAAAAUAUAAGGCCGGAAUAAUAUGAUAUACCUUUACAUAAUCAUUAAAUGGUUUUUUUAAAUUACGUGUUUUCUUUCGAGAUUAUUGCUCCCUUGCCAACAUCAAUGAUGACGUUUAUUCCACGUCAAAUAUGACAUGGCAAAGGCGCUAGCUCUGCACAAUUUCAUUGGAUGCUAAUGCUGAUGUGUAAUUUUUGUCCAAGUUUUUCUGAUUUAAAAAAACAAAAAAAAAGUGAAAAUCAUAAACGGAUAAACAUGCGGAUCUUUAUACCCGAUCUAGCCCAAUUAUCUGUAUUUUAAAAACAUCCUUUGGCCCAAUAAUUCAUACAUUCCCAUUUUUAAAAUUUUUGAAAUUAUGGUUUUUAAAAACUUUCCGCGUAAGAAAAUAGAAAUUUUUCCCAAAAUGGAAGAUUACAUUAACUAUUAGCAAGAUUUACCGGAGUUAAUGUAACAAUAUAUACAGAAAUUUUAAUAUUUCAAAAAGAAACACGAAUUUAUCUUACAUUUUAAUACUAUACGUCAAUUUUGGCAAUUAAAUCAAUUUGAAUAUAUUGAUUCUCAAAUAUUUCCGCAACAAUAUCUACUUCUACGCACAUUCCGAAUAUCCAUAUUCUUCAUUUCAUUCUUUUUUUUCAAAAUAAUUUAAAUCCCGCCUAACAUCAAUUUUAAAAAGUUCUCAUUGACUUCCUCUCCCUAUAUACCUAUCCUAAACCCUAAAACUCUACAAUUCUCAUUCACAAAAAUGGCUUUAGUCCGCAAACGUUCGGCUGCUCUAGUUCCAUUUGCCAAAUUAGGUCAAUCAAGUGAAAUUCAGAAAAUUAGAGCUAUUAUAUUUUUACUUUGGAAAGUCAAGAACAGGCAGUCUGGCUUUGUUAUAUAUAGAAAUGAUAUUGGUUGACAAAGAAGUUUGUAUGCGAUCUUAUGCAUUUUGUUUAUUGUUAUUUUAAUCAAUCUAUAGAUUAUAUAGUAAUACUAUUUGUGUGAUUCACAGGGCACUAGGAUUCACGCUACGUUGAUGAAGAAUUGAUCGCAAAAGAUAAAUGCAUCCUUAUAGAAGGAAAAUCACUUUCUAUUAAUUGCUUCAUCAUUAAAGAAUACUAUAGUGAUUUUAGGACUACUCCAUUACCAUACAAGAUUGCUUUGUGCAGAACAACCCGUGCUAAGGAGAUCAAUGAUUUUCCAUCAGACUUGCCAGAGAAAUAUUUUUCUGAUUUCAAGUCAAUCAAGGAAGACAAACUCGACAAAAACGUCCUAAUCGGUAUGUCAUCAUCGCGAUAUUGAAAAUUAUAUUCUAAUGUACAUAUUUAUCAUUGUAUACAAAUAUUUUGUCUUCAAGAUGUCAUUGGACAAAUUGUCACCAUUGGGAGUAUGGAAGUUAUAAAAACUAAAGUAAAAAGUGGGAUCAGCGAGAAAUUGAUGAUAACACUCCGGGACACCAAGUAAGUAGUUAUGAUAUCAUACCAAAAUAAACAUAACAAUAUUUUAACAAUGGAACGCUAAUAUGUUUAUUGCUGAAGUGAUGUCCAACUGAAAUGUACACUAUGGGGACAAUAUGCAAAAGCAACUGUUGAGUACACUGACAAGCAUAUGGCUGUUAUUGUUGUGUGUGUAAUGCGAUUUUUCUGUAUAAAAGAGUACAAAGGUUAGAUCACUAUAUCCCCUAUUCAUAUAUACACAGUUUUGUAGAGAUUGGUAUUGGAUUAGAUUGUUAAUUAUUCUUAUUUUAUGUUUUUCGAGUAUAGGUGACAAUUCAAUAUCAAACGCUUUCAACUCCACCAAAAUUUUGUUUGAUCCUGACGUCAAGAUCGUGAAAGACUUCAGAGAAAAGUAUGUUAUGUGACAAUUUUAAUAUCAUUUUAACAUUGUUUUAUUUAUAUAGUUAUUGUUUACAGUUUUGUAGGUUGCUAAAAAACAAUCAAAUGAUUGUGCAUGCUGAACAGAGUUAUUCGACUUCUUGGGGUGGUGCUAUUGACUACCGUGAAUAAUUUUUAGGUGUGAAAAAUAGGAGGCGGACGAUAGCUGGAAUUCGUGAUAAAAAAGUGGCAUGAGCUAUAUUUUAUUCAUGGUACAAAUAUAUUUAUAUUUCACUAUAUACAUAUUAAUGGUUUUGUUAUAACCUGGCAAGAUUUUAACAUGCGUAAUGGUCAAAGACGUUGACACUUCAAAGCUGUGGUAUUAUUGGGCAUGCAAACCUUGCAUCAUCAAAGUUUUAGAGCAUGACAUUAUGUCUGAUGAUGAAGAUUACGAUAAGAGGAUUCCUCUUUUCAGUUGCAAAAAUUGUGGAUAUAUCUAUUCAUAUGAUACCAUCGUCGCAAGGUAAUACAAUGAUUUGUCCCAUAAAGUCAAGAAAACAUUACUUAUUUCAUUAAGACUUUCUUUGGUAUGAUAUAUAGCAGAUAUAGCAGAAUUAUUUCAUGUAGACUUUCUCUGAUUGACUGGCUAAAUGUUCGCCUUAUUUUAUUACAUUGAUUUGUCCCAUCAUACAUUUAUUCCAACAUUACAUUACAUGUUUAUUCAUGUAACGUUUAAAUAACUCACUCUUCUGUUUCCUUUCAAACUAUGUAGGUACUAUAUUGUAUUAUUUGUAACUGAUGAUUCAGACGUCGAUGUCCGCUUCCUGAUGUUUGAUGACACUGCUCAAAGAUUGUUGGGUCAUUCAGCUGAGUCUAUAAUGGAACAAAAUGAUGAGGUUAUUCGUUAAAUAAUUGUAUACAUUAUGCAUUAUUUACAUUUUCUGAAAUAAUAUUAAUCCAUUAUAUAUAAUGAUGCGCAGGAUUUACCAAGAGGGCUCCCUGAUGGCUUGACAAAGCUCCUAACCAUGAGGAUGCUUUUCAAAAUAACAGUUUCAGAAGAGCAUACAAAAGGAAGCCAGUCUCCGUAUGUAGUAGAAUGGUCUCAAGAUGUCGAAAUUAUGACUGAGUGGGAUUCUCGAUCAGUGGUAAUAUAUAGGAUAAAUUUUACAAACUUCUCAAGCUCGCUUAUCUGAUCGUUUAGUUAAAUUAAGACGUCAACAAUGUUUUAUAUUUUCAGCAACCGUUGAUGCUUACGAGUUCUGACGAACUUGAGAAUCCAUCGUCUGGAUCUUUACUCAUUCCUUCAUCUAAGAAGCUAAUUAAGAGUCCUGACUAUUUUGAUGAAGGUGAAAGAUCUGUUAACAAAAAGCGACCGAAGCAAGAGAUCCCGAUGAAGUUAUGAAGAAGCAAAAAAUCGUAAUGAACUUAUUGCAGAAAUGCAUUGCUGGUGAUUGAUUAUUGAUUUUGAUCUUUAUAACAAAUUUGUCCAAUGGAUGGAUAACGUUUGAACUCUCUUCGUUAUUUUUUGCGGUAUUUGUGGAAUUUUUUUGGCAUUUUUUAUUUAAUUGUGAAACUUGAAUGUUGCCCUAGAAUUUUUUUUCAUAAUUCAUUUUUUGAAACUUUAAUUUGUGAUUUAAAUUUUUUUGGUUCAACCAACUGUCAUAAAUUUACACGAGAGUUUCAAUUAAGACGACAUUAAAACCAUAACCGUUUUACUCCAUCACAUAGAAAACUAUUCAUUUCGUUAUUCUCUUUCAUCUUCAAUCUUAGCAAAAUAUUAAAACAAAGAAUGUCUCCUAGUGAAAGAGUUUCCGAUCUUCAGAAGAAAAACGGCGGAUAUCGUAUUUGUGUACAUAUACUAAGAGAUUAUUAUGAUUAUACUCUCUUCGAUCGACCUAAUUGGAUGUUAGUUCUUGCGGAUGAAUUUGUAAGUUUUGGAGGUUUGAAAAGAUUUACCAUAUAUAUGUUUUAGGAAUGUAUUUGUUAAUUAUUUAUCUUUGUAAACCGUGUAGGGCAAUCGCAUCCUGUCUACUAUUCAAUAUGAUAUAAUAGACAAAUUUGAGUAUGAAUUGGUUGAAGGAGAUUGGGUGGUUCUUGGUAAUUUUGAAGUUGCUGACAGAGUGAUUUGUCCAAGUAUAUCAUCAAACAACUAUCAUAUACAUUUCCUCGAGGAUACCAUUGUUGAGAAAACUGAUCUGAAGUCUUCCAGAGGAAUAUACUCUUUUUGUGCAUUCAUGAAUAUUUUAUAUAGAUUUAUUCAUAUAGAUAGAUAUCUUGCUAUCUUUCUUACAACUUUUUAUUUUAAAUCGUUUAUCUAAGGAACUUCAACAUGUAUUUAAAGGCAGUCCUUUAUUUUUGCAGUUGUUCUUCUCGGUGUUGUCACAUUUGUUCAGAAACUUCAGUUAUGAUCAGACACACCCACGCAACGUCCACUUAUUCGUUUUAAAAUUCAAGAUUUCAGGUCUGUUAUCCUCAAAACAUCUGUUAUGUGUAUAUUGUUUACAAAUUUUAAAGUAUAUUAAUAAUGUUCUAAAUUAUUUAAAUAUACAGUGGAGAAUCUUUGAAAUGUAUUGCUUGGGAUAACUUGGCAAGGAAAUUUGAAGAACUUUGGAGGAAUCGUGAAAGGUCUUCUAGGCAUAUUAUUGUAUUGUGAUUUUUCUCUUUCACUAGACGGAGAAGUAACUAACUACUUCAUUAUUUGAUAUUUUUAAUUAAUUACAAGUUUUACAUAUAUAUUUUUCCGUAUAUUGAGUAUGUCUAUGUAUUUAGAUGAAUGGAUAGUUGAAUUGGAAAGAUUCAUAUCUGAUAUUCUCGAGGAUCCUCCUAUCCCAGAAGUGGAAAGAGCAGGGUUGAGGUAUGUUUAUUCCAUCUUUGAUAUUGUAUUCUAUAUUUUAAUAUUUAUAAAUAUAUAUAUAUAUAUAUAUAUAUAUGUAUAAUGAUAAAAAAAAUCCUAAUAUUAUUUCAGGCUUGCAACUUCAAUUGAUUUUUCUCCGGUCCACGAUGAAUAUGAAGACCAGUCUAAGUAAAAGAGAUUAUUGUUUCCUAUUUCUUAUUUUUAUAGUGUUAAACUUGAAAAUCUAUAUUAUUCUGAUUGAAAAAAACUUAUCCAAUGACAAUAUAUAUAUAUUUUUUAAAAAACAAUUUAAUUGUGUUAGCAUUUUUUCGUGAAGCGUAUUCUAUUUGAUUUCAACAAAAAAAUAAUUAUGAUAUUCAAAAUUAGGAUGCUCCGUGAUAUGUGUCUGUAUUAAAAAAAUAGAGUAGGUAAAUUCUGGUAUUGUACUCUCAUUAAUUAUUUGUAAUUAAUGAAAUGAAGUAAUUAACUUAAUUAAAGAGAAGUAGUCAGUACAAUAUAUGACAUUUUUCUACCAUCUUUACAUAUUUUUCUACAUAUAAUUAAUCAAUAUAAAAGUCAAAUAUACCUAUGAAUUGAAUGUAACAAAUUUGGUUUGUUCGUAAGUCACUUAGUGCAAUAAAUGUCAAAGGUUGCAAUUUAUUCUAAUUUUACAAAACAACACAACUUUUCAGACCCUAUACUUGCUUUGCUAUACAUAUAAAGGACCAAAGUAAAAAAAUGUCUGGCCAUCUUAACUAAAAAAAACCUAAAGUCCCAGAAAACAACCACUUUCCUCAAACAUGCCUCGCUAUUGUACCCUUGAGUAUCUUUCUCCCACAAAAUCUGACUCCAGAAUUCUUAUAAAAGUUCUACGAGUUUGGGAACACUUCAACUACUGUAAUCAACGCCAGGAAUUGCAUCUUAUCCUCGGUGACGAAAAUGUAAGUUCAUCUUUUUGAAGUUUUUUUAUUCUGUUGCAUGUUAUGAACAUUUAAACACAUGAAUUUAGGGUUACAAAAUAGAGGCAUGGAUAGAUCAGGAUCUUAACUUUUCACUUGGUCCAAAGUUUAAAGAAGGAGAAUGGAAUUAUGUCAAAUUCUUCAACGUUGUCAAUGCGUUCGGAUCUUUCAGAAAUACUAUAAACUACCACAUCAUCAACAGGAACGCCGAUACUAUUGUAAACAAGACCUUUCAAGUCAAUCCUAAGCAUAUGAUGGAUUUUAUGCCAUUUGAUGCCAUUAUCUGAGGGAAUUUCUCUACUGAGUACUCUAUCGGUUAGGCUUCUCACUUUUAUUCAAUUUAAGAAUUGUUAUAAAUAUUGUGUAAUGAAAAUUUUUCUUUGUAGACUUGAUCGGCGUAAUCAUCUAUGUUGAUGAUGAACUAAGUACUGAUAUUGAUGACCCAUACGAGAUGAUUUUUGGACCUUCUCACAAAUUGGACAUUCAAAUAAGAGACAUGAAGUAAGAUGUUUUAUAUUAUCAUCUAUAUAUGUAAAUGCCAAUAAUUUGUCUUAUGUUGUACAUAUGUAUUUUUGUUAAUGUUGUUGUAAUAUAAUUUGAUAUGGACAUCAAACUCAUUGGGAAGACUGCUCUGGAUUUCUAGAAGAAGUGAGAAAACAUAUGUACUUAUGAAACAGUCUUGAUUUUGCGCAUGUUUCGUCUGACCUAUGAUUCUGAAGGUUAGUAAUUAAAUAUUAUAAUCGAGUGGAAACAUUCAUUCCCACUUUGUUAAUAUGAUAAUUUGGCUUCUAACAUGUGUGCCCUUUAUAUUUUAAAAUCAUACAGGAAAAUAUCGCAUAAAGAAUGAUGGACACCAUUCUGAAAUACUUUUCAAUCCUCACAUAAAUGAGGUUUCUGAUUUUCUUGACUGGUAAUUUUUCUAAUUGGUAUUAAUAUAUAUAAUAUGUUUUAAGGUUUAUUUUAAUCUUUUUUACAAUAGUUAACUUGAAAUUAUUUAUGGUCAGGCUUCCUUUUAUUGAUAUCCAAGGAGAUCCGAGCUGGCCAUAAGUUUAAUCCCUCUUAUGUACCUAUAUUUUCUCGUAACUGUUAAACAUUCCCAUUAUGUAAUAUUUUCCCAUAAAACUGGGAUGGAGUUGAACAUAUUUUCGUAUAUUUGUAAUGAAAUAUUUAGUAUUUAUUUAUAGUAAUGUUUAAUUGCCAAUUAAUAUCAUUUUAUUUAUUGUUUAUAUAUAUUACAUGUAUAUAUGUAUAGUUUGGAUAUAGCAUAUACAAUCUAUAUAUAGAAUCCAUUUGAUUUUAGAAAGGUUACUUCCUUUAUAGACAUUUUCUUCCAUCGAAUAUUGUACAUUUCCAUAAUAAUAAGACAUUGUCAAAUUAUACUACUACAAUAUAGUAACGACCAUUUUUCAUAUUAUGCCAAUUUUAGUACCAUAACAAUUUAUGUAAGUAGACUUCGACAUUACAUUUAUUGCGAACCUUUAUAAAUUUCUUUAUUUAUAAUUAUGCCAAACGAUGCAACUAUAACGCUUUUUAGGCAAUUUCAUCUAAUGCUCACUAUUGAUCUUUUUUUUUUUGGUCGAUGCUCACUAUUGAUCUAUUAAAAACUUUACGUGUAAGAGUAAAUUGAAAUUAAUUCUGAUUGACGUUUUCAUUUCAGUGUUGAAAACUGACGUCAAGCUUUUCUCAUAACAUUUAGAGUUGAGUGUCAAAUAUUAUAUAAAUUAUCAAUGUUUUAAUGUUUGUGGAUUAUAAUUAAUGUAGCAGAUGAGCUUAUAAUCUUACGAAUCAAUUCACACAUAUGAGAAAGUGAUUUGGGAAAAUAAUUCAUUUUUAUUUGAAUCAAGAUAAUACAACUUAUUGUAGCAAAAAAGAGAGAUAAUUAAGGUACAAAAAAACAAAAACAAAAAAACAGAGAUAAUUUUAGCUAAACUCCAAAGUUUCUCCUUCCACGUUUAUUCUUAUGUGCCUAUAAGAUUCAAAAACAUAUAAUGUUGUUAACUUCAAACAUAUUAGUUAAACAAAUCAAUGUAUUAAUGGAAUAUUAACAGCUUACCCACUCCGAUGUAUCUAGGUAGCGAAUCUCUCUCUUAACGAAGCCGCAUUCUAUACAUUUCAAACCUAUCUCCAGAUCUAGAUGGAGAUCGUGUUUUCCUUUCUUGCAACGUUCAUUUGGAUCAUCAGUCGAUAUUUCUUCAUCAAGCUGCAGAUAUUACAUAGUGAUAUAAACAUACAAUAAUACAGAAAUCAUCAAUAAAACCGAAUAAUUUAAAGUUUAAAUUAUCUCAGAAAGAACCUCGAUGGCAUUCGCAGUUGAUUUGCUCAGAAAAUCAUUCAUCUCUUCCCACUUAUUAGUUUCCUCCAUCUCUGAUUCAGAAAUUGGAGGAGGUGAUGGUGGUUCUUCCACACCAAAUCUCAUGUUCGAUGGUGGUGGAUUAAUUCUCAGUAAUCCGUUUUCAUCAUAACGUUUUUCUUGGUGAUUCUCCAUUUUUGUCUAAUCUCUUAUCAGGCGUUUAGGGUUGCAGAGAAAAUUUAAGAAGUAUGUUUAUAAUCGAAGCAACUCUUAUUUUAUAUAGGAUAAGGUAGUUAAAAAAUAUUCAAUGUCACCAAAUUUCUAUGUUUUCUUAGGAAUACUGUUUCAACCAACCAGUUUAGCUUUUUAACUUUCGUUUUUGAUAUAUAGACAUAAUAUUUACACAAGUCUUCUGCGUCCAACUCACACAACUUAGCUGAAACAAAAAUAUUGAAAAGUUUGGAUUUUCCUCUUUACAGUUUGAUUUAAACCGCAAUAUAUGGUAACAUAAUAUUGUCUCUGAUAAUUUCGAACUAAUAUUCUUAUGAAGCAAUUAUGUAUAAAUUGAAUUAUCUAACCAUAUAUUCGAGAUUUUUAUAAAUAUUGUAUGAAGGAUAUUUAUAUAUUGUUGUUACUUUAUAAAACCAGAUGCAUAUUUCAAUCUUUAAUGUAUUUGUAUAUUCGUGUAUAUCCUAUUUAAUCCAUCUAUAUAUUCACAUCAUACUUUUGUGAACUGCAACUUCAUUUGUUACACUGAAUAAAAAAUCUCAAUAUUCUCCAUUUCUACUGCUAUGAACAGGAUAGGUAAACCUUAUGCGUCCAACUUUAAUCUAUUAAGAAUCCUUUUGAAUAACUAUAGACAUUUACCCUUUAUAUUUUAUUAUCAGACAUUAUUUGUUUCCUUUUAACUGUUUUAACAAAUUCUUUAUGAUUGUUUUCAGAAAUUAUUUAAUUUCAUCUACCAAGAACAAAUUCUUCCAAGCGAAACAAGGUCGACAAAGUAAUGAAAAAUACAAAAUUUAUUGCUUGGAUGGAGUGUAACAAGAUAUACGCAACUGCCAGAUUCCUACUCUACACUGAAUUAUCUCAUCAAUUUGUAUGGAAUGUCACAUUGCAUGAGUGGAGGUCACGGGUGAAGGGUUCAGGAAAUCCAACUAUUCUUCAACAGUAUUCAAUUUAUGAUGAGUAGAAUUUUUAUUUGGGUGUCUGUUGAAUAUCAUUAGAGGUCCUCGCAGUUAUGAAGAUAUCCGAACAUUUAAUGGUGUUGUAUACGACACCUUCAGAAAAGUUUGCUAUGCAAGGGGCUUAUUCCCGAUCAAUUAGAUUUAUAUAUCUUUCUUAAUUUUAGUUUUAAAACUGCAUGUUGAAUCUUUAUUUCAAUAAGUUACUUUCAUUUUGUUGUUUUUAAUCAUCUUCAUUUUUUACAGUACUUUUUAUGUUGAAUAUAUGAUAUACUAAGGUAAAUCAUCUACUAAAUACUACAUUUGCAACCGUGACAUAUUACAUGAUUAAUACAAGAGUCAACCAAUUAACAUUUUAUAAAAUAUAGCAUAACUUAUAAUUUAUAAUUUAUUGAAUAAACUAUUAUCAUUGUAAGUUUAAAGUAUUGUUGAUGCGGAUUAAUCGUAACUUAAUUGUUAAUAUGAUAAAUUAUACCUCAAAUUUUGGAAAUCUCUGAUAAAAUUAAACAACUUUUUAAAUUUCAAUUUAAACUGAACUACAUAAUAUAGACAAAUGCGAUUUUUUGUUAUUUUAGAUAAUUGCAAAAGAGAAAUAAUAAAUCUAACAAUCCUAGAAAUUAGGAAAAUCGUUGUAGUUCAAAUUAAAAAUUCCCAAUUAAAAGUUUUAUAUUUUUUACACAAUAUUGGAUCUCAUUCGAGGUAAAUAACAAUUUUUUACAUAAUUAGAGUUUUUUUCUUAAAAUUCCAUUCAAUAAUAAAAAAUCUACUAUAGCAAAAACUUAUUGAAAACGGUAUACAUUUCUGUUUACCUACUGAACAAAAUUACUUAUAUCUCACUCUACAAAAAGUACAUUGUCAAUACUCUAUCCACAAUUUGAUAUAAAGUAUUAACAGUAUACUUCAUGUUGAAAGUGAGCAUUCACAAGUAAUAUAAUUACAAUAACUCUGUGGCGACACAAUGAAUAAAAUUACUUCUUCUGAUGUGAUUCAUCACAGAUACACAAGAAAUAUUAUGUAGGAAAACAUGUAUUUUUAUUUCAUGUAAACAUAAUUUUUGUACGUCUGUGAGUGGAUCACAUCAGAAGAAUAAUUAUAGUAUGGGUUGUGUUUGAGUGAGUUAUUGUUUGCUUGGUUAAUUGAUCAAAAUUCUAUUCUGAUGUGUAUUUAUAGAAUUCUUAGAGCACGUCCAGUGGGGGUUCGUCCAUGGGUUCAUAACUCAUUUUAGAAUUAAAAAAAAUGUUUAAUGAGCUAUUUAUGAAGACUCGGUUCAUCCCAAAGAGUCUAAUGAACCUCAUUUGCUGACGUGGCAAUUUUUUAGUGGUUGAACCUUCAUUUUUCUUUUUCCACCUCUUCUCUUUCUUAAAAAAAAUCAUUUUUUCUUUUAUUUUGCAACUUCUCUCCUCUCUCUUGUUCAGAAUUUUAUUAAUUUAAUAUUUAGGAUGAACUUUAUGAAAAGUUCACCAAUGGACAUGGUCUUAAAGAGUGACUCCUCAUUUUUCUUCCCUGUGUUUCAUAUUCCCCAAAAGUCAUUGAUAAUUAAAACAUAUUAAACAACAUUUGACUGAUAUAUCACAAAUUCCGAAAGAAGAUAAAUUUCGAAAUAAAUGAAUACAUCUUCGCAUAUAAUCUAUAAAAUAUGUUCAUAAAUGUCACAUUUCGAUGCCUAACUUAAAAACAUAAAAUUAAUGUAUAUAUUCAUAAUUACAAGUAUUUUUUUAUCUACACUUUCUUCAUUAUACAUAACUAAUUAUAAUUACGUAGAAUUUAUAACUGCAAAUAUGAGCCAAUUUUAAGACACAAUCCAAUUCUUAUACUAAUAACAUACCAUUCGACCCAAAAUUAGUAACAUUGUAUCCACACACACUGUAAAUUAUCAAUAUUAUAAAAUUCGACCCAAUAAAUUUAACAAUAUACCUAAUAAAAUUAAAAUUUCAAAAAACGUUCAAGCCCGCACAUGUGUGCGGGCCAGUAUCCUAGUGCCUAGAAAAUACAAACAAGUGUGGGUAUAGAAACGUGAUACAUAGUGAUUAUGUUCCUUUCAUAUGGUGAUGUACUUAUAUUUCCUUUUAGUAUGCUCUAUAUUGCUAAGUGAAAACAGGGAGAUUGUGGAAUUUAGUUGCAUAUUUAUUUCCUUUUUAAGUGUCCAAUUGCCUUUUGAUUUCGUUUAUUUAUUGCGGGUAAAAACAACCAAAACCAUUCAGUUUUAGCUAGAUCUACUCUCGGAAAUAUUACAUGUAACAUUUGGUCCUUGUUGUUCGACCUAUCGUUCUACUACCAUGACAAAAUAAUUGUACACUUGCGGUUUAGUAAAUUGGUAUUUAAAAUUGACCGCACUUUUUCCAGGGACUAGCUGUUUCACCAUUGGGUUAAAGACUACAGUUGAACAUAUGACAAGUUUUUCUUGUUUCCCCUUUGACACAAAAUAUAUAUAUAUAUAUAUAUAUAUUUUGUUAUAUUUUUGUUACUUUGCUUAAUCGCUCCAAGUUUUCCCUAAUUGGCCUUUCAGCUGCAUGACUAUAAAUCCUUAUACCAUGAGGGUCUGACCUUUCACCGUUUGAAAGAUAAUAGAAAGGAGAGCGAUUAGCACGUUUGGAGAGAGAGACAAUAGAUAAUCAGAAACCAAAAUUGGAGAGUUCAAGUUUGAACAGUUUCUAAGUAACUUGGGUGCCAGUGUGAGUUUGAUGUCCCUGGAUGUGUCAAAAGGUCUUGGGAUAAUAGAUUUCAAGUCAUCAAAGAUCACUCUGGUUUUUGUUAAUCGCUCGGUUGGUUACCCAAUGGGUCUACUUGGGGAUCUACUAGUCAGGGUUGGAAACCGCUAUACUCCUAGAGCAUUCAUUUUGUCAUAGUUACAUAAAGAGCUACAUGAACAGAUGAAGGUGUAGCUGUAGUUGAAGCAGUUGCUGUACCAGAUGAAGUGAAGGAUGGAAUUCCACAAACAUGAAGUACGUGACAAGCGAAGCAUUUGGAAUGAGGAGCUGGACGAGUAGCUGAGCUGGACCAGUAGGAAUGGGAGUCUUGGAAAGAAAGCAAAGCUGGAUGGGAAUAAAGGAGCAGAUCAGGAAGAAUGGAAGAUUUUACUUAAACAUGUAAAAGUUUAAGGAAAUAGGAAAUAUGCACCAAGCGACAAAAAUGGAAGCUGUGGUGUAGGGUUUUCGGCGUGUAUAGCCGCUUAGUCUACUAGGUAUAAGUAGACGUGUUGAACCAUUGUAAAAGCUUAACACAACUACUAGAGAGCACUUAGCAUAAGGGUGAGAGAUUCGAGUAUUAGGGUCUGCAUCAAGGGUUAAGGGUUUUUCUAGGGGAGUUCUGAGAUCAAGUACAGCUCGAAGAACAGAGAGAGCUAGAGCGACAGAUCAAGGUGUGUCUUGAGUCUGUUCUAAAUCGUUUUACAAACUUGUAAGGUGUGUUAACAGAUUUACUAGUAAUAAAGUUCAGUUAAAGGAAAAACUUUGUGUUAAGUUGUGUUGUUGUUCUUGAACUAAGACUCUUGCAUUUACAAUUGGUAUCAGAGCGGUCAUCUGUAACUUGCAAACAGGUGAGGUCAUGCGGAGAUGGAGAAUUAUCAAGAACUUGUGAGCAGUUCAAACGUAAUUUUGAAUGCUGGAAACUACGGCUUCUGGAAAGCGAGGAUGCGUUCACUCAUAAUAGGAAUUGAUCCUUUGGUAUGGAAGUCGGUCCUGGUUAAGUGGGAAGAACCAAAGAAGAAGAACGAUGCUGGAUCUGAUGAGCCUAAAUCUGAAGAAGAAUGGACCGAGGAAGAAAGAAAAAGGUUCAAAUACAAUUCAAAGGCGUUGACGGCUAUUCACUGUAGCAUAUCAGCUGAGACCUUUAAACUAAUUCAGGGAUGUGAGACAGCCAAAGAAGCUUGGGACAUACUGCAGAUACAGUUUGAAGGAACGACAAAAGUGCAAAACUCGAAGAAGGACAUGUUGGCUUCACGAUUUGAGAACCUGUAGAUGGAAGAACAUGAAACCAUUGCCGACUUCAGCUCCGAGUUGAGUUCUCUGGCUCAAGAGGCUACAACUCUUGGGAAGCACUACAAAGACAAAAAACUGGUGAAGAAGUUCGUAAGGUGUCUUCCUUCAAGGUUCAUGGGGUACAAGUCAGCUCUGAGUGUGAACCAGGAUACUGAAUAUCUAAGCUUUGUAGAGAUUGUUGGGAUGCUACAGGCUCAUGAGAUGAAACUUGAUGGUGUGAAGAACCAGAAAGGAUUGGCGCUGUCAUCUGUUCUCGAGACCAAGUCAUCAGAGGAAGAAAAGUGUGAGGAUGCAUUAGGGCUACUGGUGAGGAGGUUUGACAAGGCUCUAAGACGAGCUGAGAAGUCAUAUGGUCAGAAAAAAGGUUGUACCUGCCAAACGAACAAAGGAAACCAGUGAAAGAAGGGGUGAUGUUCAAUGCUACGAGUGCAAAGGGGUCGGACACUUCAAGACUGAAUGUCCUACUAUUAAGAGAAGGUAGAUUCAGUGCUUCGGAUGCAAGUGUUUUGGUUAUACACAAUUGGAAUGUGUGAAUGAUCAAAACCGCAGGAAGGAAAGAUCCAUGCUGGCAGAAGAAGAUACUGAAAAUGACAGUGAUGAAGACACUGUGGAGGAAGUAAACAACUUUGUCUCAUUCAUUGGCAUUGCAGAAUUCGAUGAGAGUAUGGUUGCUUCAGAUGCUGAGUCAGAAGUUGGGGCUGAUGAUGAGCUGAGUGAAAGCUACAAAGAGGUUCGUGAGACUCUGAUCAAGAUUGGCAAGGAAAACACUGACUUAAAGAAAGAGAAUCUUUGAGUUGAAGCAAGAGUGGAGGAGCUGCAGAGAGAACUGAAAGCUGCUCAGAAACUGAGUCAAGAAAGUGUUGCGCUGAUAAAAGAGAAGCUGAACUUGGCAAAGAAGGCAGAGCAACUGGAGCAUGAUCUAAGUCAGGAGAAAGGGAUUUCCAACAACCUGAUGGGUGAGCUCAUUGAGCAACGUAAGAAGAUUCAUAUGUUUGCUGGAACUAAACAGCUUGAUCAGAUCUUGAGCCAUGAAAGGAGGUAUGAUGUGCGUAGAGGAUUGGGAUACGAUGCUUGAACCAUGGUAGAAACAGGUACUACAAAGUUUGUCUCAGGAGGUACAACUAAGCCACAAGAUCUGAUCAAGCUGAAAAGCUGUGGAUGAAGUCGGAAAGGUCAUCCUGCGAGGAAUCAGAUCUAGGAACAACUGUUAUAUAUGGGAUUCCUCUUGCAAAGAAGAAAAGUGCUUCACAGCACGUGAUGAUCUACAUCCGUGGCAUCAACGAUUGGGACACAUGAACAUCACGAAUCUUGCCAAUCUUGUCGACAAAGAAAUUGUCAGAGGAGUGCCUAAAGUCAAGGGAGUUGAUAACUCGGUGUGUGGACCUUGCACUCAAGGCAAGCAAGUUAAAGUGCAACACAAGAGAGUACCUGAUGUACAGUCAAAAGCAGUUCUUGAUCUAGUCCAUAUGGAUCUAAUGAGACCAGUACAAACCGAGAGUUUGGGUGGCAAGCGCUAUGUGUUCGUCCUUGUGGAUGACUUCUCUAGGUACACCUGGGUUAGGUUCCUUUGAGAAAAAUCUGAGACAGCUGAGAGCUUCAGAAUAUGGGCGCUGCAACUCUUGAAUCAGCGCGGUAGAAUAAAGAAUAUCCGGAGUAAUCGUGGCGGCGAGUUUCAGAAUGAAUUCAUGAAACUUUUCUGUGAAAGUCAUAGCAUUGCUCAUCAGUUCUCAGCACCUAGGACACCACAGCAGAACGGGGUUGUAGAAUGGAAUAACAGAACACUACAGGAGAUGGCACGAGCAAUGAUGCAUGGGAACCAAGUGUCAAAGAAGUUCUGGGCUGAAGCAGUCAAUACGGCUUGCUACAUCAUAAACCGAGUCUACGUCAGAAAGGGAACCAGUAAGACACCUUAUGACUAUGGAAAGGGAAAACCCCUAACUUGAGUUACUUUCAUGUCUUUGGUUGCAGGUGCUACAUCCUUAAUGACAAAUACUAUCUUGGGAAGUUUGACUCAAGAAGCGAUGAAGGGAUGUUUUUGGGAUACUCGGGAAAUAGCACUGCAUUCAGGGUCUUCAACAUCAGGUCAAAAGUACUGAUCGAGUCAGUGAACAUGGUGUUUGAUGACUAUGCUCGUACCAAGUGGGAAGGAACUGCUACUGGCAGUGACUCGGACGAAGAAGAAGAAAAUCAACCAGCAGCUCCCACUGGAGAAGGUGAUCAAGCAGUUGUGGUUCCAACAUCUGAUGUUCAGCAAGUUCACAGGAAUCACUCACCUUCGAAUCUCAUUGGUGAUGUGAAUGAAGGAAGAAGGACUUGUGGAGUUCAGUUGGACUUCAAAAAGAUGGUUGGGAAAUUCUCGGAGAUGGUUCUAUUUGCAUGCUUUGUCUCUGUCAUUGAACCCCGAGACGUGAGACAGGCACUUGGUGAUGAAUUCUGGAUCAUUGCCAUGGAACAAGAACUAGAGCAGUUCGUGCGUAAUUAUGUGUGGAAACUUGUCCCAAGACCCCUUGAAGGCAAUGUGGUGGGAACAAAGUGGAUCUUCAAGAACAAAAUCGAUGAGAAUGGGGUUGUGGUUCGCAACAAAGCAAGGCUAGUUGCACAAGGGUUUUCACAAGUCGAGGGAGUCAACUUCGAAGAGACGUUUACCCCUGUAGCAAGACUUGAAUCAAUCAGACUGUUCUUGGGGAUGGCCUGUAUCCUAAACUUUAGGGUAUAUCAGAUAGAUGUCAAAAGUGCAUUUCUUAAUGGAGUGCUCCAAGAAGAAGUGUAUGUGGAACAGCCAAAAGGGCUCAAAGAUGCUCAGUAUCCACAACAUGUGUACAAGUUGAAGAAGGCGCUUUAUGGCUUGAAGCAGGCUCCACGAGCGUGGUAUGAGAGACUCACUGGAUUUCUGGUUGAACAAGGAUAUGUUAGAGGAAGUGUUGACACGAUCUUGUUCAUCUAUGAGCAGAAUGGGCAGAUCAUAAUUGUGCAAAUCUACGUGGAUGACAUUAUCUUUGGAGGAACUGCUCAGUCACUUGUGGAUCGAUUUGUCACAAGCAUGACUCAAGAGUUUGAAAUGAGCAUGGUUGGUGAACUGCGGUACUUCCUGGGUUUGCAAAUAACUCAGUCUGAAGAUGGGGUCUUUAUCUCACAAAGCACCUAUGCGAAGAACUUACUUACAUGAUUCAAGCUUGAUCAGUGUAAGGAAGCUAAUACUCCAAUGAGUACUACAGCCAAGCUCACUUGGGAUUAAGAUGGAACAGAUGUUGACCCCACAGUUAUCUAGGGAUGAUUGGAAGCUUGUUGUAUCUCACAGCAAGUAGACCAGACUUUUCCCUAAGUGUGGGCAUCUGUGCUCGAUAUCAGGCGAAACCCAAGCAAUCACAUCUUGAAGCAGUGAAGAGAAUCAUCAAGUAUGUCAAAGGGACAGUCAAGUUGGGAAUCUGGUACUCCAAAAGAUCGAACAAGCACUUGGUGGGAUACUGUGACGCAGGAAGUGCAGAUGAUCGGAAAAGCACAAGUGGAGGUUGUUUCUUUCUUGGGAACUAUCUAAUCUCGUUGUAGAGUAAGAAAUAGAACUCUGUCUCACUGUCUACUGCAAAGGCCGAAUACAUUGCUAUGGGGAGCUGCUGCAGUCAACUGUUGUGGAUGAAGCAGAUGUCCGCAGACUAUGAGAUGGAUUCUGGGCCACUACUGGUUCACUGUGACAACAAAAAUGCUAUCAGUAUUUCAAGGAAUCUGGUGCAGCAUUCUAGGACCAAACACAUCAAUAUAAAGCACCACUUCAUUCGUGAGCUAGUGGAGGAGAUACAGGUAGUGAUAGAACACAUUGUCACUGAUUUGCAACUGGCUGAUUUAUUCACAAAACCCCUGGAUUUUAAUCGUUUUGUCACCUUAAGAAACUCGAUUGGGGUUUGUAGUAUGUGAUUUUUUGUGAAGUGUGCAGGACUGAUGCAAAAACUGACUCGAGGGGACACUCAAGGUUUAGAUUCAGUCUGGAGUCAUGGAUCUAGUGGAAAAGAGCUAUCUCAACAACCGUCGUACCUUAACGACAGUACAGGUUUCAUGGAGUAGAAGGGAAGCUGAGCUAGUUUCGGAGAAGUCAAGUGAUGAAACUAGCUCAUUGCACUCAAACCAGAAAGGGAGGAAUGAAUAAAUAAAAAAAAUUUAAAAAAAGGAGGGGCUGCUUGCAAUUAAAAUUAGUUGAUCCCCUCAAAAGGUAGAUCCUCCCCUGGUACUGAAAGCUUCCUUCACCCGUGAAUAAAGGUUGAAAACUAGAAAAUGGGUCGAUAAAGGUAGUUGGGUGUGAAAGCUAGCCCGUGAAUCAGGAUGGCCAGACUCUUAUGAAUCAUAACAAGCUGAAGGUGUCUCGUGAGUCAGAGGCUGUGUCUAGUUCCGGUGCACUUCAAAGAAAAUGGUAAAAAUAUGUACAAAGCAUUGUUUUCAAAGCCAGCGCAUAGGUGAUAGUUCAAUUGUCACUAUUUGUUCUCUAUCAUCGGCUUAUGUGUGAAAGUGUCCGUGAAUAUUGAUGGUCUAAUGCGUGCGUGUUUGAUUCAGUAUGUGUUCGAGUGCUUUUGUCACGUGUGAAACAGGAAAGUGGGCAGGGAAUUUCGAGGCCUUGAUGAGUUUGUGAAAACAUCUGUGAGAUGGGCUUGUUGCGAGAGAACAGCCCACAAAAGACAAUGGAAAUUGAAAAGACGUGGGAAAAUAGAAAGUGGGGGAGUUAUUUACGGGGAGUGGGGAUCCGAAAAAUCAGCACCACUUCCUGUUUUAAACCCUAAUUAUCUUCCUACAAAAGGCGAAUCACAAAGAGAGACAUCAAUGGUGAGAGGAACUCGAAGGGGGCUAAUUGGUGUCCGAUCUAAAGCACAGAUGACGCAUGCAGAUGGCGAUGCUCAGAGGCCUCAUCUAAUCGAUGAGCACAGUGGCGAGAGUAUGAAUCCAACUGAGGCGGUUCCUGAUCAAAAUCCCGCGGCAUCCAUUGGUCCAGCAGAUAGUGCAGGCUCUUUUGCCACCGCAAAUGAUGGAGAUGCGCAGAGUGGAUCGUCGGCGAACCCUAAAGAGAAGGCGGAUGGCGGAGAAACCAAGGCCAACUCGGAGGUUACCCAGAAAAUCAAGAAUGACGAGGAAGAGGCUGACGGUGGCGAGAGCAAAAAAGCUGUUGAGGUGAAUCUCUCUGUGCCACAAGAAUCGGCGAAUCCGACCGCCGAUCCGGUUCUGAUCACAAUGACUCAAGAGGAGGCGACAGCAUCUCCCGCUGAAGCAUCACCUACCUCGAUCUCCGUGAAAGAGCAAGCUGCAAAAGUCGAACGCAAAAGAAAUACAAUGAAGGCUUUGGGACUUCCAGCUCCGUCAAAGAAACCCAAAAGUGAGCCGUCUCCAGUUCCAAAAGCAGAACCGGAGCCAGUCCCUGACUCGGUGCCAUGAAAGCGGACCAAAAAGGCUCGAUCUCGCAAAGAACAGCCGUCUCCUGAUCAAGCAAGGUAUGAUCACUUUGCUACACGACAACUUUGGUGUGAGAGAACUGUCGAUGUAGGUGAAACAGAUGAAUGGGGAUACAUCAAAGUGAAUAGAGACAGCGGUUUAGAAUCAGCGGUUGUAGGGAUCACUUUGUAUGUACCGCAAGUGAUUCAGGAGUUCUAUGCUGGGCUUCCGGGUGAGCUACCCUCUGAUCCAGAUCAAGAGAUUCGUGUCAAGCUGAGGGGUUUUGAGUAUUGCUUCUCUCCUGCGUGGAUCAAUCGGGUCCUCAAUCUGACUCCACUUAGCGAGGCUGAAGUUCACGAUGAGUCAGUUGCUGAAGCAGUCUCUCUGUCUGAUAUUGCCAAACACUUGUCGAAAGGAGGAAGUGGUUGGAGUGGGCUGAGCACGAGGAAUCUCCCACCGGUUUUUGCUUCAUUGAUUGUUAUUGCGGCGUACAACUGGAUUCACUCAACCAACAAGAAUCACAUUUCUGAGGAGCGUGCUCGCCUGCUGUACAAGCUGAGUCAUGGUGUGAGGGUGGACUUCGGAAGGCUGGCUUUCAAACAUAUUAUUCUAAUGAGCAAGAUCAUCAAAAAAGACACUCACUGGCUGGUAUUCCCGUGUUUGAUACAGAAGAUUAUGAACCUUCAACACGAGCCUUAGCUGGGUCAAGGAGAGACUCACAUUGUCCCAUUUUGAUACAAAAAAGACUCACGCAGUGGUGAGGAGUUCAUCAAGAAAGAGGCCGCAGCUGCAAAGAAGGAUAAGAAGAAAGGGAAGCAAAGGGCUGAUGCACCGAGAUCUCCAACUCCUCCACCUCAGUCGUCUCAACAGCAACCUGAGCCAUCACCGAGUGUGCCACUUCGGUCCUUCCGCUCACCACCUCCUGAUGCAUCCUUCAGGUCAUCCGACUCUGCUCCUGGUCGGACUCAAAGUGCUCCUCUCGGAGUGAUUUGUGUUCCUUUGGCACCAGAAAGUGCUAAUGAAGUCACAUUGGCCUUAUGGGAUGUGAGUCGUGUGCUUAACCAUCUCCACGGAAUAGUCAACAUGGUGAUUGACUCAUUUGCAAGUAAGUUUUCUGACUCUGACUUGUUUCUUAUUUUAGGUAUUGAUCCCUGUUUUUACUUUCGGUGAUCACAAGCAGGAGGAGAAAACAUGUGGGAAGAAAUUCUACGAGAUGAUGCAGGAGAUGAUGCGGGUGCUUAAAUUGUGGGGGAGUUUGUGUAAUAAUCUAGUUUCUUGUUUCUGAAUUAGGCUAAGUUUGUGGGGGAACGUGUAUUUUGCUCUGAAAACUCUUGUUCGCAGCAUUUGAUUCAAGACUCUGUGUUUGACGUUUUCUUUUCAUAUGAAAUGCGUUCUGUUUGUCUUGGUACUUGGUUGGUCUGUGGUUGUUUGUGUGCUAUGUCUGAAAACAGGUGCUUCUGAGUCACACGAAGCUAAAAUGGGGGAGAUUGAAGGUGUAGCUGUACUUGAAGCAGUUGCUGUACCAGAUGAAGUGAAGGAUGGAAUGCCACAAGCAUGAAGUACGUGACAAGCGAAGCAUUUGGAAUGAUGAGCUGGACGAGUAGCUGAGCUGGACCAGUAGGAAUGGGAGUAUUGGAAAGAAAGCAAAGCUGGAUGAGAAUAAAGGAGCAGAUCAGGAAGAAUGGAAGAUUUUCUUAAACAUGCAAAAGUUUAAAGAAAUAGGAAAUAUGCACCAAGCGACAAAAAUGGAAGCUGUGGUGUAGGGUUUUCGGCGUGUAUAGCAGCUUAGUCUACUAGGUAUAAGUAGACUUGAAGCAUUGUAUAAGCUUAACACAACUACUAGAGAGCACUUAGCAUAAGGGUGAGAGAUUCGAGUAUUAGGGUAUGCAUCAAGGGUUAAAGGUUUUUCUAGGGGAGUUCUGAGAUCAAGUACAGAUCGAAGAACAGAGAGAGCUAGAGCGACAGAUCAAGGUGUGUCUUGAGUCUGUUCUAAAUCGUGUUACAAAUUUGUAAGGUGUGUUAACAGAUUUACUAGCAAUAAAGUUCAGUUAAAGGAAAAACUUUAUGUUAAGUUGUGAUGUUGUUUUUGAACUAAAACUCUUGCGUUUACAACAAGUUCCUCUAGGCUCAGCUAAACCAAUUCUCUUUACUUAGUUGUUUUUAGUAGUUGAUCUCGACUGGGUGAAAACCGACCCUAACACUUUCCUUGAGUUUGUCUUGAGGAGAACCAUGUUCUCAGUCCAUCCUCAUAUCUCCUAUCUCCAUUACUUUGAAUCAAACAUAUAGUUGAUUUCUGAUAUUGUUGUCGAUUAGCUUGAUGAGUUGGUACUUUUUCGAAGGUUUCUCCCAAGUCAACAACGUUUCCCCACUCGCAUAAAAACUAAUCUUUCAAUAGUCUCGUUACCAAACCAUCCCAACCUAAUUCAGGUUUGGCUUAUCAUAUAAAUUACAUCCAUUUUUGAACUGUCAAAACCUAAUUUAGGGAAUUUCAGUAAUAAUAUAUAGUUUUUUGGUGUGUCAAAUCAUAUGAGAGAACCUUUACGAUAUAUAUGUUUUAACCAAGAGUGAUCCCGAUAUUUACCACUCAACUAAUCCAACAAUUCCCAAGGGACGAGUGUAGCCGUGAAGUAAUUCAUUCACAAUUUUUUUUUUUUUACAUCUAAUUCACCUUUAUUAGUUAUCAAAAUUACAAUCGUUAAUUACAGUACACUACAAGAAAACAGCAGGUAUUCCUACGAAAGAUAUCAUCAGAAAAUGGUAGGAAACAGGCAUUUUCUACCAAUUUCCGACGAAAAUGUUUUGGUAAGUUCUAUGCCGUCGGAAAUUAUAAAUGGUCAGAAAAUGAUAGGAAAUUUCCUACGAAAUUUUUGGUCGGAAAAUUUCAUCGGAAAAUUUGGUCAGAAUAUCGUAGGGCAUUUGCUACUAUUUUCCUUCCAUUUUCUUUUGAAAAAAUCCAACCCUUUUCCUACGAACAGUUUUCUAUCAUAUUCCUACCAUUUUCUUACUAGCUAUAUAAAAAAAUUUUAAUUCAAUUAAUUACAAAAUUAAAUAAUUUCAAUUAUUAAACAAAUUAUAAAAAUUAAAUCCAAAAUUAAUCAACCUAAUUAAAAACUAAUUAGAAAUUAAUUAUAACUAAAUAUGGAACUUCUAAAGCCCAAAUUAUUUUUAUUGACUCAGUAUUUUUUAUACUUAAAGCAUGUGUCUAUUUAUAGAGUCUUUUCAGCAUCACCUGCUUGGUCGAUGUGGGAUUUUUCCCAUUUUCCUUUUUGACUGAUUUUGGUAGGAAAUUGAUAGGAUAUUUAAAUAAUAAAAUAUUUAUUUUUCGUAGGAAAUUGAUAGGUAAUUUCUUACAUAUUAUAUUCGUAGAUAAGUGGUCAAAAAUUUCUGACAAAUUUCCUACCAUUAUUACAGUAAAUUUUUUCCACCGAUUUCCUUCCAUUUUCUGAUCAGAUUUCCUACGGAUAUUUUUUUGGUUGAAUAUUGGUAGGAAAAUUUUGACCAUUUUCUGACGAUUUUUAUCGUAGAAACUUUUCUUCCAAUUUCCUACCACUUUUAUUUUUUGUCAUAAAUUCGUAGGAAAAUGAUAAAAAAAAAUUUCUACCAAAAUUUACGUAGAAAAAUUUAUAGGAAUUCAACAUGUUUUCUUGUAGUGGUAUGUUGGAGGAAUCGAGGACAAGUGUGGUACAAUGACCAUUGAGUAUUACAUAAUAAUGCUUGUUUAGCCAACAUAUCUGCCCAUUGAUUUGCUUCUCGGUGUCGAAAGGUGAAGCUCACUUCAGCGAACAUUUUUUCCAGCUUUUGAUAGCCUCUAUGUAAUGGUGGAGACGCAAAUUAUUUCCUUGCCCAUUGAUGAGUCGGAUAAUGGUUAGAUUAUCUCCUUCAAAUUCCACUUUUUGAAGGAAUAUUUUCAUAUUUUCAUUCACAAUAUUUUCUAAUGGGUCUAAAAAAUGGCACCAUUUCAAUUCGUCAAAUGAAAAUGGUUAGAUAAUUAUAAGUUUGUUGAGAAUUCUUUCUUUAUGGUACUUUGAUAUAUUUAGUGAACUUUGCAAGUAUUGUGUAUGAAUAACCUCAGUAGAGUUUCUUUAGGUUCUCGUUGUACUAUUAAGAAAACAAAAUUUCUCAUCGUGAACUUUGCAAUUUGUGAAUAUUUAGUUUAAAUAUUUUUUCUUUUUUGUAAGACCCUAGAGUACGAAUAAUUAAAUUGCAGUAAUAUAAAAAAACCAAAGACAAUAACAUAAAGUACAGACGAUUUUAUUAUGCAAAGAGUGAAGAUUACAACUCGAACACAGAGACAUACAUUAUUAAGUUUAUUCUCAUAGUUUCUUUUCUUAAACUUGAGUCACUUCAUUACAAAUGCACCAAUGUUUACUUAGAGUCAUACACACGUAUGUGCAUAUAUGAGACUUAAAAGUAUAUUUCAUAGAUUUUAAUGACCGGGCUGAGUCUGAACAGCUUCUGCUCCGUGUCCCCCGCGUCCACCAUGGCCUCCUCCUCCAUAGUGUCCUCCUCCUCCGUAGUGUCCUCCUCCUCCUCCGUAGUGUCCUCCUCCUCCUCCUCCGUAGUGUCCUCCUCCUCCUCCUCCGUAGUGUCCUCCACCGUGUCCUCCUCCGUGUCCUCCUCCUCCGUUGUAACCUCCAUGGCCACCACCAUAUCCAUCAGGUUUCUCAUUUUCCUCACUCUCUGACUUCACCGUGCCUGUUCCAAACACACACAAAAAAAAAACAAAAUUAUUUCAAAAAUAUUUUUAAGCACGUGCAAAUGUGCAUUCCUUUGCCUAUUUCAUAAUUGAACACUUUUAAAAAAUGUAUAGAAAUUCGGGAUAAUGAUGUAGUUGUAGUGACAGAAUUACUCUGAACAGCUUCUAGUCCAUGUCCCCCGCGGCCUCCAUGUCCCCCGUGGCCUCCUCCUCCGUAGUGUCCUCCUCCGUGGCCACCACCAUAUCCAUCAGGUUUCACAGUUUCCUCACUCUCUGAGUUCACCGUGCCUAUCCCAAAAGCGAAACCACAUUAUUUUAUAAAUAUUGUUAGUACGUACAAAUGUGCAUUCCUCUCCCCAAUUUCAUAAUUAAAUUUCUCUUAAAAACUUUCUAAAAUAUGUAUAUAAUUCCGAUCUCUAGUUAUAAAAAAAAUGAGUUCAACAUUAAAUAUACGUUUUAUAUAAAUUGGCGUCAAGCAUCUAAAUAGUUUGGGAGGGUCUAAUAGGUAUAAGAGCAUGUACAUCAGUGAACCCUUAAAAGAGGGGUUUAACAGAAUAUAAUAACAUUUUUUUUUUGUUUUAGUUUUUUUUUUUUUUAAUUCGAAAAUUAUAAUUUUCGACCAUGUUUUAUUUGGGAUGAUACCGUCUCUUCAGGUUCGUCGGGAUGAUACUGUCUCUUUAAUAUUAAGAUCUUUUGUCUCAAAAACCGUGCCAUGAACCCCUCUUGAUCCUCUGAUGUAGAUGCUCUAAGAAGGACUAAACGUCAUAAGUAAGCGUAAGUGUCUUUUCUUACUAGGACAUCAACAUGAUACUUAAGUGUGUUUAUGACUUAGUGAGUCCAAAUAAUUGACCAUCGUUCACCCCAACUUUUCGCAUUUAAAACGGACGAGAUAGUUGGACAAAAUUAUCAAAUGGUACGUUAGUCCGGUUAGAUUAGCUUCACGAUAAUUUUUUUGUUUUCUAUAAAAUAAUUUUACGUACCCGACUGCCUUGCUGAGACGACGAGAAGAAAUGCAAACACACCCAACAGAAGCAAAGUCUUGGAAGCCAUUUUCUUCAAACUGCUUAUAACACUUUUAAUUUGUAUAUAUGGAGAAAGAAGUGAUGAAUAAAAUGUUAGCCUGCAUGCUCUCUAUUUAAGGAAAACGAGGAGGGCAGAAUGAGGAAAAGUCAAAUAAAUAAUUCGUAGUGCAGUGAAAAGAAGUAUUUUUUUAAUUAAAAGCAAAAGGGAGAUUUAGUGUAUCACAAAAUUUAGAGAAAUUGCAUUGUUUGCAGAUAAAGACACACUUUUUAGUAGCAAAUAAAUAAAACUAUAUUUCUUUGCGCAAGCGAACAAAAGGGAGUUGUAUUAUUCUAGAAGAGUUUAGAUCUAAUUUAUACCCCCCAAAAAAUAUAGUUUAGAUAUCUUUAUCUGUAUCAUGCAAUCUUUCUUUGUAAACAUCUUGAAUAGAGUUAAUAUAUGUUACGUGAUUUAUAUUAGAUUGCAUGAAACAAAAAAUACGUGAAACAAAGUGUUUCGAAAAGGAUAACAAUUUUAAAAAUGAUAGGAAACGUUUGCUUUCGGAAACAUAUAUUAUAUAUAAAACAUCAAAAUCAUAUGAAAAACAAAACGAAACAUUAAAACCAAACGAACUUUAAUACUUAUAUAUCAAACAGAUAAAUAAAGAUACAAAUCCAAACGUGGUAAGAAGAUAACGAAAUUUUCAUAUUUUCGAAUUUACUUCAUCUAUCCUACAAAUAAGAUGGUAAGACGAUCGAUAAGUAUGAUCAAAGUAUAUCUGUAUCCGUUGCGUCGAUUCCCAUAUGGUGGGUUGUUGGAUUGUGAUUUGUGAAAAACUUUAACCUCAAUAGUCUUUUAGAUAUUUCUUAUCAACGUCUUUAAACAUAGGAACCAUCGGACAAGUAUUGAACUAUUGAUAUGUAAGAAUUACAUUAUUGGCCAUAACUGGUAUUAUUGUUACAUUAUUAUUACUAUAAUUUGGACACAAAAUUAGUCCACUAUUUGUACUUUAACUCUUUAAGGAUCUUCUUUGAAAAUCUCAGCCGACAGGUUUUUAAGCAGACGGAUAAAGAAUUAAUACGAAGUAAUUACUAAGAACUUACCUUUAAAGGGUGAAAUUUUGCUUGGCUAUAAUUUAUUCAGGCCUACAUCGAUAAAAAAAAAUAAAAAUCAUUCCAGUGACCUAAGUGUAAAGGAGCUUGAGAUAUACGUGUUGAGAAGAUGAGCAUUAUUAAGUGUACAGAAUGUAGCUGCCGUCCUAAUUAUAAUAAAAUAGAAGUUAAUCCGCACAUUGUAAGGGAUAAUGUUUUUUUAAUUAUUUUUAAAUUUAAUUUAAUUUUUUUUAGUUAAAUUAAAAUUGGUGGCAAAAAUAUUUUAACAAAAAAUAUAAAUAAACAAAAUUAAUAAAAAUUAAAUAAUAUAUAUAUAUAAAUAUCACACAACCGAUAUUUAUUUGUAUAUAUAUAUAUAUUAUAGAGUAUGACUUUGAGCUAAUUUUGUUAUGCAGUUUAAUUAUUCAUAAAAUAAGAAUUUAAUUUUGAAUAUUUUAUUAGAGAUUAAACUAUUAUUUUUAGUUAAUAAAUUAUAAUAUAUGUUAAUAAUAAUUAUAUAUAGGAUUAGACAAAUUCGUCUAUUUAAUUUAUUUUAUAAUUUUUAAAAUAUUAUUUCGACCAAUCCGCAAAAAAUAGAUUUUAAACUUUAAAUUAUAUUUUAUUUUUUAUAAUAAUAAUUGAAUUGAUUUUCAAAAAUGAUGCUAAUUAAUUAUGAAAAUACAAAUGAAAAAUAUUGCAAAAUUUAAAUAGUUUUUCAUAUAUAUGGAUUGAUUAUUAUUUAAAAUAAUAGAAUAUAUUUUAACAUUUUAAUAAGUAAAAAGCAAAAUACAUUUUUUAUUUAUAUCCAUAUAUAUUCAAAACAAAUAUGUGAGCUAUAUAUUUAACUAUCUCUUGUGAAGAAAUAUUUAAUUAAAAAUUUUAUAUUUGUAAAAUUUAUUUAUUUAAUAUCUUUUAAGUAAAGGUUUAUUUAUGUAAUAUUUUAUAAAUAAAUAUUUAUUUAUGUAAAAUAUUCUGUAAUAUCUUACAAAUAAAAGUUUCUUUAUAAAAUGUCUAUUCAAAUAAUAAUGUAGAGAUGUAAUUUAAUUAAAGUCUAAUUGAUAUGAACUUCAUAAUUAUUAUAAAAAUAUGAUCAAUUCCAUGCGAGUGAAAAAGAUUUACAUAGUUAUCGUUUAUUUCUCAUACAAAACUAUUUUAAUUUUAAAGAGUAAAACGUAGCAGAAAAUGAAAACUGGAACUUUUUUAGAAUAUGACAGCUAGUUUUAAAAAUGGGAGAUGGCUACAAUACCGUUUCAAAAUAAUAGAUUAAAACUUAAUCCCAGAUAUCCGACUUGUUGAUGGUUUCUAUUUGCUUACGCACACUAAAUAUAUUAACACUCAAGAGAGGGAAAGUGUAAAUUGUAUUAAUGAAAGUGUUAGUGAACCGUAUUACAUUAAUUCCCUUUUAUAUACCAACUAGGUUAAGAAUAAAUACAUAUAUGUUAAUACAUCCCUCUCAAACCGAAUCAACCUUAGGUAGAAAGAGGUUUGAUAAUAAUACACGACUAAGCAAAAAAUGAAAUGGACCUAGAUGCAAAGGCUUCGUCAACAUAUCAGCAAGCUGAUUCGAAGUAGAGACAUGAAGAACAUUUAGGAAGCCAUUCUUCACCUGAUCUCGGGUUAUGUGGGAAUCAAUUUCCACAUGCUUAGUUCUCUCGUGAAAUACAGGGUUAUUGGCAAGAUUCAUAGCUGAUUUUUUUUAUCACAAAACAGGUUGGCUUCAGAAGUUACCGGGAUAUGAAGAUCAGUCAGUAAUUGGUGCAGCCAAAGUAACUCUCCCGUAGUAACAGCCAUGCUCCGAUAUUUGGCCUCCGUGCUGCUUCUAUUAACCAUUUCCUGUUUCUUGGACUUCUAGGUGAUAAGAGAUGUUCCAAGAAAUACACACAGACUCGUUACAGAACGACUGCAUCUGAAAAUCCAUUCAAGCAUAACUCUGUAGUAGCAUAAUAGAAAAAACCUUAGCCCAGAUUUUCUUCAAAUAUUUAAGGAUCUGGAAAGCAGCUUGAAAAUGAACAUUAGUGGGGAAAGACAGAUACUGACUCCACUGAUGCAGCGCAAAAGUGAUAUCAGGACGAGUAAUGCAGAGAUAUUGCAAUCGACCAAUCAAUUCGCGAUAUGAAGUUGUAUCAGAAAGAGACGUACCCGCGGACUGGAUCCAUCAAAACUGAUUUUGGUUUAUAACCAAGGAGACCAUAAUCUUCAAUAAGAUCCAAGCAGUAUUUCCUCUGUGAAACAGAUAACCCCGAAGCAUUCCUUGCAAUCUCAAGACUCAAGAAGAAAUGAGCUUGGCCAAGAUCUUUGGUCUUGAAUGGGAUUGUGAUAUAUUCAUAUCAUUUCGUGUUUAGGAUGCAUUUUUGGUCCAAGAAUAGAGCCUCAUGCAUACAUUUUAGAUAGAUUCUUCAUGUUUUCUUUGUUUUAGAGGUUUAGGACUUUGCAUUAGGUCCAAGUGAGUCUUGCAUGUUUGGAGUGUCAAUCAGGUGCUUUGGAGGUCAUCUGGAGAUGAAAAUAUGGAACCAGGUGAAGAAAUGGUGAAAGAAGGGCAAGAUAUGGUAAAAAUGAGGUUUUGGAGGUUAUCGGCAAAAUUGCUUACUGCGGGAAGAUUUUUAUCGGCCAAAAAUCAUUCCCGGGAAGCAGUUAUCGGCCAAAACAUGUACCAGACCAAGUCUGUAUCGGCAAAAAUCCUUUGUCGUGGGAAAAAAUGUUUAUCGGCUAAAAUACGUACCGCAGUACGUAACUUAUCGGCCAAAACGUGAAUUAUCGGCCAAAAGUUUCCCGACCCGAUAUGCUUCAAAGAUGCCUUUACCAGAAAGCUUUCUCGUCCGAUUCAGUUUCUAGUGUUUUCACAAACGUUCAAGAGAAUUGAGUCACAAUUCCAGAACAGUUGGAAUCAAUGGAUUUGGAGCAGUGAGCUGAAAGAUACGGCCAACAGAAGAUGAAUCUGCCUCGCAUCCAUUCUGGUCAUAUCCGAUGCGACUCAAAGAUCACUCAGGAUGAAACUCUUCCCUUCCAAUCUAGUUUCCGGGGCUCUAUCAAGAUUUGAGAGAUUCGAGUCAUAUUUCCAUAACGCUUAGAAUCAUUCCAUUUGGAGUGUUGAGUUGGGAGAUAUCGCAUUCGGGAGACAGACAUGCCCUGCAGUAAGAAACUAGAACCUCCCGAGCCAAUGCAAUGAUCCGUUUACCGGAAGGCCUCUCUCACCCGGGAUGCACUUAAGUUCUUCAUCAAAGUUGUAUGGAAUUGAGCUGCCUUUCCUCUGGAGUUUCUCUCGAGUCAUUUAGACUCAUAUCCCACAAGUUAUGCUAGCUCAAGUAAACAUAGAUCCGAGGAAAUGAGAAAUGCUGCGACAUGGCUUUGCGACUCGGUCAACUUGCAGCGAUGAAUGUUUAAAUUCUGGGAGCAAGCUGAGACUUGAAAUGAUGCGGGUGAGGUGACUCGGAGCAGGGUAAGGAUUUCCAAAGCUCAAAUAUUUCUAAGUCCAGAACAGCCUAUGACAUGGCAGUGCGAGAUUGAUGAUGAGAUGAACCAUGUCGCACACACACUCGCUUGGGGCCGCGACAUGACAGUGCGAGAUGGAUGAAGAGAAGUAACAUGUCGCACUCCUACUCUCUUGGGGCUGCGAACGUGAAGCUGUGAGUGGGAAAAGAAGGAUUUAAGCUGCAAGUACAAUUGCUUGAAUGAUACGACAUGAAAGUGCGGCUGAAGAAGCAAGGGAGCUGAGACGUAACAACAUUCACUUGGGGCUGCGAGAUGGCAGUGUAGGUGAACUGAAGCCAGGACCAUCUCGCACCAUGGCCACAUGACCCAACUGAACCAGGUCAGUACACAGUUUGUCUUGAGCUGACCCGCUCCAAAACACUUAGUAUAAAUAGCUUUUAGGGUUUUUUUCCAAAGAACAUCUCAUUUUCCUUUAGGUUUUUAGCCACUUUUGUGUAAGAGACAACUAAAGAGAGAUAUCUCCUUUCUUUUCUUUGAAUCAAAAAUGUUUGAGAGCUUAAUCUAUCUAUCUUAUCAUCAUUACUAUUCAUCAUCUUGUUUUCUCUAUCAACUAAUCAUGUUUAAUUACUUUUCUUGCAAAGGAAUCAGAGAGUUAAUCAUGAUUAGUGAGUAGUCGCGUCAUUAGGGUUCUAGAUAUGUAAGUUAGGGUGUUUAGAGGUUUGAUUAAGGCUGCUUAGGAUUAAAUUUAUACAUCUCUGUCUUGUUUAGCUGAUUUUAAUGCUUGGUUAUAGAUGAUCUCUCUAACCCAGAUUUUGGGCAUUUCAUCUACCCAAAACGUGUUUGAUGAAAUGCCUGAACCAGCUAAGUCAAGAGUCUAUUGUUUGAUUCACAUGAAAAUGUUGUUUUGAGCAUAGAUGGUAUAUUAGGAUUCGUGUUUAAUGCAUUCCUUUCAUUGUGACUCUAAUGAUGAUUAGGUAUGAGCAAUGUUUGGUAUUGUGUUUUGAUGCUUGAGAAAUAUUGAAACUUGAUUUGAAUCCUAAGCUGCUUAGAUCAUUCAUCAUCAUUGUCAUUAGCUCCUUGAUUAAACUAUGAUGCACCCUAGAAACUAUCAUGUCUAGAGCUCUAAGUUUCAUCAUAUUCAUAUCAUCUUAAUCAUUUUCUGUCUUUAUUUAUUGCUUGUUUAAUUCUUUAAUCUUGUUUAAUUGCAAUUCUGUCACUUGUUUGAAACUAAAACAUUUUGUUUGUUUGAAUUAAGAAUAGUUCAUAUAGAUUAGUGAACUAAACACCACACCUUGGAUUGAUAACCUUUGUACUACAACAGACAAAGGGAUUGAUACCCUAAGAGCCUUGAAAAAUCUUGUCUACCAUAUUGAGAGAAUCUUCUAAAUAGACUUGACAGCUUCAUCAUCAUUGCUCGCUAUAAGGAUGUCAUCGACAUAGAUCAGGAGAUAAAUAAAUAAUGUACCUGUUAGCUUCACAAAGAGGGUGUUAUAUGCAUAAGACUGUACAAAUCCGGCAUCAAGUAAGACCUUCGACAAACACUUGUACCAUUAACGAGAUGUCUGCUUCAAGUCAUAGAUGGAUUUAUCAAGUUUGCAAACCUGAUUAGCAGGCAGAUGAACAUCAGCUGGAGUGUAACAUCGUGGCAAGCUCAUGUAUAUCUCCUCAUCGAGCUUACUGUGCAAGAAAGCAUUGGUUACAUCCAUUUGGGUUAAGCUCCAACCCAUUCAUGCGGCUAAACCAAGGAUAAGCUUCACACUGGCAAGCUUGGAAACUGGGAAAAGGUGUCAAAGUAAUCAACACCUUUUUGUUUUGUGUAUCCCUUUGCUACCAGGCAAGCUUUAUAACGCUCCACAUUUCCAUCUGCAUUAUACUUAAUGGUAAACACCCAUUUACAACCAACAACAUUUUCCCUCGGAGGCAAUGACACAACACUCCACGUAUUGGUUGACUCCAUUGCUCCGAAUUCCAAAUUGAAAGCAUCAGUCCAUUCUUUGGAUGAAAUCACCUGCUUAAAGGUGUUAGGCUCAGUCUCCAUUGAAAAAGAGAGAACAAUAGACUGAUAUGGGGUGUUAAGAGUAGAGUAAGAGAGAACAGAAGAAAGAGGAUAUGGAGUAGUAUAAACCUUUAUAGAAAUGGGAGGAGUAGAAAUUUUUGUUAAAGAACAAUGAUAAUUGGACAAAUAACGUGGUACUUUUGUCGAGUGUUUUAGCCUGGCAUUGGGAAGUGAAACCAGAGCAUUCUCUGUGACAACAGGGUGAUGGAUUUUCCUUGGAGCACUAGAGUGAGAUGAUGAUGCAUGUGAUGUAUAAAGCGGAGGAGAAUGGAUGGUCACAGUAGAUGAAGGAUGCAAAUUAUUAGGCAGUGAAAUCACCUAAUCUAAUGCAACAAGAAUUGGCAAUGGUAAUAUAAACUCUAAAAAAAUAUCAGAAGAUGAACUAGAAAGAAGAUGCUCAGUAAAAGGAAAUAUUGUCUCAUGAAAAACAACAUUUCGAGAAACAGAGAUAAUUUUUGAAUCAAGGUUCAAGACAUUAGAAUACCCUAAGAGUACACAUCGAUCCACACGAGGACUAAAAUUAUGUUUAUCCUUCUGUAACGUAGAAACAUAACAUAAGCAGCCAAAAGAUCUUAAGAAUAAGUAAUCGGGCUUCUUAAGCAUAACCAACUCAUAUGGAGAUUUGUGUUUAAGAAUAACAGAAGGUAAUCUGUUUAUCAAAAGACAACUCCAAAUGAAGAUCCGCUUGCGGCUAUAGCUAGAUCUGAGAGUUGCGAAUAUGCUUACAAAUUUUCAGGCUGAUCCAAUCCGAUUUGCCUGUCUGUUUCUCUCUUACACCAUAACAGGUCGGAUCUGCCACCUAGAUGGUUACAAUGGCUUCGCCUUUAAGGUUCUUGGCCACAAGAUAGCUCUCUGAUCUCUUCUAAGACAUGGCUGCUCUAUUUAUAGAGUGGAGAAGAGAUACUUCUAAAUUUAGAGUUUUAGAGAGGAAAAUAAUGAAAAUGGGUUUGAGAGUUUUUCUGAUGGGUUUUGAGUAAUCAGGCUGAAAAAAAAAAAAAAAAUUAGACCAAACCCUAUUCUUGGGAUGUCACAGAUUUAUUAGAGAAUAUAUUUACAUGAGUUUAUAAUUAUUUGUAUGAUAUUUACAUGAGUUUAUAAUUAAAUCGUACAUUAACAUAGCAUCGUUAUUGGAUAGUUAGUCGGAUCGGUUCAACCGGUCAUACGAAAAGUUUGUUUAAUAUAUAUAUAUAUAUAAGAAAAUAAGAAUAGUUAUUUUAAGAAAAAUAAAGAAAAUAAAAUUAAUUUCUUUUAAUUAUUUACAACUGCCAGCCAGCGAUUACAUCCGUCGCUUGAAGAAACUUAUUAUCUAAAUGAAUAAAUAAACUUUUAAUUUAUAGCGGUUCUAAGCGUCACAAAGAGAUAAGAAACAAGUUCAACGGUUUUAGUGAUUGUUAUUAAACGUCACGAAAAUAUAACCGUAUGCAAACAUAGCGUAUGUGGCUGGCAGCGAGAAAACUAUCCAACACUAAAUAUUACAUAUUUACUUUAAAAUUCAUGCCUGCUUAUUACCAAACCAUAUUUUUACCAAUUUUAAUUGUGACAUUUAAUGUCCGCACAUGCGUACAGGCCAGUCAUAAAUCUGAUAUAUUGCAUUCACAUCAAUUUGUGUGUAUUUUUGUUUUGAUAUGUCUUCUGAUUUUUUUCUGUCCUAUGUAACCAUUUUUUGAUAAUUUUAAUUGGUUGAUCAUUAAUCUUUACGUGUCUUUUAAAAGUGAUGUGGUAUAAUCGUUUUAAUUAGAUUAUUAAAGCUCGUUUAAGAUUGUCUUUUUAAAAACGACAAAAAAAAUCGGACAAAGUAAGUAAUAAAAAUAAAUGUAUGACCCAUAUAUUUGAAAGUGUCACUGGCCCAAUGGCAGAAGUCUCCCUUAUGCAUUUGAAGGACAUGUGUUUGAACCAAGGUGGUAACAAUUUUUUAAAAAAUCGUAGAAUUUUAAAACGACAUCGUUUUGAGUUAACCUAACAGUAACAGCAGAGUUAACAGCGUUUAACUUUUCUGUUAACUUUAUAAACGGAGUGCUGAUUUGGCAAGUCAACGAAAAGUUUGUUAUUAUUUAUGGAAGUCAACAAAAAUUAAAUGUUUAUUUGGCUAGCCUGACAGUUCAUGCUUUUUUUUGGCAAAAUGUGGAAAGUUUAAGGUUUUUUUGGCCGAAUUCUCAAAAUAAACUCAUUAAAGUUCGUUUAAAUUGUUUUUUUAACCAAUAAACAUUAAAACCUGUUUAAGAUUGUCUUUCUAAAAACCAAUUAAAGUCUGUUUAUAGUUGUUUUUAUUAAAACCAAUGAACUCAAAAAACCUAAUAUACUUCUUCGAUACACUAAAUAUAUAUAUAUAUAUCCUCUCUAACAUAGUUUGUCUUUUAAUGUUCUCUUUUUCGGUAAACAUUACAUUUGCUUUUUUCUAUUAAUUUUAUUAACGUACGCUUGAGUUUGAGUUUGUUGCUUGUGCUUAUAAAUUUUUUUGUAACAAUUCCUAAUCUUUUUAAGAUUAUGAUUGAAAAUGUUAGUAUAAACAACCAUAGUUUAAAAAAUAGCAUCAAUGUUCACAUACUCGUGAAACAAUGUAUAGCAUCAAGUCUAUCAAUUUUUUUGGUCUCUUAUUUUAGAUUUGAUGCGGCAAAAAGAUUGCUUUGGGAACCAAGUCUUUUUUUUUGUUGGAAUUAUCUUCUAUUCUUGUCAGUUUUUAUUUUUCAUGCAAACGUUGACAUUAAAAUCUCUUUGUUAGAUUUGAUACCAUAUUAAAUUUCAAAUCUGAAUUAAUCAUUAUAUUUAUACAUUAUUAUUAUGGAUGAGUUUAUUUUCGUUAUCUGUAGCCCAAACUCUCUUCCCACGAAAAAAACGAUUAAACCAAUAAUAUUUAUUAUAAACAGGCCGAUAGACUUUAGUAUAAACAAGUUUCAAUAGCCUAAUUAUAACAAAAUUUGUCACAUCGCUUUAAAGCACGUAUAGAAUUAAUGAACGAACAAAAAAUAAAUACAUGACAUGUCAGGACAAAACGACACAUAAGAUUUUGGACUUCACAAAUAAUAGUAACUAGGAAUUAACAUGCACAUUGUGCGGGGUAAUGUUUUUAAGAAUUUUAAAUAUUUUUUAAAAAAAUUUUGGUUAAGUUAAAAAUUGGUAGCAAAAACCUUUUAACAAAAAAUAUAAAUAAAUAAAAUUGGUAGCAAUUAGAUAACUAUAUAUAUAUAUAUAUAUAUAAAUAUCAUACAACCGAUAUUUACGUGUAUAUGUAUCUAUUGAAAGAACUUUGAGCUAGUUUUGUUAUGCGGUGUAAUUAUUAGUAGUUUUUAAAUGUGAAGGUGAUGUGAUGUUAAUAUAUUCAUACUUAUAUACUGCUGGGAUAAAUUCGAUCCUUCCUACAUGGACGAACUGCAUGCUUGCACGUGGCGUCCAUGUUUUUUUUUUCAGGUACGGCCCCCCUGGGCCAAAUUAGGAUCCGUAGUGGGUCGUAAGCAUAUAGCACUGGGCCUCGAAUCCAUAAGGAUUCGGGAGAUCCGGUACGAUAGAUCACUUGUUCCCGGGUUCCUCGUAUCUAAUAGUGCAGGCCACGCUGUCAGAAGUAAGGAGGUCGAAACUGAGUGGUCAAGAGGAGGAGAAGUCCCAUUUUCUAUGUCCUAGGCCUAAACAUGGUAAUCCGGAAAGGUCGAGAUAUAAGGUAGUGUGGCCUACACAGGAUCUGGAGAGCGGAGUCAUCCAUCGAGACAACCCCGACAGCCCGGUCCCAGUAUCGAGGGAUCCAUGUCAGGUAUGAAAUAAUUUUAUGAGCGGAAAACACUAUUCAAAUUUUCCUCCAUUCGAUAAUAGGAAUAUGCCUUAGUAUGAUUUGAUUGCCCAUACUCUUACAAAACCAUGAAAUUGGCAUUUAAUGCACCCUUCUUACAUGUGUCAGGCGACAGCGACCUUUCACAGAAACUAGAGGAAAAGAAGAGGUUCAUCAAGAGUUAUACCGCGUAUGAACCGCCAACCCAAUCCGUACACUGGAGACGAAAGGAACAUGCUAAGGAGCGGUCUCGCAGCAGGCAGAACACGUCAAGGAAAGUUGGUGAGACCGUCAGAGGUAUGACGUGGGAAAAAGAUUUGAACCCAAUAAAAUCGGAUCGAGAACCGACCAACCCACCCGACUCGCUAUGCAAGGACAGACCCGGUAUACUAACCCGGGUCAGGUAAAAUCCUAUAAAUACAUUAUCCUUUCCAACAAGGAAGGAGAUCACUUUUAUUUGCUAUCUUAAGGCUCAUAUUAUCUCUCUAGAUACUUGUGAUCUUUGAGCCCUAACAUAUUAUACUUUCCGGUCAUUACUCAGAACAAUGUUUUAGUUCUUCUCCACGGCGGUUCCUAAAUCGUGGAGUAUUUCCACCCACAAACUCUUUCAUUUCUUCUCUUUUAACUAAUUCUUUAUAAGGAACGCUGGGCCCAUCUUUCUUCUCUCGUUUUCCGAACUCUUUCCUCUCUCCAAUUAGUCACUCUGUGAUCUUUCUUCACUGUUUUCUGACUUGAACGUCGGAGAACCUUCCGAAAACACACCAUCAUCGUGUUUUUUGGGCCUUCACGUGCUUUCUGUUUUUGCAAGAGACUUACCCCCACAAAGGAUCAAAAAUCUCUAAAUAGUUUAGCGCUAGAAAGAGGAGGGCAACACUCUUCUAUAGGAAGAACUGAAACCAUACACGACCUUGAAGGUAUGUCAUGACAAGAGAAGACGGAGGUAGCUCACCAGAGAACGACACCUUGGAGGGGAUGGAAGGAGAGAACAUCUGCUGGGUCGACAGACCGACCAAGCUAUUCUCGGGAUGCCCGAUGAUAAGGGGAACAUCUUUGGUUCCCCACGCCGCCGCCAAACGCACACUCAGAACUCGUCCAGAGUGUAGAAGAAAAUGCCCUGUAAAAUUCCUUACAUCCAAAAACCUUAGUGAAAGUGUUGGCAAACUGGUCAUUAUAUAUAACAAAUGAGUUAAAGACUCGUGGGCAAUGCCCAAUAAAGUCUGCCAUGGAUUGGUCCUGUACAACAGUUUUUAUAUCAAUUAAAAAGUGCAGGCCUCGUAGGUUGAUCGAUUGCAGUUUGCGGAUUAAACAAUUGGGAUCUAUACUAGUUUCGGCAAAGAUAAUUGACAAGAACGUCCAAAACCGGCUAAGUGAAAGACAACGUCUUGGAGACCAAAAGUAUGAAAGAAGCCUCAUGUAUUGGUUUGCCACACACAAAAAAAAAACUAUUUGUUUUUAGUUUCCAUUUUAUAAAAAAAAACUAGGUAUUUAGCCCUUUUUUGCAUGGGCAGAGAAGUUUAUUAAAUAAUACUAGGAGAGAAUCCGCGCGUAUGCGCAGAUCUUGUUUUAAUUUAUAUUUUGAAUAAUUUGUAUUGAAUUUUAUGUUUACUAUUAUUGUAUUUUUGUUUAGAAUAUUUAUAAUAAAUUAUUUGUAAUCUCUUCUACACCAGUUGUGUCAAAUAGUCUAAUUUUUUCUUCGAUCUUCAUAUUCUUUUUAUUCUUGUAAAUCUUACUAAUAUAAUAUUUGUUAAUUUUCUUAAUUUUCUAUUUGAAUUUUUUUGGUUAUAUAUAUUUUAUUGAUACCAUCUUUUUAUUAUUAAAAAAAUUAUAUAUGACAUUUUUAUGUGGAUACUUUUUUUUACUAUUAUUUUUUUAAUAACUUUUAUCUUUUUAAUAGUUUAUUAAAUAUGCUUUGUGUUUUAUACUUUUAUUAGUUGAAUUUUUAUAUAAGAUUAUUUGAAACUUUUUAAUUUAGUCAGUCUCAUAAUUUUUUUCACUUGCAUUAAAAUUUAAUUAUAUUUUUAGUUUGUAAAUGAAUUUUAAAACAUUUGAAAAAAGAAAAUAGAACUAUGCAAUUAAAAAGUCUUAUAUUAUAUAAUAGUUAUAAGUUUUUAUAUAUUAAAAUUAAAUUUUAAUUUUAUUCUAAUAUAAAUAUAUGUUAAUAUUUAUUUAUGUUUUUAAUGUGUUUGCUUUAAAUAUGAUUAAUUAAUUAUUUUGUUAAUAUUUGAAGAGGAUAGGUGGUGCUCUCUCCAGUGCUGACGUGUCGCUCAACUGGAGAGAGUUGGCCAAAUUUUAUAUAUAUGACUAGGAGAAUACAUGCACGUAAUAUGCGGGUUUUUUCUUUAAUUAUUUCAAAUUGAUAUAUUUUUGUAUUUUUCUUAAAGAAAUAUAGUCAUCAUUUCUUCUAUGUUACUAUAUAAUUAUAAAUCAAUCAAUUUAAAAUUUAAUAUUAUUAAAAAAUCAAGAGUUUAUACAAAAAAGCUAUCAAUGUUUUAGCAUAAAUUCUUGUUUAAUAUUUAUAUAACUGUUAUUUAAGAAUCAGUUAAUAAAAAAAAACUAUUUUCUUUGAAUGGUUGAGAAUUUAAUACUAAAAUUUAUUAAUCAAUUUUUUUUUGAUAAUUGUAACUUUAAAUUAAAAAUUGACAAAUGUCAUCUCUAUAUUAACUCUAAAAUGCUGAUGUGUCACUCAUAUAUAGAGAGUUAGCCAUCUUUUAUAUAUAAGAUUAUAAGUAAACAAUAUAUUUGGUAGUUUAAUCUUCAUCUCUAAAGUAAUCAUUAUUUGCAUAGAUUAGUUUUAUGCAUUAUUUUAUUCAUUCAACUUUUAGCCUCAAAUUUCUCCUUUUUUGGCUAAAUUGACUAUCCUUACUGAUUUUUAUCUUCUCGUAAGCGUAGACGUGAAACCAUUUUAUCCAGUUGUAUGUAACAAAUCAAUCUUUUUUGCUAGCUUUGAUACCAUAUUUAGUUUCAUCUCUGAAAAUUUCAUUAUAUAUACAUUAAGUUUAAAGAUGAUUUUAGUUCUUCAUUCUCUUGAAAUUUCUCCCUGUUUAACGAAAAUUGUCUCUCUUUGGUUGAUACUUAUCUUUUAUGCAAGCGUGGAUACAAAACUUUAAUAUCAUGUUGAUACCAUGUUAAACUUUUUUAAAAUUAUAGUCAUUAUUUAUAGACAUUAAAUAUAUAGAUUAUUGUAACUAGGUGAAUCUCCGCACGUUACGUGCAAGUUUUUUUUUCUUCAACUAUUUCAAAUUUCAAAUUCCUAAGAAAAAUGCAAUCCUACUUUAUUAUGUGUUAGAAUAUUAUUAUAAAUCGAUCAUUUAAAAUAUAAUAUUAUUAAAAAAUUAAGAUUAUACAAAAAAAAAUCCAUCAAUAUUUUUAAUUAAUUAUAACAUAAAUUCUUGUUUAAUAUUUACAGAAAUAUUAUUUAAGAAUCAAUUAAUAAAAAACUUUUCAUUUUCUUUUAGUGUUUUAAAACUUCAUAUAAAAUUUAUUAAUUAAUUUUCCUUAAAAACUUUUGUAACUUUAAAUUAAGAAAUAUGACACAUAUCAUCCCUAUAUUAACUCUCAAAUGCUGAUGUGGCAUUCGUAUGAAGAGAGUUGGCCUUCUUUUAUAUAUAAAAUUUUUCAUUCUCUCUAGUCGGAAAUUUCUUCCUCUUUUGUCGGAAUUGUCUUUUGUUCUUCUAUGUUUUUAUAUUUCAUGCAAGCGUGUACAUAAAAUUAUUAUAUCAGAGCGUAGGUAAACAAUUCUUUUGUUAGCUUUGAUACCGUGUUAAGUUUCAAAUCUGAAUUAGUCAUUCUUUUAUACAUUAUUUUUUAUGGACGAAUUUAUUUUCAUUCUCCGUAGUUCGAUCUCUCUUCCCACGGAAAGACGAUUAAACUAAUAAUAAGAAAACCGCAGACUUUACAUUGAAACGAGCUGCAGAUAAAAUUUAGAAUAAAAUGGACUUUAAUGAUCCAGUUAGUAUGAACUAUGACACAUCACUUUCAAAACACACAUAGUAUAAAUGAACAAUUUAUUAAAAAGCUAGCUUUAAUACCAUGUUAGAAAAUAAACUAAUCCUUUUUGCUAGCUUUGAUACCAUGUUUAGUUUCAUCUCUGAAUUUUUCAUUAUAAAUAUACAUUAAGUUUAAAGAUAAUUUUGGUUCUUCAUUCUCUAGAACUUUUUCUCUGUUUAACGGAAAUUAUCUCUAUUUGUCAGUACUUAUCUUUUAUGCAAGUACAGCCACAAAAUUUUGAUAUCAAAGCGUAGGUAAUUAAACAAUUUUUUUGGUAAUUUUGAUAUCAUGUUAAUCUUUAUCUUCAAAAUAGUCAUUGUUCAUAUACAUUAAUUUUAUAGAUUAUUUUAAUUCUUCAUUCUCUCUAGCUGGAAAUUUCUUUCUAUUUUGUCAAAAUUGUCCUUUAUUUUUUUGGUUUUCAUCUUUCAUGCAAACAUGGACAGAAAACUAUUAUAUCAGAGCGUAGUUAAACAAUUCCUUUGUUAGUUUUGAUACUGUGUUAAGUUUUGAAUCUGAAUUAAUCAUUAUUUUAUACAUUAUUUUUAUGGAUGAAUUUAUUUUUGUUCUCCGUAGUCUAAUCUCUCUUCCCACAGAAGGACGAUUAAACCAAUAAUAAGAAAACCAUAGAUUUUUUAAUUAAAUAAGACCGCAGAUAAAAAUUAGAAUAAAAUUGACUUUAAUGAUCCAGUUAAAAUGAAGUAUGAUACAUCACUUUUAAAAUACAUGUAGGAUAAAUGAAUGACCUAUUAAAAACAUUAAAAAAGUCAAUAAGUUAGAAAAUAAACUAACCACACAUCAGAUUUUUUGCUUCAGAAAUAUAUCGAUUGAAAAACAAUGUUGCACUUGAUGUACAAAUGGCUUUUGAUUGAAUAACUAUUACAUUCAAUUAAAAAAACAAUAACGCCUAGAGAGACUAGAAGUGCCUUUAACCAAAGUAAUUAACUAACCGUCAACACCAUAGAUGGCGCGAUGCUCUUCGACAGAGGAUCAAGACACAAGCUGCUGUUUUUGAGACUUCAAAGAUAUAGAACAACCACCAAACUGAAUAAUAGAAUCUGUAUAAUAACGUCUUGUUGUUGGGCAUCAUGCCCGGCCGGAACUGCCCCAUGCAAUAAGAGACAGAUGAGUCUUAGCUUUUAAAAGAAAACCAUGUCACAGAUUGCCUUUGACCUUGAGUAAACAUAUAAACCUUGUUGUUGCAUCCCAAUGAGUCUGUUUUGGUUCUUGCAUGAACUAAGCAACAAUGUGGACCAGUGUUAAUCUGCAGGUUCAGGAAUUGUACCUCUUUUAACUAAAGCAAGACGUACGAUGGUUCUUCUCCAGAGGCACAGGUCUCCGAAAUGAUAUUAUGAUGGUCACAAAAUGUGAAAGCAGUUUUAAAAAUGUUUCCUACCUAAAAUCCCAAGCGCAAGGCUGAAAUCGAAGUAGUACUAGGUACAAAUUCACAGGGAGGAAGCAGAGUCGACCCUUGGCCAAUCCAAGAAAGCCUAUACUUCCGGCUGAUUCUUUUAUAAAAAAAUAUUUGGUCCUCAAUUAUUCAAAACUUGUCUUAGUCUGGUCAGACUGAUCGUAAAGUCUUAUGUGGCGCUUUUAGUCCCCAUUCCGUGUUCGAAUCUGCAAAUUGCCUUAGUUGUUGGGUCUAUAUGAAAAACGUUGAGAGUCUUUAGAUUUCUGGUAGUCUAUACUCUUAAGGGAAAAAUAAACUUCCUUGGCAGCCUGUUAUAAUCUUAUUUCUUGGACCCAACAGUACGAACAAUGAAAUCGCACUACACAAAACCAAAGAGAAUAUAAUACAGAGACAACAUAAACAACAAACGAUAUUAUUAUGCAAAGAGCAGACAUUACAACUCGAACACUGAGACAUUACAUUAUGAAACUUUAUUCCCAUAGAUUCUUUUUCUUGAGUUACUUCAUUACAAACUCACCAUGGUUCACUUAUAGUCAUACACACGUAUAACUGUAUUAUAUAGAUGUAGCCAUGCAUGGUGGUUAAUAUAAUAUGAAGUUUUUAGUUACCAGGCUGAGUCUCAACUGCUUCUACUCCGUGCCCUCCUCUUCCUCCGUGUCCACCGCGUCCUCCUCUUCCUCCUUUGUAUCCUCCCCCUCCUCCUCCGUAGUGUCCCCCUCCUCCUCCGUAGUGUCCUCCUCCUCCUCCUCCUCCGUAGUGUCCUCCUCCUCCGUAGUGUCCUCCUCUUCCUCCUCCGUAGUGUCCGCCGCGGCCACCACCAUAUCCAUCAGGUUUCACAGUUUCCUCACUCUCUGACUUCACCCCUGUCCAAAAAAAUAUAGAAAAAUCACAUUAUUUCAAAGAUAUUGUUUAGCACGUGCAAAUGUUCUUUCCUCUCCCCGAUUUCAAAAACGAAAUUUCUCUUAUAAACAUUUUAAAAUAUGUAUCGAAUCUCUUGUUUAGAAUAAAGAAUUAUGAGUUUCAAAAUUAAAUAUACGUUCUAUAUAAAAUUUUCACCAAUAUACGUAAGUGUCUUUUAUUACUAGGACAUCAACAUCGUACUUAAGUGUGUUUUUUGACUUAUAAGUCCAUAUAGUUGACCUUCGUUCAAAUCAACCUUCCGGACUUAACACGGACGAAAUAGACAAAUAGAGACAAUAUUAUCAAAUAUGGUACGUUUGUUUGGGUUCGAUUAGCUUCACGAACAUUUAUUUUGUUUCUAUAAAAUAAUUUUAUUU